GCCGGCCUUCCUCCGAUCUACACCUCCACUCUACCUCUCUCAAUCUAGUAGAAACUAGGAGAUCUAUUUCUACUCACAUUGGAUGCUAAGCCUAAAAUAAAUAUUUAUUUAGAGAAGAGGUUUUCCUUCGAGGGCUCCCCUCAACUCUAUGAUAAACUUGUUCUCCUCCAGGGGCGAGGGGCCUUGCUUAUAUAGUCCUCCUCCUUUGUGCAUUUUUGGUCCAGCAGGCGAUGUGGUACUAUGUUAUCCUUGAUCCUUUAGGUCGGUGGAACGUCGUGUGCAAAGAGAGUCCAGAUUGGCAUCCAACAGAGGGCGGGAGCCCAGGUCAUCAGGGCGGGCGCCCUGGGCCUGGACCCUUUCGGCCUCUGCUUUCUUCCCGUGGCUUCUGGAGUCUUCUAGAUGGUAGAAAAUUGCACGGUGUGUUGAUAUCUCUAUGUAAUCCCGACAUGUGGGCCUUUCUUCCGUAUUUCCUGAUAACCCCUGCAGAAAUAGACAAACUCCAAAACUCGUGGAAUUCUGUCAGAUAAAACCCUAAGUCUGGGUGUUGGUUGUAUUUGGAUCCUUUUCUUUAUUUAUUUGAUGAUUAUAUUUGGUACUUAUGGACCGUCAACAACUCCCCCAAGCUUACCUCUUGCUCGUCCCUGAGCAAGGAUGAACUCAAGAGUUUCUGCAGUGGUUUCAUGCUUUAAAAGUAAGAUCUCGUCUCUGAGUUAGAGUGAACUGUUAAGACUUAAAACUUACUCACCUUUCACCAUGGGGCUUGUAACCGUCACUUGUGUCUUGAGCAGUUAAAAGAUAGAUCGGUCAAGUCAAGCGCCAUGUCUCUUAUUCUUGAUCAGCUAUAGCUCUGGAGUUUUUGCAGAUUUUCAAAUAAAACUCAGAGAUUCCUUAUAUAAUUCUCUCAAAUCUCUCUUUUGUGGUAUUUCUGGAUCCUUAACAAGGCAGUAAUGGUAUAUGCCUUUUCUCAAAGUAUGUGGUAUUUUUGGUAUAAUGCAUAGUGAUAUUACCUUCUCUCUCACCCUACUCUAAUAAGGUUUUGAUAUCUGGAGCUCAUAGGUGGGAGACAGCUAAUACAUACUUACAAGACAUUUAUUGCAUAGUCAAACCAUGGAUCCAGAGAAACAAGUCAAUAAGUCAAAUCAAGAUGUGCAUGUGUGGCGAAUGAAUGGUGUAUGGUGAUGACGGUGAUAACAAUGGUGAAAGUCUAAUUGUACUUUUGCUCUUUUAAAGGGAUACAUACCUGUUCUUGCACUUUGAAGCUUUUUGAGGAGAAUGAGAUGCUCUAUAUUUUCUUUUUCUUUCCUCUCAGGUGGGUAUCUUGUACCCCUAAUUCUACUGUCGGACACUUGUCCAUUUUUACCUCUCGUCUCACUUUUUCUUUUCUUGGAGGUUCCAGGCACUUGCCCCUUUUUUUUUCCUCAUAUAUUAUUUUUUUUCUUCUUUUAUUUUUUUAGAGCACUCAUUUCCUGAAAUGAUGUAGCAAGUGGUAGUAACCAAAAUAACUGGAGCAUUUAUUUCACAGGGAAUAACAGGGAUAGGAAAAUGUUUUUGGCUAUUCUCUCCCAGAUUAGGAGUACAAUAAUUUUGGGUGAAUCUGGAGAUGGAAAUGAGUGGAUGUAUGUGGAUGCGUACUUCCGGAAUAGAAGCAGCAUAUACGAGUGAACAUGCAAGUGAAUCUUGAUUUUAACCACAUGACAAGCUCCUAAGGGUCUACACAGCUUGACCACACUCAAUGCUCAUAAGCAGUAAAAAGUAAAUAUAUGGUUCAUAGUCUAAUAAGCAUGUAUAUAUGGUUGUGGUAGGAUUUUAAACUCUCAUCAUACAGGAACUUAUCAUGUGUUAUUUUAAAGAUUUUCAAAGAUAAAAUUCUCUAGAAUUCUAGCAUCUCUAGAAACAGAUAAACAACAGCUCAACCUUCGCAUAUCAUAUCCGUUAACGACUUAGACUUUAGAUCAAGUACUCUUCCCACAAGUUCAGGUUUAGAGAAAAUCUUAAUUCAUAACAGUUAUGCCUAAACUUGAGAGAGAUUUCAAUUUUAAGAACUAGUCAUGGCAGAGCAACUAUUCAUCAUUUUCAUGUGAGAGCUUAGCAUGAGGGUUCAUAGCAAACUUUAUUUAUUUAUUUAUUUAGCAAACUAAGCAAAGAUAUAUAUAAAAGCAUAAAAUCUUUAUUUGGGUUUUUAUGAUUAUGCAUCUUUUUAUUAUUUGAGUAAAGUAUAAAUGCGAGUAGAAACACUUAGCUCGAUAAAUGGGGGUGCUCUCCCCCAAGCUGGAUUUUGACGUAAUUUCUUAUAAUGUAGCUAGCAGGUGACGGAGGUGUAUUUGAAUGUCGGCAUCACCCUGACAGCGAUUAGGAUGUCCUCCGUCUGCUAGUCUUCUUUGAUCCUUGAAUUCUGUGGAGCUCAAAUAGACAACAAAGCUUUGUGGAACUGGUUAAGUGUUAGCAUAAAUAUCUAGCCUUUAUCAUGUUGAGCCUCCUCAAUAAAUAUUAUUUAUUUAGCAGGAUCAUGCACUUAUUAUUUUUAUAUUUUUAUUGUAAGAUGAAAACAUAUUUAUUUUAUGUCACCACAGUGAAUGUACCUAUGGGUUUUAUGCCAUGAGCAUACUCACAUGGGGCUUACUAUUUUUAACAUUUUUAUUUCUUUUCGAGAUGAUAUGAAUCCUGAUUAACUAAGCAAACUAUAAUUGAAUAAUUGAAAGGAAAAGGGUAACUACCAAGUUUACCUCUUGGCAAGGCGUUCGAUGUUUUUAAGUCCUCCGAACGGGACUCUCUGUUUUCUCAGUUGUCCUGGGAUUCGCUGGAUGGUGUAGUCGGUGAUUCCGGUGGCGCCUCCUCUUCGUGUAUAACUAUCUUCUCCCUCCACACGUGACUCGGUGCUACGGUCUCCUCAGGAUAGUUCUGUUCAAGCUGUAUGUCUUCAGACCUUACCACUUCUCCUUCGUAGUCUGCCCAUCCGUCCUUGAUGAUUUGCCUCCUGUGAUUUCGGUUGCGUCGCCUUCUUCUUGUCCUGACCUGCUUAGAAUCUUCAACUAAAUAGUUAGGGUCAAUAAAAUAGCGGCAUACCUUCUCAGAGGGGAAGUGCAUGUGGACUUCUCCGGUUCCAAUGUAGAUGAUGGCUUUGAUAGUGUUGAGGAACGGUCUUCCAAGGAUGGUGGGUGGAUCUUACUCGUCUUCUCCCAUGUCAAUGACCUGAAAAUCAUCUGGAGCUGAAUGUAUGUUGGUUGUAGGGGCAUGGUUCCAUGCAGGAGCUGAUAAGUGACUGCGGCCAUUAUGUUGUCAUCAGAUCCGGUGUCGUAGAGUGUCUUCUGAAAAGAGUAUCCAUUGAUUGUGCACUUGAUGCUUGGAACACCAGGGUCGUCCUUGUUGAUAUUUGGGAACGCAAUAAGGAAUUGAUCCGCAAGCGCACGGAUAUCGGUGAGCACUUCACCCGGGAAAUUAUCCAGAGUAUCGUAUUUAUUUUUUUACCACUAGGAGAAAGAGUGCAUCUGACUAACCGGUCUAUUACUACUAACCUUUAGGCACAAAGAAUGUCUUUCGAUGUGAGUGAUAAAUAGAGAAGACUGCAACCGUAGUCUCCUUCUAACCUUGGUAAGGAUGAUCUACUCUUCUAAUGGGGAGGCUAACGGAAUCUAGACACCACAAAGGAUGUUCAACCCGCACCUAUAAACCCUAUCCUUCCUGCUAACGAGAUGUGAUCUACAAAGGUAGCUCGGAAAUGUCACGUUCCUCACUACUACCACGGUCCAGCUAGUCAGGGAAUAUCUAUGAGUACCCCAGCCUAAACACCACGUUUACACCAGCAAUGAUUACUCUAAACUCUACGCGAAGAGAUUAAAGUAAACUCAUAAACCAUAAGAACAAUAAAACAAGAACUUACUAGAAUUUAGAAGUCGAAUUACUGAAGAAUCCUAGGAGCAAGCUUCGGGUUAGGAGAACUUGAUCCCGCAGGUACAAGCUUGGAGUAGACACCGACAGGCCGGGCUUCCUCCACUCUACACCUCCACUCUAUCUCUCUCAAUCUAGUAGAAACUAGAAGAUCUAUUUCUACCUUACAUUGAUUGCUAAGCCUAAAAAGAAAUAUUAAUUAGAGAAGAGGUUUUCCUUCGAGGGCACCCCUGAGUCUCUAUGAUAAUUUCUUCAUGUCUUCCAGGGGCCAGGGGGGCCUCGCUUAUAUAGUCCUCCCCUUCUAUGCGUUUUUGGGUCGAUAGCCGACGUGGUACUAUGUUUUUCUUGAUCCAAUAGGUCGGUGGAAUGUCCCGAGCGAAGGAGUCCUGAAUUGGCUCCAGCAGGGGGGCGGGCGCCCAGGCUUCCAGGGCGGGCGCCCUGGGCCUGGCCCAGCUUCGCCUCCGCUUCGGUCUCGUGGCUUCUGGAGUCUUCUAGAUGAUGUAAAAUUGUGCGGUGCGUUGAUAUCUCUAUGUAAUCCCGACAUGUGGGCCUUUCUUCCUUAUUUCCUGAUAACCCCCUACAGAAAUAGAUAAACAACAAAACUCGUGGAAUUCUGUCAGAUCAAACCCUAAUUCUAGGUGAUGGUUGCAUAUUGGUCCUUUCUCAUGUUUAUUUGAUAAUUAAAAUUGAUACUUAAGAACCGUCAACAGUCCUUCUUGAUCAGGAAAGGCGACUUGAGUCGACGAUCUUGACCUCUUUGAACUGCAGUGACCAUCUUAGCUGACUCGGUCCACAUUUGCUUAUUCCUGUUGCUCCUGUUGGUCUUCUUCCUUGGUUCGUGUCGGGAUUGCUCUGAAAUUUGUGUAGUCUUGUUCUUGAAGGAAAGUCUCCUUCUUCCCCUUGAUGUAGAAACUGAUUUUGGCAGCAUUAACAUAGAUGACAGCUCUGGUGUUUAGGAAUGGCCUCCCUAAGAUAAUGGGUGCCCUCUACUCAGUACCAGUCUCUAUCACCACGAAGUCUGCUAGAGCGUACAAGGUACCAACUCGGACGCAGAGGUUCUUCAAUAUUUCCUUUGGGAAACUGAGUGUCUGAUCUGCAACCCUGGGCAUAAUGUUGACGCUGGAGCCAAAGUCGCAGAGUGCUUCUGGGAAGUCCACCAUGCCGACGGAGAUCGGGAUGAUGGGGCGUCCUGGAUCACCUCUCUGAGUAAUUAGGCCUCUGUUGAUUCCAACCUUGAUUUUGUUGAGGACGGUUGUAGUAAUAGUUGUUAUUGUUGUUGAUGUAGUUCACGUCCUCAAGCAUCUCAGGGCAGUGAUUGCCUGAGUGUCUAGUAUCUCCAGUGUGUUUGUGCUCGUAGAUCCUGGUUCUUCACUUGGUGGAGUCUGGGAGUUGUAAAACUCCUUCAUAUUAUGCUCGAAGUGUUCCUGCUCAUAGAGACAAGGCAGAGAUCAAGUGCAUGGGCCCUGUUGGUGGAAAACACCAACAGAACCAAAAAUGUAUUUGUUCUUCUCUAACCUUAAGCAUAGUGAGCAAGACAAAGUUGAUGGAUCAUGAGUGUAGCAUUUGUCAGAUCAGAUGGCUCAACCUAAUGGAAAGAUAAUCUAUCUAUAUUUAUGUUUUGUUUAUAUCUUUCAAAGAUUGAAUGUGCAACAUAUUAGCUUAUAUGAUUAGGAGUGUGGGAUCAUGAAGGUAGUACUAAGAACAAAUAUUAAAGAGCUAAACAUGUUGAAUUAAUUAGGUUGGUUAAUUUAGAGUUAUAAAUCAUACAUGUUUGUCUCUUUAUUUAUGUGAAUGCCAGAACCAAGGAGAAGCUUAUAAAAGUGAUAGUCACGUACCUUAAGAUGUUACCUUACUUGAAGAGUGAUGGUAUAGUAUCACCUUGUGGAAGCUUUCCUUUCUGAGCGGUUGUGCAUCGUGUUUGUGGCACCCUCCAUGGAUCAUCUCUUUAUGAUGAAUGAGCUAUGUCUUCCUUGUGCAAGUCGUUAAAUUUCAUGUGUCUCCUUUAUCUCCAAUGAGCUUGUAGCUCAGGACUUCCCAAGUUAAUAUUGAAAGUUUUCCUGCAGGGGUUAGUCUGACAAAAUAUACCAAUGCCUACUCAAGCAGUUUUAGUUCAGUAACCAAACUAGACUCCAUGUCUAAUCAGAUUAAGGAAGGCUAUUAAACCUAAGCACCAUGCUUAAUUUAAAUGCCAAUGGAAGUAUGUCGAGUACUUCCAAACCAACACUUACUAGGAUAAACAAAGGUAGCAUGAUGGCAUUUAUAGAGAUCUACUCAAGUGGAGAUGAAGUAGUGUGAGUAGUGUUUAACAAAUUGAGCAUGUCUCAAAGGUAGGGACAACCAACAUAGCAACAUGGCAAAUGAUGUUUUUAUGUAAAGUACUCCCCCAAGCUUGAAUUUUGCAAAAUUCAAGAUUGGAUGAAUUUAAUUCAAUGUUGCAUGAUGAUUGGUUGGUCAUACCUUGUGCUUGUCAUUCCUCGGAUCUUCUUGCUCCAAUCCUGGAAAGGUUAGUGGCAAGAAUACCCGAAGGAAUAUUUCUACAAUUAUCUUUAUAUGCUCAAUACACAAGGCAAUGUUGCAAAUAAUUAGAAGUUCAUGAUCAGUGCUUGUUUUAGGACACUAAGCUUUGGGAAACCAUCAAUUUAUGUCAGCGACGUGGUUUCCCCUCCAACACUGACCUAUAUCAACUCAACGAGAUCUGCAAUAUUUAUUAUAGACAUAUGCAUCGACAACCGCUCUUUUAAAGUUGUUAUAAAUAUAAAGGAAGAGAGGGUUGGAGAUCUCAAAUGUGGUGAUAGCACAUGGAUUUUUAAUGCCCUCUAGCCAUUGAUGUUGUUCUUCUCGAUCCUCCUUGUGGUCUUGGUGACUCUUAUGAACGGGAUGUCUAGAGAAAUUCAUAGGCUUAUCGGGAGGUUCAAAAGAAAGAGCAUAGUAGAAAUUAUUAGGCUCAAGGAUGGGAUGGAUAGCCGAAUCAUGGAAUUGAAAUGUUUGGAAAUUGGCUAUUGAAACUUCCUUUCCUUGUCUGGGAAAUGAUUCCUUCUCUAUCUCUAAGAUUUUUCUAUGAAGACUAGUACAAGAAGAAUGUCCACGAAUGAAGACAUACCUUCCUUUACUGAUAGAUAAAGAAAGAAAGACUCUACCAAAGGGUAUAUGAUUAAGACCAAUGUAAAAAUAUCGAGAAAAAACAUGGUCUUGUUGGGCUAGGUUUAAACCAGAAUUUAUAGAAAAAUUAAAAGAUUCCCCAGGUGUAGCUAAAAGUGCAUUAUCUUCUUGAUUAAAAGAUAGGACCUCAGCUAUAGAAAAGGGUUGGUUUUGACCUAUUGCAAUCAACUCCGGACACAGAUCAUAAUUAGGGGCAGGACUUGUUGACUCCCAUGGUCUAUGGCUGGUCUCCGAAGGUGCAAAAAAUUCAAUAAUAGGUAUGGAAUUUGAGUUAUCCAUAGAGAUGAAAAAAAUAAAAAGAUAAAAGAAUAAAAGUAUAAAAGUAUUAUACAAGAUAAUAGCAAGACUCAAAGUUAUCUCAGCAAACCGUAUUUCUCCCCGGCAACGGCGCCAGAAAUGCUUGUUGAUAUUUGGUAACGCAAUAAGGAAAUGAUCCGCAAGCACACGGAUAUCGGUGAGCAUUUCACCUGGGAGGUUAUCCAGAGUUAUCGUAUUUAUAUUUUUACCACUGGGAGAAAGGGUGCAUCUGACUAACCAAAUCAAUUGCUACUACCCCUUUAGGCUACAAAGAAUGUUUCUCGAUGUGAGUGAUGUAUAGAGAAGACUGCAACCGUAGUCUCGUUCUAACCUUGGUAAGGAUGAUCUACUGUUCUAUUGGGGAAGCUUGCGGAAUCUAGACACCACAAAGGAUGUUCAACCUGCACCUAUAAACCCUACCCGUCCUGCUAACAAGAUAUGGGAUACAAAGGUAACUCGGAAAUGUCACGUUCCUCGCUACUACCACGGUCCAGCUAGUCAGGGGAUAUCUAUGAGUACCCUAGCCUAAACACCACGUUUACGCUAGCAAUGAUUACUCUAAUACUCAACCGAAAGAGAUUAAAGUAAACUCAUAAACCCAAGAACAAUAAAACAAGAACUUACUAGAAUUAGAAGUCGAAUUACUGAAGAAUCCUAGAAGCAAGCCUCGGGUUAGAAGACUUGAUCCCGCUGGUACAACCUCGGAGUAGACACCGACAGGCCGGCCUUCCUCCGAUCUACACCUCCACUCCACCUCUCUCAAUCUAGUAGAAACUAGAAGAUCUAUUUGUACUCACAUUGGAUGCUAAGCCUAAAAUAAAUAUUUAUUUAGAGAAGAGAUUUUCCUUCGAGGGCUCCCCUCAACUCUAUGAUAAACUUGUUCUCCUCCAGGGGCCAGGGGCCUUGAUUAUAUAGUCCUCCUCCUUUGUGCGUUUUUGGUCCAGCAGGCAAUGUGGUACUAUGUUAUCCUUGAUGCUUUAGGUCGGUGGAAUGUCGUGUGCAAAGAGAGUCCUGAUUGGCAUCCAACAGAGGGCGGGCGCCCAGGUCCUCAGGGCGGGCACCCUAGGCCUGGCCCCUUUCGGCCUCUGCUUUCUUCCCGUGGCUUCAGGAGUCUUCUAAAUGGUAGAAAAUUGCAUGAUGUGUUGAUAUCUCUAUGUAAUCCCGACAUGUGGGCCUUUCUUCCGUAUUUCCUGAUAACCCCCUACAGAAAUAGACAAACACCAAAACUCGUGGAAUUCUGUCAGAUAAAACCCUAAGUCUGGGUGUUGGUUGUAUUUGGAUCCUUUUCUUUAUUUAUUUGAUGAUUAUAUUUGGUAUUUAUGGACCAUCAACAGAGUGUCGAAGAUGGAGCACUUCUCUUGAAUAGCCAUGCUAGCUGUUGACGGUCCCUACUUACCACCUUAGAUUCUCACUUAAACAAAGAAGAGGAUUCAUAUGCAACCAUCACUCGAGACAUUCGGGUUUAUGCUAGGCAGAAUUCAAACCAUCUUUAGGAAAAUGAUAAUUGUGAUCAGUGUAAUCAACACACAUUCUCCAGUCAUUCUUCUUUUUGCAUACCAGAGACGUAUUGUCGAGCCAANNNNNNNNNNNNNNNNNNNNNNNNNNNNNNNNNNNNNNNNNNNNNNNNNNNNNNNNNNNNNNNNNNNNNNNNNNNNNNNNNNNNNNNNNNNNNNNNNNNNNNNNNNNNNNNNNNNNNNNNNNNNNNNNNNNNNNNNNNNNNNNNNNNNNNNNNNNNNNNNNNNNNNNNNNNNNNNNNNNNNNNNNNNNNNNNNNNNNNNNNNNNNNNNNNNNNNNNNNNNNNNNNNNNNNNNNNNNNNNNNNNNNNNNNNNNNNNNNNNNNNNNNNNNNNNNNNNNNNNNNNNNNNNNNNNNNNNNNNNNNNNNNNNNNNNNNNNNNNNNNNNNNNNNNNNNNNNNNNNNNNNNNNNNNNNNNNNNNNNNNNNNNNNNNNNNNNNNNNNNNNNNNNNNNNNNNNNNNNNNNNNNNNNNNNNNNNNNNNNNNNNNNNNNNNNNNNNNNNNNNNNNNNNNNNNNNNNNNNNNNNNNNNNNNNNNNNNNNNNNNNNNNNNNNNNNNNNNNNNNNNNNNNNNNNNNNNNNNNNNNNNNNNNNNNNNNNNNNNNNNNNNNNNNNNNNNNNNNNNNNNNNNNNNNNNNNNNNNNNNNNNNNNNNNNNNNNNNNNNNNNNNNNNNNNNNNNNNNNNNNNNNNNNNNNNNNNNNNNNNNNNNNNNNNNNNNNNNNNNNNNNNNNNNNNNNNNNNNNNNNNNNNNNNNNNNNNNNNNNNNNNNNNNNNNNNNNNNNNNNNNNNNNNNNNNNNNNNNNNNNNNNNNNNNNNNNNNNNNNNNNNNNNNNNNNNNNNNNNNNNNNNNNNNNNNNNNNNNNNNNNNNNNNNNNNNNNNNNNNNNNNNNNNNNNNNNNNNNNNNNNNNNNNNNNNNNNNNNNNNNNNNNNNNNNNNNNNNNNNNNNNNNNNNNNNNNNNNNNNNNNNNNNNNNNNNNNNNNNNNNNNNNNNNNNNNNNNNNNNNNNNNNNNNNNNNNNNNNNNNNNNNNNNNNNNNNNNNNNNNNNNNNNNNNNNNNNNNNNNNNNNNNNNNNNNNNNNNNNNNNNNNNNNNNNNNNNNNNNNNNNNNNNNNNNNNNNNNNNNNNNNNNNNNNNNNNNNNNNNNNNNNNNNNNNNNNNNNNNNNNNNNNNNNNNNNNNNNNNNNNNNNNNNNNNNNNNNNNNNNNNNNNNNNNNNNNNNNNNNNNNNNNNNNNNNNNNNNNNNNNNNNNNNNNNNNNNNNNNNNNNNNNNNNNNNNNNNNNNNNNNNNNNNNNNNNNNNNNNNNNNNNNNNNNNNNNNNNNNNNNNNNNNNNNNNNNNNNNNNNNNNNNNNNNNNNNNNNNNNNNNNNNNNNNNNNNNNNNNNNNNNNNNNNNNNNNNNNNNNNNNNNNNNNNNNNNNNNNNNNNNNNNNNNNNNNNNNNNNNNNNNNNNNNNNNNNNNNNNNNNNNNNNNNNNNNNNNNNNNNNNNNNNNNNNNNNNNNNNNNNNNNNNNNNNNNNNNNNNNNNNNNNNNNNNNNNNNNNNNNNNNNNNNNNNNNNNNNNNNNNNNNNNNNNNNNNNNNNNNNNNNNNNNNNNNNNNNNNNNNNNNNNNNNNNNNNNNNNNNNNNNNNNNNNNNNNNNNNNNNNNNNNNNNNNNNNNNNNNNNNNNNNNNNNNNNNNNNNNNNNNNNNNNNNNNNNNNNNNNNNNNNNNNNNNNNNNNNNNNNNNNNNNNNNNNNNNNNNNNNNNNNNNNNNNNNNNNNNNNNNNNNNNNNNNNNNNNNNNNNNNNNNNNNNNNNNNNNNNNNNNNNNNNNNNNNNNNNNNNNNNNNNNNNNNNNNNNNNNNNNNNNNNNNNNNNNNNNNNNNNNNNNNNNNNNNNNNNNNNNNNNNNNNNNNNNNNNNNNNNNNNNNNNNNNNNNNNNNNNNNNNNNNNNNNNNNNNNNNNNNNNNNNNNNNNNNNNNNNNNNNNNNNNNNNNNNNNNNNNNNNNNNNNNNNNNNNNNNNNNNNNNNNNNNNNNNNNNNNNNNNNNNNNNNNNNNNNNNNNNNNNNNNNNNNNNNNNNNNNNNNNNNNNNNNNNNNNNNNNNNNNNNNNNNNNNNNNNNNNNNNNNNNNNNNNNNNNNNNNNNNNNNNNNNNNNNNNNNNNNNNNNNNNNNNNNNNNNNNNNNNNNNNNNNNNNNNNNNNNNNNNNNNNNNNNNNNNNNNNNNNNNNNNNNNNNNNNNNNNNNNNNNNNNNNNNNNNNNNNNNNNNNNNNNNNNNNNNNNNNNNNNNNNNNNNNNNNNNNNNNNNNNNNNNNNNNNNNNNNNNNNNNNNNNNNNNNNNNNNNNNNNNNNNNNNNNNNNNNNNNNNNNNNNNNNNNNNNNNNNNNNNNNNNNNNNNNNNNNNNNNNNNNNNNNNNNNNNNNNNNNNNNNNNNNNNNNNNNNNNNNNNNNNNNNNNNNNNNNNNNNNNNNNNNNNNNNNNNNNNNNNNNNNNNNNNNNNNNNNNNNNNNNNNNNNNNNNNNNNNNNNNNNNNNNNNNNNNNNNNNNNNNNNNNNNNNNNNNNNNNNNNNNNNNNNNNNNNNNNNNNNNNNNNNNNNNNNNNNNNNNNNNNNNNNNNNNNNNNNNNNNNNNNNNNNNNNNNNNNNNNNNNNNNNNNNNNNNNNNNNNNNNNNNNNNNNNNNNNNNNNNNNNNNNNNNNNNNNNNNNNNNNNNNNNNNNNNNNNNNNNNNNNNNNNNNNNNNNNNNNNNNNNNNNNNNNNNNNNNNNNNNNNNNNNNNNNNNNNNNNNNNNNNNNNNNNNNNNNNNNNNNNNNNNNNNNNNNNNNNNNNNNNNNNNNNNNNNNNNNNNNNNNNNNNNNNNNNNNNNNNNNNNNNNNNNNNNNNNNNNNNNNNNNNNNNNNNNNNNNNNNNNNNNNNNNNNNNNNNNNNNNNNNNNNNNNNNNNNNNNNNNNNNNNNNNNNNNNNNNNNNNNNNNNNNNNNNNNNNNNNNNNNNNNNNNNNNNNNNNNNNNNNNNNNNNNNNNNNNNNNNNNNNNNNNNNNNNNNNNNNNNNNNNNNNNNNNNNNNNNNNNNNNNNNNNNNNNNNNNNNNNNNNNNNNNNNNNNNNNNNNNNNNNNNNNNNNNNNNNNNNNNNNNNNNNNNNNNNNNNNNNNNNNNNNNNNNNNNNNNNNNNNNNNNNNNNNNNNNNNNNNNNNNNNNNNNNNNNNNNNNNNNNNNNNNNNNNNNNNNNNNNNNNNNNNNNNNNNNNNNNNNNNNNNNNNNNNNNNNNNNNNNNNNNNNNNNNNNNNNNNNNNNNNNNNNNNNNNNNNNNNNNNNNNNNNNNNNNNNNNNNNNNNNNNNNNNNNNNNNNNNNNNNNNNNNNNNNNNNNNNNNNNNNNNNNNNNNNNNNNNNNNNNNNNNNNNNNNNNNNNNNNNNNNNNNNNNNNNNNNNNNNNNNNNNNNNNNNNNNNNNNNNNNNNNNNNNNNNNNNNNNNNNNNNNNNNNNNNNNNNNNNNNNNNNNNNNNNNNNNNNNNNNNNNNNNNNNNNNNNNNNNNNNNNNNNNNNNNNNNNNNNNNNNNNNNNNNNNNNNNNNNNNNNNNNNNNNNNNNNNNNNNNNNNNNNNNNNNNNNNNNNNNNNNNNNNNNNNNNNNNNNNNNNNNNNNNNNNNNNNNNNNNNNNNNNNNNNNNNNNNNNNNNNNNNNNNNNNNNNNNNNNNNNNNNNNNNNNNNNNNNNNNNNNNNNNNNNNNNNNNNNNNNNNNNNNNNNNNNNNNNNNNNNNNNNNNNNNNNNNNNNNNNNNNNNNNNNNNNNNNNNNNNNNNNNNNNNNNNNNNNNNNNNNNNNNNNNNNNNNNNNNNNNNNNNNNNNNNNNNNNNNNNNNNNNNNNNNNNNNNNNNNNNNNNNNNNNNNNNNNNNNNNNNNNNNNNNNNNNNNNNNNNNNNNNNNNNNNNNNNNNNNNNNNNNNNNNNNNNNNNNNNNNNNNNNNNNNNNNNNNNNNNNNNNNNNNNNNNNNNNNNNNNNNNNNNNNNNNNNNNNNNNNNNNNNNNNNNNNNNNNNNNNNNNNNNNNNNNNNNNNNNNNNNNNNNNNNNNNNNNNNNNNNNNNNNNNNNNNNNNNNNNNNNNNNNNNNNNNNNNNNNNNNNNNNNNNNNNNNNNNNNNNNNNNNNNNNNNNNNNNNNNNNNNNNNNNNNNNNNNNNNNNNNNNNNNNNNNNNNNNNNNNNNNNNNNNNNNNNNNNNNNNNNNNNNNNNNNNNNNNNNNNNNNNNNNNNNNNNNNNNNNNNNNNNNNNNNNNNNNNNNNNNNNNNNNNNNNNNNNNNNNNNNNNNNNNNNNNNNNNNNNNNNNAGCAACCAAUCACGUUCAACCUUGCAGAUUAUGCUCCACCGACCUAAAGGAUCAAGGAGAACCAUUCAAUCAAUGUCGGUUUGAUCCGACAGCCCAGAUUCACUUGAGGGGACUAUAUAAGCAGGCCCCCUGGCCCCUGGAGGAGGCAAACCCCUUCAUUCUUAUUCAUUAUUCAUAGACAGAGCAAAAGCUAGGGUUUAGAGAUGAGAGCUCUCCUCUCAUCUCUAAACUAGAGUAGAUCUAGAUAGUAGCGAGAUGGAGAGUGAGGGAGGAUUGGAGGAGAGGCUGGCCUGUCGGGUCUUCCUCCGGUUGUACUUCGCCAUGAUCAAGCUCUAAUUAAGCUUGCUCAUGGGAUGACUCUGGUAAUCUACUUCUAUUUCAUUAUGCAAUUACUAUCCAUGUAUGUUCUGGUUCACAGCUCUUUUGAGUACUUUAAUCUAUAGGACGCUAUAGGUGAGAGUUGUAGUAUAGGUGUAAGCGUGGUGCUUAGACCUAGAUUACUUGUGGAUAUCCCGUGGAUCGUGUGGUAGGCCGCGUAGGUGACAGUUACGUUGGUCCCCUGUAGUCCACCUCCCGUUAGUAGGACUGGUAGGGUUUAUCAGCCUAUGGAUAAGCAUCCUUUAUGGUGUAUUCUUAUCACGUGGUUCGCCCCAGACAUAGACAUACCCCUUUGAAGUAGAGAAACCAUAGUUAUCCUCUCUAUUCUCCUACCAUCGCCGAUAUAUUAGAUUGCUCUACUCUCUAUUCCCAUAUUAUCACCCAUUGUUAUCUUACCUUUAAUAUUGUUCUUAUUCAAUUCUACCAUCUUUCCUAUUUACACCUACUUAUCUAUCUAGGUUGAGUUAGAGCGUAGAUCAGUUCUCCCAUUUCCCUGUGGAUACGAUAAAACCUUUAACCGGGUAAAAGCUACAACGGUAUCCGUGUGCUUGCGGAUUUAUCUGUGUGCAUAUAAAUACCAUAGUACACUCUAGUGCCAUGCUGGGGAUGACAACCUAGUAUUCAAGUGGUGUUAGCAAGUGUCAACAAGCAUUUUUGGCGCCGUUGCCGGGAAACGGUUGCUGAGUUGACUACGAACUAGCUUAAUCAUUUUCUAAAAAAAUAUACUUUUCCUUUUAUCCUUUGCCUCAUCUCUACUAUUCUUUCUUCUUAUCUAAUCCUUGAUUUCUGGUCUAUCAUGAAUGCAAACAUGUCUAUCUAUCAGUUUCAUAAACCUACGGGCACACAUCUCGAACCACCAAAAUCUUCAAAGCCUAUCAUAGCAUCUAGUUUUGAGAUAGACCCUAAAUACAUAGAAUUUAUUCAAAAACAACCUUUCUCAGGAGAAGGUUAAGAAAACCCAUACGCACACCUAAGAGAGUUUUAUCGAGUCUGUGACCUCCUUCGCAUAGAAGGCAUGUCCGAUGAGACCCUUAAAUGGAAGCUCUUUCUGUUCUCUUUAACAGGAAAAGCUAGACAUUGGUAUAAACUCAAAGUAGGGAGUGUUCAUGGAGAUUGGAAGGAGUUAUAUAAUAGUUUUCUUUUUAAAUAUUUUCCAAUCUCCAAAGUGGCAGAACUUUGGUGUGAGAUUAUUUCUUUUAGACAACUGGAAGAAGAAUCUCUUGGCAAAUCAUGGGACCGCUUUAUUAACCUUACUCUCACUGGCCCAAAGCUUUCGAUUCUAGAAGAAGUUCUUCUAAUUCACUUUUUUGAAGGCCUUAGUAGGGAAAAUAAGCAAACCUUGAAUACAGCCUCUAGAGGAUCCUUCUAUCACCUACCUACUAGUGAAGCUAGGGAUUUAAUUGAUUCAUUGAGUGGAAAGUUUCCUAACAUUUAUAUCCCUGAGAAAGAGAAAGAACCAGUUCCUAGACAAGAAGAAGAAGUUUCGAUAGCCAGAUCACAACCACUUCAAUCCCGAACUUUAGCUAUCGAUCCUAAACCAUCAAUACCCCAAAAUUCUCCAAGGGAGGAAGGAAUUCCGACCUUAAAUCUUUCAGAUGCUGAUGGUUUAGACUUCUGGUUCCAUAAGAGACCUUCAAGCAGGGAUAAUUCAAAUCCUUGCAAUAAUGGUUCUCUUAGAGAAUGUCCUGGUUCCUGUUAUGAAGAAGUCGAGGAUGACAUAUCAAGUGAAGGAGAGCUAAACCAUAUAGAAGAUUCUAUCUGCUCCCCUUCCAUGUCGACAAAUUCUAAAUCCAUCCUUGACCUUAGAGACCCCUCUUAUCCCUCUCCUUUUAAGUCUCAUGAUGAUCCUAACAAUCCAUCAAGACGAUCAAACCAUAGGAGUCAUAAAGACCAUGAGGAUGACAUGUCAAGUAAUGUCAUAGAAGGGGAGCUAAGCCAUAUAGAAAAUUCUAACACCUCCCCUUUCCUGAUCACAAGUUCUAAAUGGCUAGAAUGUAUAGAGUGGAUGGAUAAGGAAGAAGCCUUAAUGGAUUCUGACUUUGGCUCAAUUUCAAAUGGUGAGUUCUUGACUCCCUUUAAAGAUGAGAUUCAUCCAACUACAGAAGAGGACAUAGGUGAGACCAAUCCAGGAGAAACUCUGAACAUUCAGAUUGGAGACGAAGAUAACAUUAAUGAGCAUGGAAUUUAUUUCAUACCCACUUUGUUUACUCCAUGCUCAUAUGAAACAUCUUCCCAUCUAUUGGUCUCUCCAACAUCACCACAUUUGAGAUCUCCAACCCCCUCUUCCUUUCUAUUUAUAAAAACUUUAAAAGGGCGGUAGUCGAUGCAUAUGUCUAUAAUAAAUAUUGCAGAUCUCGUUGAGUUGAUCUUGAUAUAGGUCAGCGUUGGAGGGGAAACCACUUCGACGUCAUAAAUUGAUGGUUUACCAAGGACAAGCUUAGUGUCCUAAAAUAAGCACUGAUCAGACCAUAACAUGAGCUUUUAAUUAUUCGCAACAUUGCCUUGUGCAUUGAGUAUAUAAGGAUAAUUGUAAAAAUAUUUCUUCGGGUAUUCUGGUCACUAACCUUUCUAGGAUUCGAGCAAGAAGAUCGGAUGAAUGACAAGCACAAGGUAUGUCCAACCAAUCAUCAUGCAACACUGAAUUAAAUUCAUCCAAACUUGAAUUUUGCAAAAUUCAAGCUUGGGGGAGUACCUUACAUAAAAACAUCCUUUGUCAUGUUGCUAUGUUGGUAGUCCCUACCUUUGAGACAUGCUCAAUUGAUUAAAUACUAAUCACACUACUUCAUCUCCACUUGAGUAGAUCUCUAUGCUCUCAUGCUACCUUUAUUUGCUUUAGUAUAUGUCUAGGUUUGGAGUAGUUUCAUUUAUCUCUUAAAUAAGCAUGGUGCUUAGUUUAGGAAUGAUGAUAUUACUUCCAAGGGAUUUCAAAUUAAGCAUGGUGCUUAGGUUAAAAUGUCCUUCUAAGUCUAAUUAGACAUGGUGUCUAGGUUGAUUUUUGAGCCGAAAGUAUGCUAUAGUAGAUAUUGGAUACUUUGUUGGGCUAACCCCUACAGGAAAACUUUCAAUAUCGACCUGGGAAGUCCUGAGAUAAACUCACAUUGGAGACAAAGAGAGAGAAACAUCAAGUUUAACAAUUUACACAUGGAAGACGUAGCUCCUAAGAGAUGAUCCAUGGAGGGUGCCACAAACACGAUGCACAACCGCUAAGAAAGGAAAGCUUCCACAAGGUCAUACUGUACCAUCACUCUUCAAGUAAAGUAACAUCUUAUGGUACUUGACUAUUACUUUUAUAAGCUUCUCCUUGGUUCUGACGUUCAUAUGAAUAAAAGAGACAAAUAUGUAUGAUUUACAACUCUAGGUUAACCAACCCAAUCGAUUUAACAUGUUUAGUCCUUCCACCUUUGUGAUCCCACACUCCUAAUCAUAUGAGCUAAAAUGUUGCACACUCAAUCUUUGGAAGAUAUAUAAAAAACAUAAAUAUAGAUAGAUUAUCUUUCCAUUAGGUUGAGCGAUCUGAUCUGACAAAUGUGUUAAAUACUACACUCAUGAUCUUAUUAUCCAUCAAAUUUGUCUUGCUCACUAUGCUUAAGGUUAGAGAAGAACAAAUACACUUUUGGUUCUAUUGGUGUUUUCCACCAACAGGGCCUAUGCACUUGAUCUCUGCCUUGUCUCUAUGAGCAGGUACACUUGGAGCAAAACAUGGUGGAGUUUUACAACUCCCAGAUUCCACCAAGUGAAGGACCUGGAUCUACGAGCACAAACACAAUGAGCAAGAUACUCCCAACGCCGCACUUCGAACUGCUGGGCAAACGAAGAACAUGGUGACACCGUAUCAAGAGGUGCAGACGUCAAGGUCCGCACCUGAAUCAAAUGAUGCACCUAAAGAAUGAACACGGUGAGAAGUCUUGUCCAGAAGACUUAAAAUAUUUUAAUCCUUGCCGGAAGGUAAAAUCGGAAUUUAUCCAUAUUUAUCUUUUCUGCAUUCCUUUUUCUUUUUUUAUUCCAUCACUUGCAUUAGCAUAUUUACUUUUCCACAUUAGCAUUAGAAAAGAAAACAAAAAUAUUUGUUCAUUGCACUGCAUCAUAAAAUCUAAAGCCCCAUGUGAGUAGACUUGUGGUUUAAAACCCAUAGGUAUAUUGACUGUGGUGGCAUAAAAUAAAUAUGUUUUCAUCGUACAAUAAAAAAAUAAUAAGUGCAUGAUCCUGCUAAAUAAAUAAAAUUUAUUAGGAGGAAUCUCAAUAUGAUAAAGGCUAAGAGAUUUUAUGCUAACACUUAACCAGUUCCACAAAGCUUUGUUGUCUACUUGAGCUCCAUAGAAUUCAAGAAUCAAAGAAGACAAGCAGACGGAGGACGUUCUAAUCGCUGUCAGGGUGCUGCCGACAUUCAAAUACACCUUCGCCACCUGCUAGAAGAAAUUACGUCAAAAUCCAUCUUGGGGGAGAGCACCCCCAUUUAUCCUACUAAGUGUUUCUACUUGCGUUUAUACUUUACUCAAAUAAUAAAAAGAUGCAUAAUCAUAAAAACCCAAAUAAAGAUUUUUGUGCUUAUAUAUAUCUUUGCUUAGUUUGCUAAAUAAAUAAAUAAAUAAAUAAAUGAAGUUUGCUAUGAACCCUCUGAAAGGUCCAAAUGGCUAGAGGGGGUGAAUAGCCUAUUUAAAAUUUCUACAAACUUCUACUAGACAAGUUGAUUAGUAAAAUAAAAGGCGAAGCUAUUCUAGCACUAGCACAACUAAGCUAUGCAAGCCACCUACACAAGUCUAGCAAGAAAGCUAAACACUAGUUACAACAAGAAAGCACAACUAAAAGCUUGCUACACUCCUAAACAAUAAGACUAAACUAAACAAGCUAAACAACUAGCAAGGUAAACAAGUAAGUAAAUGAGUGAAGAGUGAUUGUUAUACCAACGUUGUAGAGUAGAGAUAUAUCCAACCAAUCACUCACAAUUACAAGAGAAUCCUCGGCAAGAGAUGACACAAGAUUUUUUAACCGAGGUUCACUUGCUUCCCGGCAAGCUAGUCCUCGUUGUGGCGAUACACCCACUUGAUGGAUCACGAGCUAAUUAGCAAUCCAAAGCCAAACCCUCAGCGGGUGCCGCACAUCCACUCACAAGAUGGGGAUCCUCCAAGCCACGAGCAAUCCAUUAGAGUAGCCAAUUGCGAUCUCCCGCGGGGAAGGCUCAAGAACCCCUCACAAGUCACUUGGUGAGGCUCGAAACAAUCUCCAAUCACGAGCUCAACACCACCGCUCCUCCAAGCCGUCUAGGGCGUCGGGAAACACCCAAGAGUAACAAGAAAUCCACAGCAAACUCAAGAAUCAAGUGCCACUAAAUGCAACUCUCAAAGCAAUGCACUUGAAUCUCACUCAAUCUCACUAGGAUUAGCAAUCAAGCAAGGAGAUGAGUGAAGGGAGUGUUCCUCUAGCUCAAAGUAUGGCUCAAGUAAUCAAAUGUGCAAGAGAGAACCCCUCAAAGCCGGCCACCAACUAUUUAUAAGCCCCCUCAAAGAACUAGCCGUUGGCCACUUUCACUGGGCUGAAAACGGGGGCACCGGACGCUACCAAGUGAGCACCGGACGCUCGACUCCCUGCGUCCGGUGCACUAGGGUUGGCCACGUGUCCGCCCUGAAUCUCGCGUGUCAGAUCCUAACGGUCACCUGCGGAUCACUGGACGCUCUGCAGAUCCACACCGGACGCGUCUGGUGCACACCGGACUCAUGCGUAGAGAGUUUCGCAAACCUGCGGGUCACCGGACGCUAAGCACCGGUAGCGUCCGGUGCUCACCGGACCCAUGCGCAGAGAGGGUCGCAAAACACCCGCACACCGGACGGUAACCACCGGACGCUCUCACAGUGCGUCCGGUGCUCAACCCUAGCAGGGUCAAGCACACCGGACUCUGAGGCCAGCGUCCGGUGCCUCCGCGUACUGCGUCCGGUGAGUGUUUGUCAGUGAAAAACACUCCCACGACUUCUCCAAAUUUCCGACCAGCACAAUAGAAAAUAUACACUUAAUUUUCUCAAAAGCGCCGAAUCUCGCCUCGCAAGCUCGGCGGGAGGGAGAGAGGAACCCAAACCCCUCUCAACCCUAGGAACUCCACCUCCUUUGCAAAUGUGCUAACACCAACACGUGUCCACCACCAAAGUGCAUGUGUGUUAGCUUUUCUCAAACAUUUUUCCCAAAGGAGUUAGGUUAGCACUUAACUAGAUUCUAAUGCAUAUGCUCAAGAUAUGGACCUAGUAGCACUUGAUUCGAGAGAAGACCGUGAUUUCCCCUCUUGAUAGUCGGCUAUCUAUCCUAAACCCGGUCAAUCACUUCUCUACUCAUCUUAGACCGGUAAAAGUAAAACCCUAUGUGUAUACCUUUGCCUUGAUCACUUUGCUCCUCGUCUAUCACCAUGAUCUUUACUUCAUGCUUCAUCCCUUUGUGAUCAUGUGACCACCUUUCCAUGCCACCGUGCACCUUCAUCACAUGUGUUGCUAUAACUAACUCAAAUCACUUAAACACAUAGCAUUAUCAACUUGGUGUCAUUAAUUACCAAAACCAAACUUGGGCUUUCAAUCUCCCCCUUUUUGGUAAUUGAUGACAACCAUCACAAAGAUAUGAAAUGAAAUCAUAAUGAACUUGAAUUGCUUGUCCAAAGCAUUUUAAUCAUGAGACAAGGUUGGACAAACAUUUGAAUUUCAGUUUUGGUAGUACUAGCUCCCCCUACAUAUGUGCUUCCAUGAGUUUGGUUCAAGUUUGCACAUAUGUAUGAAAUGGAAUUUUGGGAGAUUUAUUACUACCAAAAUGAUGCUAAGGUAUAUAGAAUGGACCUUUGAAGCGUGAUACCAAUCGGAGUUGCCAAUAUACCAUCCUUAGCACCAAUGUAGCUAGACAUAUAUCAAAAACUCAAGAUACCUUGUGAGAUCACAUUAUAUGUCUAGAUACCACAUGAAAAUAAAACUCUAUGCUAGAAUUCAAGACAUCAUUCAAGUUCUAUUUCUAGCAAGCACCAAUCAAACAAUGAGUAGUGAAUUUAAACUUGCAAUGCAACACCUCAUUAUGUUAGUGCACAUACAAAUGCAACAAAAGGUUCAUGAGCUUGCUCCCCCUAUUUGUGUGCUCAAAUUUUAAUUUAAUUUUCCAAAAUUUAUCUCUCCCCUUUAAGCACUUUUCUCCCCCUUUAUGACUUUAUCUUUGUUUCUCUCCCCCUUUGUCAUCAAUGACCACAAAGGUUCAAAUUUUAGUGAGAAUUAAGUCAAUCAAUGUGAGGGUCAAAUUAUGGUUCAAUCUAGAUCACUUGCCUAGAAUAUGUAAUUCGGUUUGAUCCAAGGACAAGCUUUUUCGCACCUCAUAAAGUAUAAGGGUUAUCUUGACCAUGUUGAAUUACACAUCAUAAGCUCAUAUUCUAGAUUCAACACUAGGCUCACAAGCUCACAAACAUGUCAUAUGCUACCACUAGAUCAAUCAAACAUAGAAGCAAUAGUGGUACCAUACAUACAUCAAAAUCUUUUGAUUUUCAUGAAUGAGCCUAUUUGUCAUGCAAACAUGUCUAUAUGUUCUAAUCAUGUCCUUAGCAAAGUAUGAAUGCUAUGUCAACCAACUUUACCUUGCUUUGUUGAAGGAGAGGCAUGUCAUAUAAAUGUGGGGGUGCACUCAUCUCAAGUUGGAGAAGUCAAGUAUGUUCAAUUCAUUUCUCAACUUGCAAAAUCUCUUCUCAUCAAGUGGCUUUGUGAAGAUGUCGGCUAGUUGAUCUUCGGUGCCAAUGCUUUCAAUGCUAAUAUCACCCUUUUGUUGAUGAUCUCUUAUGAAAUGGUGCCUUAUGUCAAUGUGCUUGGUUCUUGAAUGUUGAACCGGGUUUUGUGUCAUCUUGAUUGCACUCUCAUUGUCACAUAGCAAAGGCACAUUCUUGAAUUUGAUUCCAAAGUCAUUCAAGGUAGCUUUCAUCCAAAGCAAUUGUGCACAACAACUACCGGCACUAAUGUAUUCGGCCUCGGCGGUUGAUAGUGCAACACUAUUUUGUUUCUUUGAUGACCAUGAAACUAGAGACCUUCCUAGCAAUUCACAAGUGCCACUUGUGCUCAUUCUAUCAAUCUUGCAUCCACCAUAGUCGGAGUCCGAAUAUCCAAUCAAUUCAAAGUUAGACCCCUUGGGAUACCAUAAUGCAACAUCAUGAGUGCCCUUGAGAUACCUCAAUAUCCUCUUGGUUGCCUUCAAGUGACUUUCUCUAGGUGAAGCUUGGUAUCUUGCACAUUUGCACACACUAAACAUUACAUCCGGCCUUGAAGCGGUGACAUAGAGCAAACUUCCAAUCAUGGACCGGUAUAGCUUUUGAUCUACCAUGUUGCCACUUGCAUCACUACCUAAUUGAUCAUUUGUGCCCAUAGGUGUGCUCAUUGGUUUAGCUUCUUGCAACCCAAACUUGUUGAUCAUGUCCUUGAUGUACUUGCCUUGACUUAUAAAAGUACCAUCCUUCAUUUGCUUGAUUUGAAGUCCAAGGAAGUAACUAAGCUCUCCAAUCAUGGACAUCACAAACUCAUUUGCCAUCAUUUUUCCAAACUCUUCACAAAAGUCUUGAUUGGUUGAUCCAAAGAUGAUAUCAUCAACAUAGAUUUGCAACACAAACGAGUCAUUGCCUAGCUUCUUAGUGAAGAGGGUAGUGUCAACCUUUCCCAUUUUGAACCCUUUAGAGAGAAGGAAAUCUCUCAAUCUCUCAUACCAUGCUCUAGGUGCUUGCUUCAAACCAUACAAUGCCUUCUUGAGCUUGUACACAUGGUUGGGUUUCUUGUCAUCUUCAAAACCGGGAGGUUGUUCAACAUAAACCAAUUCAUUGAUGUAUCCAUUGAGAAAUGCACUCUUCACAUCCAUUUGAAAGAGCUUGAUGUUGUGGGCACAAGCAUAGGCUAAUAAUAUUCUAAUUGCCUCCAAUCUUGCAACCGGUGCAUAUGUUUCUCCAAAGUCAAGACCUUCAACUUGAGUGUAGCCUUGUGCUACUAAUCUUGCUUUGUUUCUCACAACUACACCAUCUUGAUCUUGCUUGUUUCUAAAGACCCACUUGGUACCAAUUACAUUGUGGUUCUUUGGCCUCUCAACAAGCUCCCACACUUGAUUUCUUGUGAAGUUGUUCAAUUCUUCAUGCAUGGCAUUUACCCAAUCGGAAUCCUUCAAUGCAUCUUCUAUCUUCUUUGGUUCCUCAAAUGAGAGAAAUGAGUAGUGCUCAUAAAAGGAUGCUAGCCUUGAUCUUGUUUGUACACCACUUUGAAUACCACCAAUGACUUGAUCCAAUGGAUGAUCCCUUGCUAUGCUUGUAGGUUGGAGAAUUGGGAGUUGAUUGCUUCCACUUGCUUGAUUUUGAUUUUGAUCAUCAUCAUGAGAGCCACUAGUACUAGUUUGAUUUGUAUCAAUUUGCACUUCUUGAUUGAUCAUGUGAAUGUCAUUAUCAUCAUCAACUUGCCUUGGCCUUAUGUCACCAACAUCCAUGUUCUUCAUUGCAUUUGUCAAUUAAUCUCCUCUCACAUCAUCAAGAAUUUGAGCUUCACUUUGAGAUCCCUCGGUUUCAUCAAACUCAACAUCAUGGACUUCUUCCAAUGUGCCACUUGCCAAGUUCUAAACUCUAUAUGCCUUGCUUGUAGUGGAAUAACCAAGCAAGAACCCUUCAGCACAUUUCUUAUCAAACUUGCUCAAUCUAGUGCCUUUCUUGAGAAUGUAGCAUUUGCAAUCAAACACUCUAAAGUAUGCAAUAUUGGGCUUUCUUCCAUUCAAUAGCUCAUAUGGUGUCUUCCCAGGCUUCCCAUGGCAAUAGAGACGGUUGCUACAAUAGCAAGCCAUGUUGAUGGGUUCACUCCAAAAUGAAUGGCUAACAUUGUAUUCACUAAGCAUUGAUCUAGCCAUAUCAAUCAAGGUUCUAUUCUUCCUUUCAACUACACCAUUGGAUUGAGGAGUGUAUGUUGGAGAGAAUUGAUGUCGAAUGCCAAGGUCAUCACAUAAUUCCUCAAUUCUUGUGUUCUUGAAUUCACCACCAUUGUCACUUCUAAUCUUCUUGAUAGUGGUUUCAAACUCAUUUUGCACCCUCUUGACAAAAGACUUGAAUAGAUCACAAACAUCACUCUUGUCAUAGAGGAAGAACACCCAAGUAUAUCUAGUGUAGUCAUCUACUAUCACAAAUCCAUACUUGUUGCCACCAAUGCUAGUGUAUGUUGUUGGCCCAAAUAAAUCCAUGUGCAAUAGCUCAAAUACCUUUGAUGUGCUCAUUUCACUUUUCUUAGGAUGUGCAUUUCCAACUUGCUUUCCGGCUUGACAAGCACUACAUGGUUUAUCCUUCUCAAAGGUGACAUCCUUCAAACCUCUAACUAAGUCAUGCCUCAAAAGUUUGUUCAAUUGUUUCAUUCCAACAUGACCAAGCCUUCUAUGCCACAACCAACCCAAACUUGAUUUGCUAAUUAGGCAUGAUGUCAAUUGAGUGUCACUAUCAUUGAAAUCAACCAAGUAUAAGCUACCAUGCCUAAAUCCUUUCAAUAUCAAGUUUGAUCCAUCAACACUAACAACCUCAACAUCAUCACUUCCAAAGAUGCACUUGAAACCAAGGUCACAAAGUUGUGCAAUUGACAAGAGAUUGAAAUCAAGGCUCUCAACUAGCAACACAUUUGAUAUGCUCAUGUCAUUUGAGAUAGCAAUUUUACCAAGCCCUUUGACCUUGCCUUUCUUAUUGUUGCCGAAAGUGAUAGAAUCAAAGCCACCAUUUUGAUUUGUAUCAAUUGAUUUGAACAUACAAGACUCUCCGGUCAUAUGUUGAGUGCACCCACUAUCCAGCACCCAAUGCCUUCCUCUGGCUUUGUAAUUGACCUACAAAACAAGAUCAAUUCUUUUUAGGUACCCAAACUUGAUUGGGUCCUCCAAGGUUAGCAACUAAGCUCUUUGGUACCCAAAUGACUUUCUUCUUUGAGCCCAUCCAUGGUGCACCAAUGAACUUAGCAUGAACACCUUUUAUAUCCUUGGUAAGCACAUAGAAAGAAUUAAGCUUAAAUGAGGAUACAUUGGCUUUGGGUUUCUUGUUCAUGCAUUGUUGCUCUAAGUGACCAACUUGCUUACAAGCUUUGCAAUACUGGCCAUUGUUCUUCACAAAACUAGUCUUGUGAGGAGCAAAGGUGGCCUUGCCUUUCUUGGGGUUGUAGCCUAAUCCCUAUUUAUAGAGAGAAGCUCUUUGGCUACCCAAGCACAUAAGCAAGCGGUCCUCACCACUAUAAGCCUUAGCUAAGGUGUGAUUGAGCUCUUUCACCUCCUUCUUGAGAAUUUCAUUCUCAACUUUAAGUGUGGUCUCACAUGUGAAACCAUCACCACUCGAUGAGGAUGAUGUAGAUGAGCUACAUGAAGGAUUAGUAGAAGCAACAACUAUAGGCUUACUUAAGAUAUCACAUGUUAGGCAUAUGUUGCAAGUUUUAGCUUUCUCAAUUUUAGUUGGCUCAUUUUCACAUUUGUUAACUAGAGAGGAAUGAGCUUCUUCAAGCUUAGUGUGAGCCUUUUGAAGCUUCUUAUGGUCUUCCUUUAGACUCUCAUAAGAUGCCUUAAGCUCAUCAAGUUCUUGCUCAAGGGUUUUCUUAUCCUUAAGCAAGGCCUUGCACUCCUUCCUAGUUUCUUUAUAGUGAUGAGUGCAAUCUUCUAGCAUAGUGAUUAGUUCAUCUUUAGUUGGUUCGUCAUCAUCACUAUCACUAUCAUGGUCACUCUCAUCAUUGGAUGAUACCUUAGUGGCCUUAGCCAUGAAGCAUGAUGGAGUGUCGAAGAUGGAGCUCUUUUCUUGAAUGGCAAUGCUAGCAUGCGCCUUCUUCUUGGUGCUCUCAUCAUCACUUGAGGAGUCAUCACUAUCCCAAGUUGCAACAUGGGCAUCACCCUUCUUCUUGUUUGAGCCUUCCUUCUUUUCUUGCUUCUUGUUUUGCUUCUUUCUUUCCUUCUUGAUAGCAUCUUCAUCAUCACUAUCAUAAAGACACUUGGCGAUGAGAUGAUCCUUGCUAUGGCAUCUAAAGCACCUCAUGGAGUAAUCAUUCUUCUUGGAAGAGUUCUUCUUUCUUCUUGCUCGAUAGCCCUUUUUCUUCAUGAACUUGCCAAAUCUUUUGACAAGAAGAGCCAUCUCCUCCUCAUCAUCACUAUCACAAGAGCUUGCUUCUUCUUCACUUGAUGAGUCUACCUUGGCUUUGCUCUUGGAUGUGGAGGCCUUGAAUGCCACACUCUUCUUCUUCUCAUCAUCCCUCUUUUCACCUUCCUUCUUCCUUUUCUUGACCAACUCAUCCUUCUCAUCAUCUUCUCUAUAAGCAUCAUCGGUCAUCACUUCUUGGAACACUUGUUGAGGAGUUGAUUCACUAAGUGUUGUCUUGACUAGCACGGUGAUCAAUGUGCCAAAUCUCUUGGGCAAGCUUCUUAAGAAUUUCAUAGAGAAUUGACUAUCAUUCACUUCUUCCCCAAGUGCCUUGAGCUCAUUCACAAUGACUUGCAACCGGUGAAACAUCUCCGGCACACUUUCAUCUUCUUACAUCUUGAAGCUUGAAAACUUUUCUUGGAGGAUGUAUCCUUUGGCGGUUUUGGUUCCCCUGGUGCCCUCAAAUGUUUCUUCUAAUUUUGCCCAUGCAUCAUGAGCAAUCUCAAUGUUCUUAAUUUGCUCAAAGGUCUUGUCAUCAAGAGCUUCAUGAAGAGCACUAAUGGCAAUAUCAUUGCAUUGUAGCUUCUUCUCUUCGACCGGUGUAGGUGCAUUUUCAUUUGCAACCUCAAACUUUGUUUUGAUCACAUUCCAAACCUCUCUAUUGAUUGACUUGAGAUGAGCGGUCAUCUUGGACUUCCAAUAUGCAUAAUUGGUGCCAUCAAACUAAGGUGCCUUCUUGGUGUUGUUGAUAUGCAAACUAAGAGCCAUUUCUUCACCGUAGGUUGUUAAGCCUCAAAUAAACGGUGCCUCGGCUCUGAUACCACUUGAAAGGUCCAAAUGGCUAGAGGUGGGGUGAAUAGCCUAUUUAAAAUUUCUACAAACUUCAAAUAGACAAGUUGAUUAGUAAAAUAAAAGGCGAAGUAAUUCUAGCACUAGCACAACUAAGCUAUGCAAGCCACCUACACAAGUCUAGCAAGAAAGCUAAACACUAGUUACAACAAGAAAGCACAACUAGAAGCUUGCUACACUCCUAAACAAGAAGAUUAAACUAAACAAGCUAAACAACUAGCAAGGUAAACAAGUAAGUAAAGGAGUGAAGAGUGAUUGUUAUACCAACGUUGUAGAGUAGAGAUAUAUCCAACCAAUCACUCACAAUUACAAGAGAAUCCUCGGCAAGAGAUGACACAAGAUUUUUUUACCGAGGUUCACUUGCUUCCCGGCAAGCUAGUCCUCGUUGUGGCGAUACACCCACUUGAUGGAUCACGAGCUAAUUGGCAAUCCAAAGACAAACCCUCAGCGGGUGCCACACAUCCACUCACAAGAUGGGGAUCCUCCAAGCCACGAGCAAUCCACUAGAGUAGUCAAUUGCGAUCUCCCACGGGGAAGGCUCAAGAACCCCUCACAAGUCACUUGGUGAGGCUCGAAACAAUCUCCAAUCAUGAGCUCAACACCACCGCUGCUCCAAGCCGUCUAGGGCAUCGGGAAACACCCAAGAGUAACAAGAAAUCCGUAGCAAACUCAAGAAUCAAGUGCCACUAAAUGCAACUCUCAAAGCAAUGCACUUGAAUCUCACUCAAUCAAACUAGGAUUAGCAAUCAAGCAAGGAGAUGAGUGAAGGGAGUGUUCUCUAGCUCAAAGUAUGGCUCAAGUAAUCAAAUGUGCAAGGGAGAACCCCCCAAAGCUGGCCACCAACUAUUUAUAAGCCCCCUCAAAGAACUAGUCGUUGGCCAGUUUCACUCGGCUGAAAACGGGGGCACAGGAUGCUACCAAGUGAGCACCGAACGCUCGACUCCCUGCGUCCGGUGCACUAGAGUUGGCCACGUGUCCGCCCUGAAUCUCGUGUGUUAGAUCCUAACGGUCACCUGCGGAUCACCGGACGCUCUGCAGAUCCACACCGGACGCGUCCGGUGCACACCGGACUCAUGCGCAGAGAGUUUCGCAAACCUGCGGGUCACCGGACGCUAAGCACCGGUAGCGUCCGGUGCUCACCGGACCCACGCGCAGAGAGGGUCGCAAAACACCCGCACACCGGACGCUAACCACCGGACGCUCUCACAGUGCGUCCGGUGCUCAACCCUAGCAGGGUCAAGCACACCGGACUCUGAGGCCAGCGUCCGGUGCCUUCGCGUACUGCGUCCGGUGAGUGUUUCUCAGUGAAAAACACUCCCGCGACUUCUCCAAAUUUCCGACCGGCGCAAUAGAAAACAUACACUUAAUUUUCUCAAAAGCGCCAAAUCUCGCCUCGUAAGCUCGGCGGGAGGGAGAGAGGAACCCAAACCCCUCUCAACCCUAGGAACUCCACCUCCUUUGCAAAUGUGCUAACACCAACACGUGUCCACCACCAAAGUGCAUGUGUGUUAGAUUUUCUCAAACAUUUUUCCCAAAGGAGUUAGGUUAGCACUUAACUAGAUUCUAAUGCAUAUGCUCAAGAUAUGGACCUAGUAGCACUUGAUUCGAGAGAUGACCGUGAUUUCCCCUCUUGAUAGUCGGCUAUCUAUCCUAAACCCGGUCAAUCACUUCUCUACUCAUCUUAGACCGGUAAAAGUAAAACCCUAUGUGUAUACCUUUGCCUUGAUCACUUUGCUCCUCGUCUAUCACCAUGAUCUUUACUUCAUGCUUCAUCCCUUUCUGAUCAUGUGACCACCUUUCCAUGCCACCAUACACCUUCAUCACAUGUGUUGCUAUGCCUAACUCAAAUCACUUAAACACAUAGCAUUAGCAACUUGGUGUCAUUAAUUACCAAAACCAAACUUGGGCUUUCACCCUCAUGAUAAGCUCUCACAUAGAAAUGAUGAAUAGUUGCUCUGCCAUGACUAGUUCUCAAAAUUGAAAUCUCUCAAGUUUAGGCACGACUGUUAUGAAUUAAGCUUUGCUCUAAACCUGAACUUGUGGGAAGAGUACCUGAUCAAAAGUCAAAGUCGUUAACAGAUAUGAUAUGGGAAGGUUGAGCUGCUGUUUAUAUGUUCUUAGAGAUACUAGAAUUCUAGAGAAUUUUAUCUUUGAAAAUCUUUAAAAUGUUGCAUGAUGAGUUCCUGUAUGAUGAGAGUUUAAAAUCCUACCACAGCCAUAUAUACAUGCUUAUUAGACUAUGAAGCAUACAUUUACUUUUUACUGCUUAUGAGCAUUGAGUGUGGUCAAGCUGUGUAGACCCUUAGGAGCUUGUCAUGCGGUUAAAAUCAAGAUUCACUUGCACGUUCACUCAUACAUGCUGCUUCUACUCCGGAAGUAUGCAUCCACAUACAUCCACUUAUUUCCAUCUCUAGAUUCACCCAAAAUUAUUCUACUCCUAUCCGGGAGAGAAUAGCCAAAAACAUUAUCCCAUUCCUGUUUUUCCCCGUAAAAUAAAUGCUCGAGAUAUUUUAGGUACUACCACUUGCUACAUUAUUCCAGGAGGGUGAGUGCUCUGAAAAAAAGUGAAUACGAGGAAAUAAAAAGGGGCAAGUGCCCGAAACCUCGAAGAAAAGAAAAAGUGAGACGAGAGGUAAAAUGGACAAGUGUCCGACAGUAGAAUUAGGGGUACAAGAUACCCACCUGAGAGAAAAGAAAAAAAAUAUAGAGCAUCUCAUUCUCCUCAAAAAGCUUCAAAGUGCAAGAAAGGUAUGUAUCCCCUCAAAAGAGCACAAGUAGAAUUAGACUUUCACCAUUGUUAUCACCAUCAUCACCAUACACCAUUCACUCGCCACACAUGCACAUCUUGAUUUGACUUAUUGACUUGUUCUUCUGGAUCCAUGGUUUGACUAUGCAAUAAAUGUCUUGUAAGUAUGUAUUAUCUAUCUCCUACCUAUGAGCUCCAGAUAUCAAAACCUUAGAGUAGGGUGAGAGAGCUUGGAUAGGAUCCAGAAAUACCACAAAAGAGAGAUUUGAGAGAGUCAUACAAGGAAACUCUGAGUUUUAUUUGAAAAUCUACAAAAAAAACUCCAGAGCUAUAGUUGAUCAAAGAACAAGAGACAUGGUGCUUGACUUGACCAUUCUAUCUUUUAACUGCUCAAGACAUAAGUGACAGUUGCAAGCCCCAUGGUGAAAGGUAAAAUGAGUAAGUUUAAAUCUUAACAGUUUACCCUAACCUAGAGAUGAGAUCUUGUUUGAACGCAUGUGUACCCUUAAGGCAUGAAACCACUAUAGAAACUCUUGAGUCCAUCCUUGCUCAGGGACGAGCAAGAGGUAAGCUUGGGGGAUGUUGGGUAUUUUAAACGCAAACAGAAAAAUCCGCAAGCGCACGGAUACCGAUGUAGCCUUCACCCGGGAGUAUUCCAGAGUAUCGAUUUUCCACAGAGAACGUGAGUGUACUAAUUAAGAUCCAAGAUCGCCCAAGGAUAACUAUAUAAUUAUUUUUGGUGGGAAGAGAGGAAGUUUCCUGAGAGUUCUCUAGUUGAUCUAAGAAUCAAGAAUUACUUCAAGAUUAUCUAUUUCGGGACAUCAGAGCACUAACCACAGAAAGAGAUGAGAAGGGGGUUAGGAAGGUCUGACUACGGUCCUACAAACACCGAUCCGAACGUGGUGGAAUACGUCGACCGUUAGGGCUGUCACUACCCUAAGGCUACCACAACAAUCCGCAGGAUUGGGUGCAAUUCCAGGUAAUUGCAAGACUAAACACCACGUCUAAUCUAUUAAUUACUACUCUAGCGUUAUAAAGACUAGAGCACUUGAUGCAAGCGGGAAUCCAAUAAAUAACUUGAAUGUAAAUAAAAGUAAUUAAAGAACUCAGGAAUUAUGAAUUGAAGAACCUGGAGAAUGAUGAAGAACGAACCAGUUGCUGCAAAAGUAUAAUGUUGAGGAAGAUCCGACAGAUCCGGCUCCUCCUCCGCUCUCCUCUUCUCUCUCCCUAUUUUCUAGAUUACAACUAGAACUAACUAGAACUAGAACUAGAGGAACUAGAACUAGAACUAGAUGAACUAGAACUAGAUCUAGAUGAACUAGAGGUAGAACUAGAAGAACUAGAGGGAUCCUCUCUACUUGGAUGAAGAAUUGAAACCCUAACUUUGAUUCUGUAGAAGAGGUAUGAUCUCCAGGGGCCAAGAGGGUCUGGUUUUAUAGUCCCUUCAAGUGAAUCUGGGACGUCGGAUCAAAACGACAUUGAUCUUGUGGUUUUCCUUGAAGUAUUAGGUCGGUGGAGUGUUGUCCCCGAAUUGGACUCUGUUUGGUCCAGGGGGGAGGGCGGGCGCCCAGUGCCCGGCUCCGUUACGUCUCCCGUUCGUUCCCAUGGCUUCUGGUGUCUUCUAGAUGGUAGAAAAUUGUGUGGCACGUUAAUAUCUCUAUGUAAACCUGACGUGUGGGCCUUUCUUUCGUAUUUCUUGAUAACCCCCUGCAGAAAUAGACAAACACCAAAACUUGUGGAAUUCUGUCAGAUAAAACCCUAAGUCUAGGUGUUUGUUGUAUUUGGAUCCUUUUCUAUGAUUAAUUGAUGGUUAAAUGUGAGCAUUAAGGACCGUCAACAAGCUCCCCCAAGCUUAACCUUUGCUCGUCCCUGAGCAAAGAUGAACUCAAGAGUUUCUGCAGUGGUUUCAUAACUUAAAGAUACACAUGCGUUUAAACAAGAUCUCAUCUCUGGUUAGAGUAAACUGUUAAGACUUAAAACUUACUCAUUUACCUUUCACCAUGGGACUUGUAACCGUCACUUCUGUCUUGAGUAGUUAAAAGAUAGAACAGUCUAGUCAAGCACCAUGUCUCUUGUUCUUCGAUUAACUAUAGCUCUGGAGUUUUUGCAGAUUUUCAAAUAAAACUCAGAGAUUCCUUGUAUGACCCUCUCUAGUCUCUCAUUUGUGGUAUUUCUGGAUCCUUACCAAGGCAGUAAUGCUGUAUGCCUUCUCUCAAAGUAUGUGGUAUUUUUGGUAUGGGGCAUAGUGGCAUUGCCUUCUCUCUCACCCUACUCUAAUAAGGUUUUGAUAUCUGGAGCUCAUAGGUGGGAGAUAGCUAAUACAUACUUACAAGACAUUUAUUGCAUAGUCAAACCAUGGAUCCAGAAGAACAAGUCAAUAAGUCAAAUCAAGAUGUGAAUGUGUGGCGAAUGAAUGGUGUAUGGUAAUGAUGGUGAUAACAAUGGUGAAAACAAUGGUGAAAGUCUAAUUCUACUUGUGCUCUUUUGAGGGGAUACAUACCUUUCUUGCUCUUUUGAAACUUUUUGAGGAGAAUGAGAUGCUCUAUAUUUUCUUUCUUUUCUCUCAGGUGGGUAUUUUGUACCCCUAAUUCUACUGUCGGACACUUGUCCAUUUUUACCUCUCGUCUCACUUUUUUUUCUUUUCUUUCGAGGUUCCGGGCACUUGCCCCUUUUUAUUUCCUCGUAUAUAUAUUUUUUUUCUCUUUUUUUUCUUUUUUUAAGAGCACUCAUCUCAUGAGAUAAUAUAGCAAGUGGUAAUGCAAAAAUGUUUUUGUCUAUUCUCUCCCGGAUUAGGAGUAGAAUAUUUUUAGGUGAUUCUGGAGAUGGAAAUGGGUGGAUAUAUGUGGAUGCGUACUUCCGGAGUAGAAGCAGCAUGUAUGAGUGAACGUGCAAGUGAAUCUUGAUUUAACCACAUGACAAGCUUCUAAGGGUCUACACAGCUUGACCACACUCAAUGCUCAUAAGUAGUAAAGUAAAUGUGUGGUUCAUAGUCUAGGAAGCAUGUAUAUACGGCUGUGGUAGGAAUUUAAACUCUCAUCAUACAGGAACUCAUCAUGCAACAUUUUAAAGAUUUUCAAAGAUAAAGUUCUCCAGAAUUCUAGCAUCUCUAGGAACAGAUAAAUAGCACCUCAACCUUCCCAUAUCAUAUCCGUUAACGACUUAGACUUUAGGUCAAGUACUCUCCCCACAAGUUCUGGUUUAGAGCAAAUCUUAAUUAAUAACAGUCAUGCCUAAACUUAAGAGAGAUUUCAAUUUUGAGAACUAAUCAUGGCAGAGCAACUACUCAUCAUAUCCAUGUGAGAGCUUAUCAUGAGGGUUCAUAGCAAACUUUAUUUAUUUAUUUAUUUAUUUAUUUAUUUAGCAAACUAAGCAAAGAUAUAUAUGUAUAAGCACAAAAUCUUUAUUUGGGUUUUUAUGAUCAUGCAUCUUUUUAUUAUUUGAGUAAAGUAUAAACGUGAGUAAAAUACUUAGCUGGAUAAAUGGGGGUGCUCUCCCCCAAGCUGGAUUUUGACGCAAUUUCUUCUGAUGUAGCUAGCAGGUGGCGGGGGUGUAAUUGAAUGUCGACAGCACCCUGACAGCGAUUAUGAUGUCCUCCGUCUGCUAGUCUUCUUUGAUCCUUGAAUUCUGUGGAGCUCAAAUAGAUAACAAAGCUUUGUGGAACUAGUUAAGUGUUAGCAUAAAUAUCUAGCCUUUAUCAUGUUGAGCCUCCUCAAUAAAUGUUACUCUUUUUAAUAGGAUUAUAAAUCUAUUUUUAUAUUUUAAUUUUUUUAUAGGACAGGAAUAUAUAUUUAUUUUAUUUUUAUGCCACCACAGUGAAUGUACUUAUGGGUUUUAUGCCAUGAGCAUACUCACAUGGGGCUUACUUAACAUUUUUAUUUCUUUUUAAGAUGAUAUGAACCUGAUUAACUAAGCAAACUAUUUUAAAUAAUUGAAGGGAAACGGAUAACUACCAAGUUUACUUCUUGACAAGGCGUUCGGUGUUUUUAAGUCAUCCGAACGGGACUCUCCAUAUUCUCAGUCAUCCUGGGAUUCGCUGGAUGGCGUAGUCGGUGGUCCCGGCGGCGCUUGGUCUUCAUGUAUAACUAUCUUCUCUCUACACACCUGACUCGGUGCUACGGUCUCCUUAGGAUAAUUCUGUUUAAGUUGUAUGUCUUCAGACUGUACUACUUCCCCUUCGUAGUCUGCCCAUCCAUCCUUGAUGAUUUGCCUCCUCUGGUUGCGGUUGCGUCAUCUUCUUCUUGUCCUGACCUGCUUAGAGUCUUUAACUAUAUAGUUAAGGUCAGUAAAAUAGUGGCAUACCUUCUCAGAGGGGAAGUGCAUGUGGACUUCUCCGGUUCCAAUGUAGAUGAUUGCUUUAACAGUGCUGAGAAACGGUCUUCCAAGGAUGAUGGGUGUAUCGUACUUGUCUUCUCCCAUGUCAAUAACCUGAAAGUCUCUCGGAAUGUCUGAUCUGCUAUCUGGAGCUGAAUGUAUGUUGGUUUUAGGGGCAUGGUUCCGAAUAGGAGCUGAUAGGUGACUGCGGCCAUUACGUUGACGUCAGAUCCGGUGUCGUAGAGUGUCUUCUGAAAAUAAUAUCCGUUGAUUGUGCACUCGAUGCUUGGAACACCAGGGUCGUCCUUCUUGGUCAGGAAUGGUGACUUGAGUUGACGAUCUUGACCUUCUUGAGCUGCAGUGACCAUCUUAGUUGACUCAGUCCACAUUUGCUUGUUUUUGUUCCUCCUGUUGGUCCUCUUCCUUGGUUCAUGUCGGGAAUGCUUUGAGAUUUGUGUAGUCUUAUUCUUGAAGGAAAAACGUCUCCUUCCUCCCCUUGAUGUAGAAACUGAUCUUUGCAGCACUAGCGUAGAUGAUAGCUCGAGAGGUGUUCAGGAAUGGCCUCCCUAGGAUGAUGGGUGCCCUCUCAUCAGUACCAGUCUCUAUCACCACGAAGUCUGCUGGGGCGUACAAGGUACCAACUCAGACGCAGAGGUUCCUGGGCAUAAUGUUGACGCUGGAGCCAAAGUCGCAGAGUGCUUCUAGAAAGUCCACCAUGCCGAUGGAGAUCGGGAUGACGGGGCAUCCUGGAUUGUCUCUCUUGACCGGCAGAAGGUCAGUAAUUACUUCCACAACAGGGUUACUCCAGUAGUUAUGUCCUCAAGCAUCUUAGGGCAGUGAUUGCCUGAGUGUCCAGUAUCUCCAGUGUGUUUGUGCUCGUAGAUCUAGGUUCUUCACUUGGUGGAGUCUGGGAGUUGUAAAAGUCCUUCUUAUUUUGCUUCAAGAGUACCUGCUCAUAGAGACAAGGCAGAGACCAAGUGCAUGGGCCCUAUUGGUGGAAAACACCAACAGAACCAAAAGUGUAUUUGUUCUUCUCUAACCUUAAGCAUAGUGAGCAAGACAAAGUUGAUGGAUAAUAAGAUCAUGAGUGUAGCAUUUAAAACAUUCGUCAGAUCAGAUCACUCAACCUAAUGGAAAGAUAAUCUAUCUAUACUUAUGUUUUUAUAUAUAUAUAUUUUCCAAAGAUUGAGUGUGCAACAUUUUAGCUCAUAAUAUUAGGAGUGUGGGAUCACAAAGGUAGAAGGACUAAACAUAUUGGAUCGAUUGGGUUGGUUAAUCUAGAGUUGUUAAUCAUACAUGUUUGUCUCUUUUAUUCAUGUGAACGUCAAAACCAAGGAGAAGCUUAUAAAAGUGAUAGUCAAGUACCUUAAGAUGUUACCUUAAUUGAAGAGUGAUGGUACAGUAUCACCUAUUGGAAGCUUUCCUUUCUUAGCGGUUGUGCAUCGUGUUUGUAGCACACUCCAUGGAUCAUCACUUGUGAGCUAUGCCUUCCUUGUGUAAAUUGUUAAACUUCAUGUGCCUCUCUCUUUGUCUCCAAUGUGAGUUUAUCUCAGGACUUCCCAGGUCGAUAUUGAAAGUUUUCCUACAGGGGUUAGUCCAACGAAAUAUCCAAUAUCUACUAUAGCAUACUAUCGGUUCAAAAAUCAACCUAGACACCAUGUCUAAUUUGAUUUAGGAGGGUAUUUUAACCUAAGCACCAUGCUUAAUCUAAAAUCCCUUGGAAGUAAGAUCAUCAUUCCUAGCUAAGCACCAUGCUUAAUUAAGAGAUAAAUGAAACUACUCCAAACCUAGACAUAUACUGAAGCAAAUAAAGGUAGCAUGAGAGCAUUUAUAGAGAUCUACUCAAGUGGAGAUGAAGUAGUAUGAUUAGUAUUUAACAAAUUGAGCAUGUCUCAAAGGUAGAGACAACCAACAUAGCAACAUGGCAAAUAAUGUUUUUAUGUAAAGUACUCCCCCAAGCUUGAAUUUUGCAAAAUUCAAGUUUGGAUGAAUUUAAUUCAAUGUUGUAUGAUGAUUGGUUGGACAUACCUUGUGCUUGUCAUUCAUCCGAUCUUCUUGCUCCAAUCCUAGAAAGGUUAGUGACAAGAAUACCCGAAGGAAUAUUUUUACAAUUAUCUUUAUAUGCUCAACACACAAGGUAAUGUUGCAAAUAAUUAAAAGCUCAUGUUAUGAUCUAAUCAGUGCUUGUUUUAGGACACUAAGCUUGUCCUUGGGAAACCAUCAAUUUAUGUCAGUGAAGUGGUUUCCCCUCCAACGCUGACCUAUAUCAAGAUCAACUCAACGAGAUCUGCAAUAUUUAAUAUAGACAUAUGCAUCGACAACCACCCUUUUAAAGUUUUUAUAAAUAGAAAGGAAGUGGGGGUUGGAGAUCUCGAAUGUGGUGAUGUUGGAGAGACCAAUGGAUUGUGAAGAUGUUGCAUAUGAGCAUGGAGUAAAUGAAGUGGCUAUGAAAUAAAUUGCAUGCUCAUUAAUGCUAAGAGUGAAAUCCAUGUGGUACGGUGAAAAUGGUAAGGUGAGUGUGGUAAAAAAAAAGGAAAAGAAAAAGGAUACACGGACGACUUGGUUCGAAACUAGCACAGCUACCGUUCUCCGGCAACGGUGCCAGAAAGCUUGUUGGGUAUUUUAAACGCAAACAGAAAAAUCCGCAAGCGCACGGAUACCGAUGUAGCCUUCACCCGGGAGUAUUCCAGAGUAUCGAUUUUCCACAGAGAACGUGAGUGUACUAAUUAAGAUCCAAGAUCGCCCAAGGAUAACUAUAUAAUUAUUUUUGGUGGGAAGAGAGGAAGUUUCCUGAGAGUUCUCUAGUUGAUCUAAGAAUCAAGAAUUACUUCAAGAUUAUCUAUUUCGGGAUAUCAGAGCACUAACCACAGAAAGAGAUGAGAAGGGGGUUAGGAAGGUCUGACUACGGUCCUACAAACAACGAUCCGAACGUGGUGGAAUACGUCGACCGUUAGGGCUGUCACUACCCUAAGGCUACCACAACAAUCCGCAGGAUUGGGUGCAAUUCCAGGUAAUUGCAAGACUAAACACCACGUCUAAUCUAUUAAUUACUACUCUAGCGCUAUAAAGACUAGAGCACUUGAUGCAAGCGGGAAUCCAAUAAAUAACUUGAAUGUAAAUAAAAGUAAUUAAAGAACUCAAGAAUUAUGAAUUGAAGAACCUGGAGAAUGAUGAAGAACGAACCAGUUGCUGCAAAAGUAUAAUGUUGAGGAAGAUCCAACAGAUCCGGCUCCUCCUCCGCUCUCCUCUUCUCUCUCCCUAUUUUCUAGAUUACAACUAGAACUAACUAGAACUAGAACUAGAACUAGAACUAGAGGAACUAGAACUAGAACUAGAUGAACUAGAACUAGAUCUAGAUGAACUAGAGGUAGAACUAGAAGAACUAGGGGGAUCCUCUCUACUUGGAUGAAGAAUUGAAACCCUAACUUUGAUUCUGUAGAAGAGGUAUGAUCUCUAGGGGCCAGGGGGGUCUGGUUUUAUAGUCCCUUCAAGUGAAUCUGGGUCGUCGGAUCAAACCGACAUUGAUCGUGUGGUUUUCCUUGAAGUAUUAGGUCGGUGGAGUGUUGUCCCCGAAUUGGACUCUGUUUGGUCUAGGGGGGAGGGCGGGCGCCCAGUAAGGGAGGGCGGGCGCCCAGUGCCCGGCUCCGUUACGUCUCCCGUUCGUUCCUGUGGCUUCUGGAGUCUUCUAGAUGGUAGAAAAUUGUGCGGCACGUUAAUAUCUCUAUGUAAACCCGACGUGUGGGCCUUUCUUUCGUAUUUCUUGAUAACCCCCUGCAGAAAUAGACAAACACCAAAACUUGUGGAAUUCUGUCAGAUAAAACCCUAAGUCUAGGUGUUUGUUACAUUUGGAUCCUUUUCUAUGAUUAGUUGAUGGUUAAAUGUGAGCAUUAAGGACCGACAGGGGAGUUGUUGACGGUCCUUAAGUACCAAAUUUAAUUAUCAAAUAAACAAAGAAAAGGAUCCAAAUGCAACCAACACCCAGAAUUAGGGUUUUAUCUGACAGAACUCCACAAGUUAAGUUUUGGUGUUUGUCUAUUUCUGCAGGGGGUUAUCAGGAAAUAUGGAGGAAAGGCCCACACUUUGGGUUUACGUAGAGAUAUUAACGUGCCCCGUAAUUUUCUAUCAUCUAGAAGACUCCAGAAGCCACGAGAACGAACGGGAGGCCGAGCGGGCCCGGGGGCAGGGCGCCCGCCCUCCCCACUUGGGCGCCGGCCCAGCUCUGGCAACCAAUCACGUUCAACUUCGCGGAUUAUGCUCCACCGACCUAAAGGAUCAAAGAGAACCGUUCAAUCAAUGUCGGUUUGAUCCGACGACCCAGAUUCACUUGAGGGGACUAUAUAAGCAGCCCCCUGGCCCCUGGAGGAGGCAAACCCCUUCAUCCUUAUUUAUUAUUCAUAGACAGAGCAAAAGCUAGGGUUUGGAGAUGAGAGCUCUCCUCUCAUCUCUAAACUAGAGUAGAUCUAGAUAGUAGCGAGAUGGAGAGCGAGGGAGGAUUGGAUGAGAGGCUGGCCUGUCGGUUCUUCCUCCGGUUGUACUUCGCCAUAAUCAAGCUCUAAUCAAGCUUGCUCAUGGGAUGACUCUGGUAAUCUACUUCUAUUUCAUUAUGCAAUUACUAUCCAUGUAUGUUCUGGUUCACAACUCUUUUGAGAACUUUAAUCUACAGUACGCUAUAGGUGAGAGUUGUAGUAUAGGUGUAAGCAUGGUGCUUAGACCUAGAUUACUUGUGGAUAUCGUCUGUCUAGCCGGAUCGUGUGGUAGGCCGCGUAGGUGACAGUUACGUUGGUCCCCUGUAGUCCACCUCCCGUUAGUAGGACUGGUAGGGUUUAUCGGCCUAUGGAUAAGCAUCCUUUAUGGUGUAUUCUUAUCACGUGGUGCGCCCCAGACAUAGACAUACCCCUUUGAAGUAGAGAAACCAUAGUUAUCCUCUCUAUUCUCCUACCAUCGCCCAUAUAUUAGAUUGCUCUACUCUCUAUUCUCAUAUUAUCACCCAUUGUUAUCUUACCUUUAAUAUUGUUCUUAUUCAAUUCUACCAUCUUUCCUAUUUACACCUACUUAUCUAUCUAGGUUGAGUUAGAGCAUAGAUCAGUUCUCCCGUUUCCCUGUGGAUACGAUAAAACCUUUAACCGGGUAAAAGCUACAAUGGUAUCCAUGCGCUUGCGGAUUUAUUUGUGUGCGUAUAAAUACCAUAGUACACUCUAGUGCCAUGCUGGGGAUGACAACCUAGUAUUCAAGUGGUGUUAGCAAGUGUCAACACUAGCAUGCCCCUUCUUCAUGGUGCUCUCAUCAUCACUUGAGGAGUCAUCACUAUCCCAAGUUGCAACAUGGGCAUCACCCUUCUUCUUGUUUGAGCCUUCCUUCUUUUCUUGCUUCUUCUUUUGCUUCUUUCUUUCCUUCUUGAUAGCAUGUUCAUCAUCACUAUCAUAGGGACACUUGGCGAUGAGAUGAUCCUUGCUAUGGCAUCUAAAGCACCUCAUGGAAUGGUCAUUCUUCUUGGAGGAGCUUUUCUUCCUUCUUGCCCGAUAGCCCUUCUUCAUAAACUUGCUAAAUCUCUUGACAAGUAGAGCCAUCUCCUCAUCUUCAUCACUAUCACAAGAGCUUGCUUCUUCUUCACUUGAUGAUUCUAUCUUGGCUUUGCCCUUGGACGAGGAGGUCCUGAAUGCCACACUUUUCUUCUUCUCAUCAUCCUUCUUCCACCAUACUUCUUCCUUUUCUUGAUCAACUCAUCCUUCUCAUCAUCUUCUCUAUAAGCAUCAUCGGUCAUCACUUCUUGGAAUACUUGUUGGGGAGUUGAUUCACUAAGAGUUGUCUUGACUAGUACGAUGAUCAAUGUGUCAAAUCUCUUGGGCAAGCUUCUCAAGAACUUCAUAGAGAAUUGACUAUCUUUUACUUCUACCCCAAGUGCCUUGAGUUCAUUCACUAUGACUUGCGACCGGUGAAACAUCUCCAACACACUUUCAUCAUUCUUGCAUCUUGAAGCUUGAAAACUUUUCUUGGAGGAUUGUUGGGUAUUUUAAACGCAAACAGAAAAAAUCCGCAAGCGCACGGAUACCGAUGUAGCUUUCACCCGGGAGUAUUCCAGAGUAUCGAUUUUCCACAGAGAACGUGAGUGUACUAAUUAAGAUCCAGGAUCGCCCAAGGAUAACUAUAUAAUUAUUUUUGGUGGGAAGAGAGGAAGUUUCCUGAGAGUUCUCUAGUUGAUCUAAGAAACAAGAAUUACCUCAAGAUUAUCUAUAUCGGGACAUCAGAGCACUAACCACAGAAAGAGAUGAGAAGGGGGCUAGGAAGGUCUGACUACGGUCCUACAAACACCGAUCCGAACGUGGUGGAAUACGUCGACCGUUAGGGCUGUCACUAUCCUAAGGCUACCACAACAAUCCGCAGGAUUGGGUGCAAUUUUAGGUAAUUGCAAGACUAAACACCACGUCUAAUCUAUUAAUUACUACUCUAAUGUUUCAAAGAUUAGAGCACUUGAUGCAAGCGGGAAUCCAAUAAAUAACUUGAAUGUAAAUAAAAGUAAUUAGAGAACUCAGGAGUUAUGAGUUGAAGAACCUGGAGAACGAUGAAGAACGAACCAGUUGCUGCAAAAGUACAAUGUUGAGGAAGAUCCGACAGAUCCGGCUCCUCCUCCGCUCUCCUCUUCUCUCUCCCUAUUUUCUAGAUUACAACUAGAACUAACUAGAACUAGAACUAGAGGAACUAGAACUAGAUGAACUAGAACUAGAUCUAGAUGAACUAGAGAUAGAACUAGAAGAACUAGAGGGAUCCUCUCUACUUGGAUGAAGAAUUGAAACCCUAACUUUGAUUCUGUAGAAGAGGUAUGAUCUCCAGGGGCCAGGGGGGUCUGGUUUUAUAGUCCCUUCAAGUGAAUCUGAGCCGUUGGAUCAAACCGACAUUGAUUGAACGGUUAUCCUUGAUCCUUUAGGUCGGUGGAGCAAUAUCCCGAAAGAGAGUCCUGAUUGGACUCUGGUUGAGGGCGGGCGCCCAGGAUAGGAGGGCGGGCGCCCUGUCCCUGAGUCCUCUCGGCCUCCGCUUCGGUCCCGUGGCUUCUGGAGUCUUCUAGAUGAUAGAAAAUUGCGUGGCACGUUAAUAUCUCUAUGUAAACCUGACGUGUGGGCCUUUCCUCCGUAUUUCCUGAUAACCCCCUGCAGAAAUAGACAAACACCAAAACUUGUGGAAUUCUGUCAGAUAAAACCCUAAGUCUAGGUGUUGGUUGCAUUUGGAUCAUUUUCUCUGAUUAGUUGAUGGUUAAAUAUGAGCAUUAAGGACCGUCAACAAGCUCCCCCAAGCUUAACCUUUGCUCGUCCCUGAGCAAAGAUGAACUCAAGAGUUUCUGCAGUGGUUUCAUAACUUAAAGAUACACAUGUGUUUAAACAAGAUCUCAUCUCUGGUUAGAGUAAACUGUUAAGACUUAAAACUUACUCAUUUACCUUUCACCAUGGGACUUGUAACCGUCACUUCUGUCUUGAGUAGUUAAAAGAUAGAACAGUCUAGUCAAGCACCAUGUCUCUUGUUCUUCGAUUAACUAUAGCUCUGGAGUUUUUGCAGAUUUUCAAAUAAAACUCAGAGAUUCCUUGUAUGACUCUCUCUAGUCUCUCAUUUGUGGUAUUUCUGGAUCCUUACCAAGGCAUUAAUGGUGUAUGCCUUCUCUCAGAGUAUGUGGUAUUUUUUGUAUAAGGCAUAGUGACAUUGCCUUCUCUCUCACCCUACUCUAAUAAGGUUUUGAUAUCUGGAGCUCAUAGGUGGGAGCCAGCUAAUACAUACUUACAAGACAUUUAUUGCAUAGUCAAACCAUGGAUCCAAAAGAACAAGUCAAUAAGUCAAAUCAAGAUGUGCAUGUGUGGCGAAUGAAUGGUGUAUGGUGAUGAUAGUGAUAACAAUGGUGAAAGUCUAAUUCUACUUUUGCCCUUUUGAAGGGAUGCAUACCUUCCUUGCUCUUUUGAAACUUUUGGGGAGAAUGAGAUGCUCUAUAUUUUCUUUUUUUUCUCUCAGGUGGGUAUCUUGUACCCCUAAUUCUACUGUCGGACACUUGUCCAUUUUUACCUCUCGUCUCACUUUUUCUUUAAUUUCGAGGUUCCGGGCACUUGCCCUUUUUUAUUUCCUCGUAUUCUUUCUUUUUUUUCUCUUUUUUUAGAGCACUCAUCUCAUGAGAUAAUAUAGCAAGUGGUAGUAACAAGAUAACUUGAGCAUUUAUUUCACAGCGGAAAAACAGAAAUAUUUUUGGCUAUUCUCUCCCAGAUUAGGAGUAGAAUAUUUUUGGGUAGUUCUGGAGAUGGAAAUGGAUGGAUAUAUGUGGAUGCGUACUUCCGGAGUAGAAGCAGCAUGUAUGAGUGAACGUGCAAGUGAAUCUUGAUUUUAACCGCAUGACAAGCUCCUAAGGGUCUACACAGCUUGACCACACUCAAUGCUCAUAAGCAGUAAAAAGUAAAUGUGUGGCUCAAAGUCUAGCAAGCAUGUAUAUCUGGCUGUGGUAGGAAUUUAAACUCUCAUCAUACAGGAACUCAUCAUGCAACAUUUUAAAAAUUUUCAAAGAUAAAAUUCUCUAGAAUUCUAGCAUCUCUAAGAACAGAUAAACAGCAGCUCAACCUUCCCAUAUCAUAUCCGUUAACGACUUAGACUUCAGAUCAAGUACUCUUCCCACAAGUUCAGGUUUAGAGCAAAUCUUAAUUAAUAACAGUUAGGCCUAAACUUGAGAGAGAUUUCAAUUUUGAGAACUAGUCAUGGCAGAGCAACUAUUCAUCAUUUCCAUGUGAGAGCUUAUCAUGAGGGUUCAUAGCAAACUUUAUUUAUUUAUUUAUUUAGCAAACUAAGCAAAGAUAUUUAUAAGCACAAAAUCUUUAUUUGAGUUUUUAUGAUCAUGCAUCUUUUUAUUAUUUGAGUAAAAUAUAAACGUGAGUAGAACACUUAGCUGGAUAAAUGGGGGUGCUCUCCCCCAAGCUGGAUUUUGACGUAAUUUCUUCUGAUGUAGCUAGCAGGUGGCGGAGGUGUAUUUGAAUGUCGGCAGCACCCUGACAGCGAUUAGGAUGUCCUCCGUCUGCUAGUCUUCUUUAAUCCUUGAAUUCUAUGGAGCUCAAAUAGACAACAAAACUUUGUGGAACUAGUUAAGUGUUAGCAUAAAAACUCUUAGCCGUUAUCAUGUUGAGCUUCCUCUAAUAAAUUUUACUCUCUUUGGUUGGAUCAUAAAUCUAUUUUUAUAAUUUUAUUUUUACAGGACAGGAAUAUAUUUAUUUUAUUUUUAUGCCACCACAGUGAAUGUACUUAUGGGUUUUAUGCCAUGAGCAUACUCACAUGGGGCUUACUUAACAUUUUUAUUUUCUUUUCAAGAUGAUAUGAACCUGAUUAACUAAGCAAACUAUUUUAAAAUAAUUGAAAGGAAAAAGAUAACUACCAAGUUUACCUCUUGGCAAGGCGUUCGGUGUUUUUAAGUCCUCCGAACGGGACUCUCCGUUUUCUCAGUCGUCCUGGGAUUCGCUGGAUGGCGUAGUCGGUGGUUCCGGCGGUGCCUCCUCUUCAUGUAUAACUAUCUUCUCUCUGCACACCUGACUCGGUGCUACGGUCUCCUCAGGACAGUUCUGUUCAAGUUGUUUGUCUUCAGACCUUACCACUUCUCCUUCGUAGUCUGCCCAUCCGUCCUUGAUGAUUUGCGUCCUCUGGUUGCGGUUGCGUCGUCUUCUUCUUGUCCUGACCUGCUUAGAGUCUUAAACUAUAUGGUUAGGGUUAGUAAAAUAGCGGCGUACCUUCUCAGAGGGGAAGUGCAUGUGGACUUCUCUGGUUCCAAUGUAGAUGAUUGCUUUAACGGUGCUGAGGAACGGCCUCCUAAGGAUGAUGGGUGGAUCGUACUCAUCUUCUCCCACAUCAAUAACUUGAAAAUCUUUCGGACUGUCUGAUCUGCCAUCUGGAGCUGAAUGUAUGUCGGUUUCAGGGGCAUGGUUCCGAAUAGGAGCUGAUAGGUGACUGGGUCGUCCUUUUUGGUUAGGUGACUUAAGUCGACGGUCUUGACCUCCUUGAACUGCAGUGACCAUCUUAGCUGACUCGGUCCACAUUCGCUUGUUCCUGUUCCUCCUGUUGGUCCUCUUCCUUGGUUUAUGUCGGGAAUGCUCUGAGAUUUGUGUAGUCUUAUUCUUGAAGGAAAACGUCUCCUUCCUCCCCUUGAUGUAGAAACUGAUCUUGGCAGCACUAGCGUAGAUGAUAGCUCCCGAGGUGUUCAGGAAUGGCCUCCAUAGGAUGAUGGGAGCCCUCUCAUCAGUACCAGUCCCUAUCACCACGAAGUCUGCUGGGGCGUACAAGGUACCAACUCGGACGUAGAGGUUCUUCAAUAUUCCCUUUGGGAAACUAAGCGUACGAUCUGCAAACUGCAAACACAUGGCUGUUUCUAAUAAAGGAUGUGUAAAGAAUUUUUCAUAGAGUACCCUGGGCAUAAUGUUGACACUGGAGCCAAAGUCGCAGAGUGCUUCUAGGAAGUCCACCAUGCCGAAGGAGAUCGGGAUGACGGGGCAUCCUGGAUUGUCUCUCUUGACCGGCAGAAGGUCAGUAAUUACUUCCACAACAGGGUUACUCCACUAGUUACGUCCUCAAGCAUCUAAGGGUAGUGAUUGCCUGAGUGUCCAGUAUCUCCAGUGUGUGUACUCGUUGAUCUAGGUUCUUCACAUGGUGGAGUCUGGGAGUUGUAAAAGUUCUUCAUAUUUUGCUCAAAGUGUACCUGCUCAUAGAGACAAGGCAGAGAUCAAGUGCAUGGGCCCUGUUGGUGGAAAACACCAACAGAACCAAAAGUGUAUUUGUUCUUCUCUAACCUUAAGCAUAGUGAGCAAGACAAAGUUGAUGGAUAAUAAGAUCAUGAGUGUAGCAUUUAAAACAUUUGUCAGAUCAGAUCACUCAACCUUAUGGAAAGAUAAUCUAUCUAAGCAAAUGUUUUUUUACAUGACUAUCAUUUUCCAAAGAUUGAGUGUGCAACAUUUUAGUUCAUAUGAUUAGGAGUGUGAGAUCACAAAGGUGGAAGGACUAAACAUGUUGAAUCGAUUGGGUUGGUUACUCUAGAGUUAUAAAUCAUACAUGUUUGUCUCAUUUAUUCAUGUGAACGUCAGAACCAAGGAGAAGCUUAUAAAAGUGAUAGUCAAGUACUUUAAGAUGUUACCUUACUUGAAGAGUGAUGGUACAGUAUCACCUUGUGGAAGCUUUCCUUUCUUAGCGGUUGUGCAUCGUGUUUGUGGCACCCUCCAUGGAUCAUCUCUUGUGAGCUAUGCCUUCCUUGUGUAAAUUGUUAACUUUCAUGUGUCUCUCUCUUUGUCUCCAAUGUGAGUUUAUCUCAGGACUUCCCAGGUCGAUAUUGAAAGUUUUCUUGCAGGGGUUAGUCCAACAAAAUAUCCAAUAUCUACUAUAGCAUACUAUCGGCUCAAAGAUCAACCUAGACACCAUGUCCAAUUUGAUUUAGGAGGGAAUUUAACCUAAGCAUCAUGCUUAAUUUAAAAUCCUUUGGAAGUAAGAUCAUCAUUCCUAAACUAAGCACCAUGCUUAAUUAAGAGAUAAAUGAAACUACUCCAAACCUAGACAUAUACUAAAGCAAAUAAAGGUAGCAUGAGAGCAUUUAUAGAGAUCUACUCAAGUGGAGAUGAUGUAGUGUGAUUAGUAUUUAACAAAUUGAGCAUGUCUCAAAGGUAGGGACAACCAACAUAGCAACAUGGCAAAUGAUGUUUUUAUGUAAAGUACUCCCCCAAGCUUGAAUUUUGCAAAAUUCAAGUUUGGAUGAAUUUAAUUCAAUGUUGUAUGAUGAUUGGUUGGACAUACCUUGUGCUUGUCAUUCAUCCGAUCUUCUUGCUUCAAUCCUGGAAAGGUUAGUGACAAGAAUACCCGAAGGAAUAUUUUUACAAUUAUCCUUAUAUGCUCAAUACACAAGGUAAAGUUGCAAAUAAUUAAAAGCUCAUGUUACGAUCUGAUCAAUGCUUGUUUUAGGACACUAAGCUUGUCCUUGGGAAACCAUCAAUUUAUGUCUGCGAAGUGGUUUCCCCUCCAACGCUGACCUAUAUCAAGAUCAACUCAACGAGAUCUGCAAAAUUUAUUAUAGAUAUAUGCAUCGACAACCGCCCUUUUAAAGUUUUUAUAAAUAGAAAGGAUGAGGGGGUUGGAGAUCUCGAAUGUGGUGAUGUUGGAGAGACCAAUGGAUUGGUAAGAUGUUGCAUAUGAGCAUGGAGUAAAUGAAGUGGCUACGAAAUAAAUUCCAUGCUCAUUAAUGCUUAGAGUGAAAUCCAUGUGGUAUGGUGAAAAUGGUAAGGUGAGUGUGGUACAAAAAAGGAAAAGAAAAAGGAUACACGGACGACUUGGUUCGAAACUAGCACAGCUACCAUUCCCCGGCAACGGCGGCAGAAAGCUUGUUGGGUAUUUUAAACGCAAACAGAAAAAAUCCGCAAGCUCACGGAUACCGAUGUAGCUUUCACCCGGGAGUAUUCCAGAGUAUCGAUUUUCCACAGAGAACGUGAGUGUACUAAGAUCCAAGAUCGCCCAAGGAUAACUAUAUAAUUAUUUUUGGUGGGAAGAGAGGAAGUUUCCUGAGAGUUCUCUAGUUGAUCUAAGAAUCAAGAAUUACCUCAAGAUUAUCUAUAUCGGGACAUCAGAGCACUAACCACAGAAAGAGAUGAGAAGGGGGCUAGGAAAGUCUGACUACGGUCCUACAAACACCGAUCCGAACGUGGUGGAAUACGUCGACCAUUAGGGCUGUCACUACCCUAAGGCUACCACAACAAUCUGCAGGAUUGGGUGCAAUUCCAGGUAAUUGCAAGACUAAACACCACGUCUAAUCUAUUAAUUACUACUCUAAUGUUUCAAAGAUUAGAGCACUUGAUGCAAGCGGGAACCCAAUAAAUAACUUGAAUGUAAAUAAAAGUAAUUAGAGAACUCAGGAGUUAUGUGUUGAAGAACCUGGAGAACGAUGAAGAACGAACCAGUUGCUGCAAAAGUACAAUGUUGAGGAAGAUCCGACAGAUCCGGCUCCUCCUCCGCUCUCCUCUUCUCUCUCCAGAACUAGAACUAGAGGAACUAGAACUAGAACUAGAUGAACUAGAACUAGAUCUAGAUGAACUAGAGGUAGAACUAGAAGAACUAGAGGGAUCCUCUCUACUUGGAUGAAGAAUUGAAACCCUAACUUUGAUUCUGUAGAAGAGGUAUGAUCUCCAGGGGCCAGGGGGUCUGGUUUUAUAGUCCCUUCAAGUGAAUCUGAGCCGUUGGAUCAAACCGACAUUGAUUGAACGGUUAUCCUUGAUCCUUUAGGUCGGUGGAGCAAUAUCCCGAAAGAGAGUCCUGAUUGGACUCUGGUUGAGGGCGGGCGCCCUGUCCCUGAGUCCUCUCGGCCUCCGCUUCGGUCCCGUGGCUUCUGGAGUCUUCUAGAUGAUAGAAAAUUGCAUGGCACGUUAAUAUCUCUAUGUAAACCUGACGUGUGGGCCUUUCCUCCGUAUUUCCUGAUAACCCCCUGCAGAAAUAGACAAACACCAAAACUUGUGGAAUUCUGUCAGAUAAAACCCUAAGUCUAGGUGUUGGUUGCAUUUGGAUCCUUUUCUCUGAUUAGUUGAUGGUUAAAUAUGAGCAUUAAGGACCGUCAACAAGGAUGUAUGCCUUGGCGGUCUUGGUUCCCUUGGUACCCUCAAAUGUUUCUUCUAAUUUUGCUCAUGCAUCAAGAGCAAUCUCAAUGUUCUUCAUUUGCUCAAAGGUCUUGUCAUCAAGAGCUUCAUGAAGAGCACUUAUUGCAAUGUCAUUACAUUGAAGCUUCUUUUCUUCAACCGGUGCUGGUGUAUUCUCAUUUGCAACCUCAAACUUUGUUUCGGUCACCUUCCAAACCUCUCUAUUGAUUGACUUAAGAUGAGCGGUCAUCUUGACCUUCCAAUAUGCAUAAUUUGUGCCAUCAAAGUAAGGUGCCUUCUUGGUGUUGUUGAUAUGCAAACUAAGAGUCAUUUUUUCACUGAAGGUUGUUAAGCCUCAAUUAAACGGUGCCUCGGCUUCGAUACCACUUGUAAGGUCCAAAUGGCUAGAGGGGGGGUGAAUAGCCUAUUUAAAAUUCUCUACAAAUUCAACUAGACAAGUUGGUUAGUAAAAUAAGUGGUGAAGCUUUUCUAGCACUAGCACAACUAAGCUAUGCAAGCCACCUACACAAGUCUAGCAAAAAGGCUAAACACUAAAACACAACAACUAGAGAAGGCUACACAACAACUCUAUACUAACAAUAACUAAGCUACGCAAGCUAAACUAACAAGGUAGGCAAGUAUGUAAAGAGAAGAGAGUGAUUGUUAUACCGACGUUGUAGAGAUGAGAUAUAUCCAAUCAAUCACGUACACAAUCACAAGAGAGACCUCGGCAAGAGAUGACACAAGAUUUUUUUACUAAGGUUCACUUGCUUCCCGGUAAGCUACUCCUCGUUGUGGCGAUACACCCACUUGAUGGAUCACGAGCUAAUUGGCAAUUCAAAGCCAAACCCUCAGCGUGUGCCGCACAUCCACUCACAAGAUGGGGAUCCUCCAAGCCACGAGCAAUCCACUAGAGUAGCCAAUUGCGAUCUCCCACGGGGAAGGCUCAAGAACCCCUCACAAAUCACUUGGUGAGGCUUGAAACAAUCUCCAAUCACGAGCUCAACACCACCACUGCUCCAAGCCGUCUAGGGCGUCGGGAAACACCCAAGAGUAACAAGAAAUCCGCAGCAAAACUCAAGAAUCAAGUGCCACUAAAUGCAACUCUCAAAGCAAUGCACUUGACUCUUACUCAAUCUCACUAGGAUUAGCAAUCAACCAAGGAGAUGAGUGGAGAGUGUGUUCUCUAGCUCAAUGUAUGCCUCAAGUAUUCAAAUGUGCAAGAGUAAACCUCCCAAAGCUAGGCACCUUCUAUUUAAAAGCCCCCUCAAAGAAAUAGUCGUUGGCCACUUUCAUUGGGCUAAAAUCGGGGGCACCGGACGCUACCAAGCGAGCACCGGACGCUCGACCCCCUGCGUCCGGUGUUCUAGGGUUGGCCACGUUAAAUAUCGCGCGUCAAACUCUAACGGUCUCCUGCGGACCACCGAACGCGACCAAGUGAGCACUGGACACGUCUGGUACUCACCGGACUCGUGCGCAGAGAGUUUGUAAAACUCAGAUCUCACCGGACUCGGAGCACCGGACGGUCCGGUGCUCACCAGACUCGUGCGCAGAGAGGGUUGCAAAACCCCCUCACACCAGACGCACACCACCGGAUGCACGCAGAGCAUCCGGUGCUCUCAGUCAGACACCCUCUGCUAAAAUCAGGCCACACCGGACGCAUGAACAGGGAACACCCUGCGUCCGGUGCAGUGCGUCCGGUGCUCAACCCUAACAGAGCCAAGCAUUGACAGCACACCGGACGCUCAGGCCAGCGUCCGGUGCCUCCGCGUACUGCGUCCGGUGUGAGAAACACUCCCGUGACAUCUCCAAUUUCCUAACAACGCAAUAGAAAAUAUACACUUAAUUUUCUCAAAAGCACCGAAUCUCGCCUCGCAAGCUCAGCGGGAGGGAGAGAGGAACCCACACCCCUCUCAACCCUAGGAACUCCACCUCCUUUGCAAAUGUGCUAACACCAACAAGUGUCCACCACCAAAGUGCAUAUGUGUUAGCUUUUCACAAACAUUUUCAUCAAAGGAGUUAAGUUGGCACUUUACUAGAUCCUAAUGCAUAUGCUCAAGAUAUGGACCUAGUAGCACUUGAUUCGAGAGAUGACCGUGAUUUCCCCUCUUGAUAGUCGGCUAUCUAUCCUAAAUUCGGUCAAUCACUUCUCUACUCAACUUAGACUGGCAAAAGUAAAACCCUAUGUUUAUACCUUUGCAUUGAUCACUUUACUCCUCGUCUAUCACCAAGAUCUUCCCUUCAUGUUUCAUCCCUUUGUGAUCAUGUGGCCACCUUUCCAUGCCACCAUGCAUCUUCAUCACAUGUGUUUCUAUGCCUAACUCAAAUCACUUAAACACAAGGUAUUAGCAACUUGGUGUCAUUAAUUACCAAAACCAAACUUGGGCUUUCAUCCUCCAUGAUCAGGAUGGCGUGCUUCUUGCCGUGGGAGCACGGGAAGGCGCCCACGGGCGGCGGCGCCGCUGUCGCGCGGCCUCGUCAUAUGCCACGGUGGCCCCUUCCGCGUGGCCUUCAUUUGGAUUCAGGGCAGGCAAUUGCAUGCUCGUGUGUACUCCUCCGACGCCGGCGAUGGCGUGGGCAUCUAGAGGUCGACGUGCGCAGAGGAGGAGACAAAGAUAGAGUCCACCACCUUGGGUGCUGGUGAUGGUGACCAUGCUCUAGCUCCGGCAACAUGUUCGAUGCAAUGUCUUAGAGAGAGGUAAACUUACCAGAAUGAGGAAGAGAUAAUUGUAUGCAAACCAAGUCAACCAACCAAACAAGAAAUCGUCCUAGCCAGGCUCAACCACAAAGGCAACCAAACAAAGAGGUCUUGGCUUGUUAGGGGUAGGCUUGGUGUAGCCUGGCUUGAUUUUACUAGUCUGGCCAGGUUAGAAAACGAACCAAACACACCCUAUGUUUUUGUGGUUGGAGAGAAUCUCACACCAAGAUGUAUGGGUGUGUUUGGUUCCCAUCCAGAUGUGGCCAAAUCUGCCCUGGGCUAGAUUUCACAUGUUUGGUUCCUUGUUCUAGGCUUGGGGCAUGGCCAGGAUGGGUCGGCCGUACGAUGUUGGCCUGGCCAGCCUUGAAAGGCCAAUUCGGCCUUCCCAACUGAGCCAGGCUCUGGCCAGCCUCCUGCCUAGGUUCCCGUCAUUGCUCCCAAACUUCUUCUCUGCAUCCUCCCGGUCCCCAACCCUACCUCCUCAGCAACUCCACGCCGGCGGCGGCGGCGUCCGUGAGGCAGGCCAGCGCGGAGACGAGACGCGCGAGGCGGCGGCGCCGGGCCGCCACAUCAGGUAGCACCCCGCGGCAGCGUCCGCCCAGAGGAGCUAGCAGCGGCGGCGCCGGGCGAAGCCAAGCGCGCGGUGGCCGGAGAUGCGGAUGGGGAAUCUCCGGUCGAGGCUCUCGGCGACGACGCGCAUGCGUGGGCGCAUCUCGGGGUCGGGCUCCUCGCACCGUGGGGUCGACUCGAGCACGACGUGGAAGACGGCCAGGACCUUCUUCUUGGCGUGCACCUCGCUGAGCAGUGUGGAGUCGACCACCUCCGAGCAGCGUGGGGUCGCCCAGGACCUUCUCCUUGGCGUGCACCUUGUCGUGCAUCUCGCUCCGUGCUCGCGCCCGCUCCAUGCGCCGGGCCAUGCUCCGUGCACGCCGCGCCCUGGCCUCCAGGUCUUCGCUCGUCCGGUACUGCUCUCCAGGAAGCUGUAUCCGUGUCCAUGUGGUGCUCGCUAGGUGUUCAUCAUGUGGUCUCCAAGAAGCUAUGCAGUUGUAGAUGGGCAAGUGCAGGGGAGAAGAUGAUGGACUGCUGCUGGUGCUAUGUUCCAUGUUUUUUUUGUAUGUUCGUGCUGAGCACCUGAGCUGCUGCCCGUCCGAUGGCGUUGGUGAGAAUUGGCGCACAGCAGGUGUUCGACGAAUUAUGUCAAAGGUGGUGAACUAACCUGUAUAAAAAAGAGGUGACUCUAUCCAAGCCAAACAACCCAACCAAACACACUAAAAGUUAGACAGGCUUAGAUAAUGCAUGCAACCAAACAAGUCCAUCUUGGCUCACUAGAGACAGGCUUGAUCUAGCCUGGCUUAUUUCCUAGCCAGGCUAGAAGAGAGACAGGAAACCAAACACACCCUAUAUUUCUGCAACUCGAUGAUGUUGGCGCAUUUGAAGUUGCUUGUGCAAGACUUGUGAAAGAUCCCACAUUGCCAAAGGAUCAAAUCAACUUGGCAGAGUGGGCGAUGAGGUGGCAGCGCCAGCAUUAGCUGGAAGCAAUCAUGGAUCCUCAUCUGGAUGGUGACUUCUCAUCAGAAUCACUAAAGAAGUUUGGUGAGAUUGCAAAGAAAUGUCUCGCUGAUGAUGGGAGAAGCAUGCCAUCAAUGGGUGAGGUCCUGUGGCAUCUUGAGUAUGUGCUGUAGCUCCGUGAAGGUUACAAGCGAAAUGUAGAGUUCGAAAUAUUUAGAAGCGGUGAGUUGGAAUUCGCUGAUAUAUCCUUUAGCCUCCCUCACAUCAGAGAGGGGGAAGAGGAACGCCACUCUAUGCCAUCAAGUAUCAGAGAGGAACUAGACACAUGAGAACUUCUGACUUCAGCAAAAACUCACUGAAAAAUCUUGCUUUGUAGCCAUGAUCUUGAUGUAAAGUUGUGUUAGAGCAUCUCCAAAAGCCUUUCUAAAUCUCACUGUCUAAAUCAUCAUUUGGAGAGCCAUUUGCAUAAAAAUCGUUUUCUAUAUUUUUUUCACUCUCCAACAGUUUUGCUAAAUCUCAUGCACACUCUAGAGAGUCAUUCUUGUCUUCUAUAUUUGGCUAGCGAAAAAUUCAGAAUAGACAAUGUCUAUAUUUGGAUGACCAUUUAGAGAAGGAGGGUAAUUUUUCAUCAGAAUCUCUAUUCCUAGCAUUUAGAAAGAAUAUAUAGAGUCUCUUGGAGAUGCUCUUAUAUUGUUCUCUUAGUUUUUUUAGCUGUGUCAGUUGCUUCUUAUUCCUUUGGGCGUUCUUCCUGCCUGACAAGUGUAGAAUAAUAGUGUUUUUUUCUUGCGUAGAUUACCAAACCCCGCCAAAAAAAGGACACAGAAGUGUCAAGAUUUUCCUUGACAUCUGUAUCAUGAAAUUUGCAUAACCACCGUCCAUGUACUGCUGCCUGAAUGACCUGUAUAAAUGACACUGACAACUAUAGUGGAUAUCUUUAAGGAUAUAUUGUUGACCUGGCUUCUUUGUACCAAUGCAUUGUAAUUUGUAACCAUGUCGCUGGCUUGCUGUUGCCAGUGAACAGUUCUAAAGUGCUGUGACAGGGAUAAUAUGUUGAGACCACCAGAUAACUGGAACCGAUCAGAAAGUGUAUAUACUGAACACUGGCAUUAGAAUUCCACCCACCUAUGCACGAAAUAACCGUUUACGCAGUGACAGGCAUAGUUGAACUGCACCAGAUGACCUUUUUGUGCUUCAAGCCUAGGCAAGGUACCAAAUCCAGGCAAAAGAAAUUGAACUAACAUUAUCAAAUGAAAUAGUUUUGUUUAUGCUUGCAAGGCUAAUAGUCAACUGCAUACAAGGGCCUAUAAUACUGAUAAGCGAUCCUGGAUCUCAACAUUUGCAAUGGAAUAGUAAAAACAACAAAAUGUAGAACCACCACACAUAACAAAAUUAAUUUGGCACAUCAGUAAGCAUGAGGAUAGGAAUUUCUACAACCAAACUGUAUAAGAGUGAGUAGUAACGGCUAUUAGGGAUAUGUGCAUUCUGAAAUCACAAAAUCAAAUCAAUUCCUGUACACAAUUAUUAAAAUAAGUGCUAUUCAAAAUCCUGUACGCAAGCAUGAGACCCAUCAAUAAUGACAACAACUCAGCGCUAUACUUCCAACGCUGUGCACCAGUAAAGCAGUCUGAUUUCUGGUCAGCUUAUGAAUGUCAUAGUUAUCAUAAUAUUAACAAAUUAUAGCUUCAAAAUUUUAUAGCAAGAGUGAAACGUAAAUAGAUAAGUAUCAUUUCGGUUCUCGAUUUUUAUGAAUACUUGAUAAUUUUUUUCUCCCGUUGCAACGCACGCACACGUUUGCUAAUAAAAAGUUUAAAUGGAGACGAAUGGCUUUACUUUUUAGUAUGGAGUAUAUAUAGUAAAUAAAAUAAUAGACUUGUCGUCUUCCCUCAAACCCAACUUGAAAUAUGUUCGAGGCCCGGCCUAAAAUCAAGUACCUCGAGCCCAACUUGUGUUCGAGGCCCGGCCAAAAAAUCAAGCCUGCCAGAGAGCUCGUUGACAGCCCGCUGCCCUCAGGCUCAGCUCACAGCUCACCUCCUCUCUCUUCUCGACUCCUCUCUUCUCCGUCUCCUCCCGAUCCCGGUCGGGGGAAUUUGUUGGGGGAGAAGAAGCGAGGGGGAGAGAGCUAAACUAGGGUUCAGGGGAUUCGGGGCCGAGAGGUGCACGAUGAGCAUCGUGCCCAAGGAGACGAUUGAGGUCAUCGCUCAGAGCGUCGGCAUCCCCAGCCUCGGCGCCGAUGUCGCCGUCGCGCUCGCCCCCGACGUCGAAUACCGCCUCCGCGAGAUCAUGCAGGUCAGGCCCCGCCCCCCUUGCCUAGGGUGUACUUGUUUAUGAUGUGAGAAUUGAGAUGGAAUGUUGAGGGCUGCAUGAUGGGAUAAACUUGUCAAGUGAGAUGGUGUUUGUUUUUCGACUGCUACAACUGGUGGAAAAGUCUUUUUUUUUAUUUUUUUCAACUGAUAAUUCGAGUUAUGCUACUUAAUUAGUUGAGCGCAUACAAUUCUUUCCCUUUAGGGAUGUAGAACUUAGUUGGACAUCAUAAUUUUGUCAAAGUACUAGUGGGGUUUGAUACGGAAGACUGUCCUACGGCCAGAUAUUUCAUUAGCUAGUGUUUUUCAUAAUUCAUUUCUUUGUGGAUACUGUCUUUUCCCUUUCUGCCGCUUGUGCUAAUUUAUGCUAAACUUAUAAUCACACAAGUCUUCAUGAAACCUUGCAGUUUUACUACUUCUUCUGCCAUUGUGAUGAUCCCAUUUUCUGUGUUUUGCAUCAGGAAUCCAUUAAAUGUAUGCGGCAUGCAAAGCGGACUGUUCUGACGGCGGAUGAUGUUGACAGUGCCCUGGGCCUCAGGAAUGUUGAGGUGAAUUACCUUCCUAUGCUAAAAUUUUUGGAUACUUGCAAUGUAGGCUUAUAUAGGUCCACUAUGGAAAAAGUCUACAUCACCCCCUGAACUAUAGGGUGGUGUCUACUUUACCCCUCGAACUAUGAAACAGUCUAAUUUACCUCUGAACUAUCCAAAACCGUUCAAAUCACACCUCUGAGUGGUUUUUUAUGGCGGUUUUGCUACAGUAACUAUAGUUUUGCUACAGUAAUUGUGGUUUUGACUUUUUCUUUUUCUCUAUUUGUUUUCAUAUAAUCUUUGAAAAAUCAUAGAAAAAAUAUAAAAUAUAAAAUCUAAUUUUGUUGGACUCCGCAUGAGUAGAUCUACGCAAUGAAUAUAUAAUGUGUUAUACUUUAAUACAAAUUUUUUCUAUAAUUUAAAUUAGUUAGAAAAAUCAAUUUUAUCUGUAAUUAAUUGGAAUAAUUCAUAGCUGCAGCUUCUGUGGUCCAAUUGUGGUGAAAUUUUUAUGGUGGACUAAUUAUUCUACGCUUGAACUAUAGUAAAUAUUUCAUACUCAAUGGAUCAUAAACCUAAGUUAUUAUGGUGAAUUAUUAAAGUAGUUAUAUAUUUAAUUAUAUUUAACAAGCAUAAACCUGAAUAACCGGAAUUAACUUAGUUAUACAUGAUCCGAUGAGUAUGAAAUAUUUACUAUAGUUCAAGCAUAGAAUAAUUAGUCCAUCAUAAAAAUUUCACUACAAUUGGACCACAGGAGCUGCAACUAUGAUUUAUUCCAAUUAAUUACAGAUAAAAUUUGAUUUUUCUAACUAAUUUAAAGCUACAGAAAAAAAUUGUACUAAAGUAUACCAUAUUAUAUAUUCAUUACGUAGAUCUACUCAUAUGGAGUCCAACAAAAUUAGAUUUUCUAUUUUAUGAUUUUUCUAUGAUUUUCUAUGAUUUUUUAAAGCUUAUAUGAAAACAAAUAGGGAAAAAGAAAAAGUCAAAACCACAGUAUUGUAGCAAAACCGCUAUCAAAAACCGUCUGGGGGUGAUUUAAACGGUUUUGGAUAGUUUAGGGGGUAAAUUAGACUGUUUCAUAGUUCGGGGGGUAAAGUAGACACCACCCUAUAGUUCAGGGGGUGAUGUAGACUUUUUCCGGUCCACUAUGCACUUGUGAAUUGGUAGCUAAUAAAUUUAGAAUCCUUUUUUUUGUCGUAUUGUUUUUCUGAAUCAUGUUCAGAACUUCCAAAACGUGUAACUACAACCAACUUUUAGAUUUUGAUAAGUAUCUUUAUGGUAUGUAAAUGAUAUUCAACUUACGACCUCCACUUGCAUAUUUGGUUCAGUAAACAAUCGAACAAGUAGUUUUUGGAGGAUGAUUCCAUGUAUUUGUUAUCUCGAAAUUCCAUCUCAGAAAUCUUUAGAAAAAUUGGUUUUUGCUUUACUGGUACAUAGUUGUUUUUACUACAGUUGUAAUAUUGGUUCCUCAGUUCAUAGAUGUAAUUUUCUGACUAGAAUUUUCUCAGCAAGUAAAGCUCUUUGAUUAGCUUCUUUUUGUUGAAACUGACUGCCUUAUGCAAUUUUUCGUCAUACUUUUAUAUUGAAGAGUGUCAAAAUUCCUCUGCUAGACCUUAUUUUGUUUGAACUGACUCUGCUGUUUCAUUACUAUGGGUUCUCAAUCAGCCUGUGUAUGGAUUUGCUUCUGGUGACCCAUUGCGUUUUAAGAGAGCUGUUGGGCAUAAAGAUCUCUUCUAUCUUGAUGAUCGGGAGGUAGACUUCAAAGAGGUAGGGGCAAUAUUAAUGAUUAUUAAAUUUUCGUACCACUUAUUUCAAAAUCAUUAAUUUGAAAUGUUUCUUCAUGGUUGGUGUUAUGCAGAUUAUUGAAGCUCCUCUGCCCAAAGCCCCACUGGACACAUCAGUUGUAGCCCAUUGGCUAGCGAUUGAGGGGGUACAGCCUGCAAUACCGGAGAAUCCUGCUAUUGACGGUUUGCUCUUUUUGUCCAGAGAUUUAUAGUCCUUUUCUCCUUGGCAAGAUGUAGUUACAUUCUUCUCUAAUAUUGAGAGAAAAAACACUUGUUGUGACAAAUAGCAUUUUAUUUCAGCAAUUGUACCACCAACUGAAAAUAAAAGGUCUGAGCAUGGUAAGGAUGAUGGACUGCCAGUUGACAUCAAGCUUCCUGUUAAGCAUGUAUUAUCUAGAGAACUACAGGUACUUUGAUUAUGAUACUGUGCAAUAUUGCUCAUAUAUUUCCAAGAAACUUAUAUACCUCUUCACUAUUUGGUUUUGCAGAUGUACUUUGAUAAAAUAGCUGAGCUUACUAUGAGUAGAUCUGAUACAUCCCUUUUUAAAGAAGCUUUAGUGAGCUUGGCAAAAGAUUCUGGUCUUCAUCCUUUGGUUCCUUACUUUUCCUACUUCAUUGCAGACGAGGUUGUACAGUAGCUUUCUUGCUUUUGGUGUUAUUUUCUUGAGAUGGAAUUACUUAAGUGUGUAUCCAUCUGAAUUUCAGGUUACCCGGAGUUUGGGUGAUCUUCCUGUUUUAUUUGCUCUAAUGAGAGUAGUCCAAAGUCUUCUCCGUAAUCCACAUAUUCAUAUUGAACCUUAUGUAAGUGGUAAACCAUAAAGUUUUGAUAGUUCAUGUGUGUGACUUAUUUUUUAGUCAUUUUGGAUAUUCUUUUCAUCAUAUUAGUCCUAAAUUAGCAAUAUUUGUCUUGAUUUGUAGUUGCACCAGCUGAUGCCAUCAAUGAUCACUUGCAUUGUUGCAAAAAGGCUAGGGCAUAGGCUCUCAGAUAAUCACUGGGAACUUAGAGACUUCUCUGCCAAUUUGGUCGCCUCGGUAUGUCGGAGGUGAGUGAUAUGUGAAGGGUGUCAGUAGGUCCUUUGUAUAAUUAUCAAAUUUUAAUUCAAUUACAUUUAUGAUUUCAACUCCUUGGUCCCAUAUUAUACUCUUAAAGAACAGCUCAUAUGAAAGGUGCCCAUGAAAGUGCUUUAUCUUAGUUAUUGCUAAAAUGCUAUCUUAUCGACAGGUUUAAGAUGAAGGUCAAUUCAAUAAUAGUUUGACCACCAUUUCAUACUCUUUCUUCCAUAUAUAUAAGAUUUUAUUACUAUUUUGUGGGAUCUUGCUAUAUAUGACAUGAUCAGUUUCAUGGCAACUUACAUCUUCUUUAGCGGAGAACAUACCAAUAAACCAUUGCAUGGCUUUGCGGCUUUGCUACUGAGUACACUACAUAUUGUGUUCCUUUUAGAGACCAAAUGGUAAAUAAAUAUUUUCACUAUGCUGUGUGUGGACAGAAGAUUUAUUUCAGUUCUAUCUUCAUGCAUUUGUUGGGCGGGUCAUGACUUGUUCGUGUCUUAUGUGUUCCCCAUAAAUCCAUUUUCUUUUGGAAUUGAUAGAUCCAUAGCCUUUUGCAUACUCUGCUCAUGGAGUGUGAGUCCUUUUCUAAAUGAUAAUCUCUAGCUCUCUUUGCUAAUUGGUCUUUUCUGUAUGUAGUAAUUGGCUAAUUGCCUUAAUAAUUUUCUCAUGACAUUGUUGAUCAACUGAAGAUUAUCGUUUUCAGGUUUGGUCAUGUCUAUCACAACCUUCAAAAUCGGUUAACUAAAACAUUGAUCCAUGCAUUUCUUGAUCCUGCCAAAUCACUGACACAACAUUAUGGUGCUGUUCAAGGGAUAUCUGCAUUGGGUCCCAGCGCGGUAGAUCCCAUUCAAAACUCACUUUUUGUAUUAGUUUUGCACUGGCUGAUGUUUUUUUCUGCUUGCCAGAUUAGACUUCUUCUUUUGCCCAACCUUGUAACAUAUAUGCAACUUCUGGAGCCGGAACUGCAGCUUGAGAAGCAGAAAAACGAGAUGAAAAGGAAGGAAGCUUGGCGUGUUUAUGGUGCCUUGCUGGUGAGUUUAGAGUUUUCAGUCAAUAUAAUGUUUUCUGUAUUUUGGUUCACCAACUAAUUCCAAGCAAAGUCUCUCACCACUGGGAUGCAUUUUUUAGUGUGCUGCAGGCAAAUGCUUGUAUGAUCGGUUGAAAUUAUUUCCUGGUUUGCUUUCUCCAUCGAUGCGGCCUCUUUUACGGAGCAACAAAAGGGUCUCAACCAACAACCCAAGUAAGUGUUGAAUAUAAGCACACUAUCAGUUGAAUAUAUGCCAGUAGACACAUGUUGACUGGCGGUUAAGUGCCAAAUGGUCCUUGCUGUCAGCAGUUGAAUUAGUAGAGUUUGAAAGUAAAGAGUAUGUUGCGCUGCAAAUUUCAGAUAAGCGAAAAUCUAGCACAAAUCUCUCUGCAACUCAGCCACCUCUGAAGAAGAUGGCAACAGACGCAACAGCCAACUCCAUGGCCUCAGCUUCCAUGGGAGGAAACAUGCAAGGUGCCAUGGAUGGCUUUCCUAACCAGUUAGCCAACCCUGGCAUGAUGCAGGCCUCGUCCUCUGGCCAGAUAGUGGAGAGCAUCCCAUCAGCUGUGAUCCGGAGAGAUCAGGGCAGUGAUCUCGCACAGAGAGUUUCUGCAGUGCUUAGGCAAGCUUGGAAGGAGGAUCAGGACACCGGUCAUCUCUUGGGGUCUCUGUACGAUGUCUUUGGUGAAGCCAUCUUCUCCUUUGUCCAACCACCAGAGAUAUCCUUGUUUGUGUAGAGAGGAAAUGCAUAGGCGAGGGUUUCAUUAAUCUACGCUAUUGUAGGGAUAUUUUGCAGAGUUCACGAAGCGCUAUAAUGUAAUGCCAGCUGUAGUUUACUCAGUACUGCAUGUAUUUGUAACAUAUUCCAGUUAUGUAUACUAUGUUGCAUAGCCUGCUGCUGCUGCAAAUUUACAACUGUAUGUUACUGUAGCUAGAACUAGAGCACCUGCAGCAGCUGUGGCGUUAGGCGUUAAGCAGAAGCGAACAGUUUCAAGUAUGUCUAUCUACAUGCAUUUUGUGGUGGCGUUAACAUUCAGGUGGCAUAGUUUGCUUUUGUAAGUGCUUACUCUUCAUCCAAAAUAAGGACACAGUUAACGCGUGACCUGUUGUGCACUAGGACGUGACCUUGUUCAUCUUCCACCUUAGGCAUCCGCCUCUGUCUCUGCCUUCCUCACCUGCUGUUCCUAGCUAGUGGUUGGGUUGCCCCACCACUUGCCCUCGUCACCCUCCUUGUCCUCAUCCCUGUUGUCAGCCAUCGCCCCGCCAUGGGCGUGCUAGAGAGCUUCGGUGAACCCUAGCGCGCUAGUGGUGGUUGCCUUCUUCCCCCCCUCCUGCGAUGAUAAGCUCUUGUCGUGGCUACCUUCCUCUUCUCCCCCCCCCCUCCUACGAUGAUAAGCUCUUGUCGUGGCUACCUUCCUCUAGCCAUGGCAUCCCUGGCCCUCCUUGGCUUGGGUGCCUCCACCACCAUCAGGGCCCAAACCGUUCAGCCUCCUUCCUUGCUGCCUGGGCGGUCUACCUCUCUAGGGCCUCUUCCUUCUAAGCUCACUGGAGUUGGCUUCCUUCUCCCUCUCUGGUGACCUCCUCGUCGUCUUCGACAAGCUUCUCGUCGAAACCCUAUGUGACUUCUUCCUCUCUGCACGUGUAGAGCUCGCGGUGAGCACAGGAGGGAGGAAGAGAGGCGGUGGAGGAAGGAGAAGAAUGCGGGGAGAAGGCGAGUGCGAGGGCGACUGGUUGCGCAUGCCUACCGCGUAUUAGAGUUUGCGCUAAAUAAGUGCCAUUCUAGUCUUGUAUGCUUGUCACAAAAUAAACGUCAUUCUCACACAUUUUUCUUCUUCCAAUUCAUCUCUGUUUUCUCUUCUCCAAUACAUUUCUAUCUUUUCCGUUUCCUGAAAUUGACCUGCACUGAUCCCUUGAUGUGAGGAACAGUGGCUCAGAUUUAUGAUGUAAUAUCACAUCCUUUCCAGGGUCUUGCAUGAAAAAUGACCGGCUAAAACUAAAAAAAAAAAACAUGUACGUGACGAUAUGAGCCCCUCGCGGGUUUGGUUCCCUCCCUUAUCCUAUUUCGCUCAUGGCGCUUCUCCUGCGCCUCGCUGCUCCGUCAGCGCCGCCCCGGCGGAGCUCCGGCGGCAGGGCUUUGCCGCGCGUCGUCCUCCCGGAGGCCAUUUCCAGUGAGUGCCACCCAAGUCCUCCUCCGUCCGUUUCCCUCUUUUCCUUGCAUGGCCAUUCCCUCUUUUUCUUUGGAAUUUGGUCUAAUACCUGACUACCUGUAGACGUGCCACGCCUCAAUUUCUCGUGGCCUCCGUUCCUAUCGUUUCACGCUGGCUUAUCCAAUCCAUUGCUCCUCUGAGCAGCAGUUACCUCCAGCCCGUGUGCUCUUCUGGUCUCUAUCGCCUCCGAACUGCUGCGCACCGGAGCUGCUCGACGAAAUGCUCGUUGCUCGCCAUCUCCUCUCUACUUCGGUUCUUUCUGUUUGUUGUACUUGUGCGUGUGCCACUGAAUGUUACUGCAAGCUGCUGGUCUGGUGCUCAGUGCUGUAGUCGUCACAGUGAGGUUUCUAUGAAUCGCAGUGAUAGGAGCUUUAGGGACUCUGAAAUCUUGCGAGAGUGCGAGACGAUGUCUCAUGGGCCAUUGUGUUUUGGUUGAUCCAUUUUCCAAUGGCUGCCUGGAGAUGUGUUUGAUACCAGGUUCACAACUUCAAUAUAUAAUCUCAAAGUCAGCGUGUGCGGGGACUGCCCAAUACAGCCUUUAUUUUUUAAUCUUGUUUGGGCAGAUGACAACUCUUGGCAUCCAGAUCCUUUCCCCCAUAACCUUUUGUUAGUGAUGAUAAUUUGGUCUGAGAGAGGGCCUGUUGUUAAACAUGUCGACGAUUAACUAGUCUUAGCAAGUUUUUCUUGCUCUUUCUUGUGAUGUGAGAGAAGAGGGCAGUAUUAUCCUAAGAGGUGUUGUUUGACUUCAGUAUAGCUGUGCUAAUGCUUAGCUAGGUGCUUUUGUUAUUGUGAGGGGCUCUUAUGCAAUAUGCACUCCCUUUAAAAGGAAAUACAGCUUUGACCUUUGAAUAGCCUCCAUUCUAGAACUUGCUUCUAUCACGUAUUCACGUCCACAUCUCUCCAUUGCUACAUAGCAGCAUAUAUCUCUGGUUACUUGCACUAUGCGCUUAAAGUGAGUGCUUUUGUAACAAAAUCACUCACUUUAAGUUUGUAAAUUCUUUGUUUGCCUAGAAGAGUAUUGCCACUUGGUCUUUAAUGUUUCAUCCUUGCUUUGUGGUUCUGCCUGAAAACCAGGAAAGAAAAAUUCCAUCUUUUUGUUGCCAUUCCCAUGCAUGUAUUAUUUCCAUAGGAUCACAUUGUUAAGUUAAUAUGGUCAUUGUAUUGGGUAGAGUUUAACUUUACACCUGUUUAGUUAAUUUAAUGAAGUAUUUGACAGCAUUAAGAAUGUGUAAGUUAGUGCUCAUUUUUGUGUUUUUUUCUAGAAUGUGAUGUCACUACUGAUCAUGAUUAACCAAAUUUAUAAUCCAUCUUUCUGACAAAGUCAUUGCAAUACUUACACAAUGUCAUGCAAAAUUUUACUCUAGGUAACUAAUUCACUUUUUACAUGCAGAACAAUCAUUUCUUCUUCCUUUACGAGUUGACAACACUGCAAGUCUGUCCUGUCCUAUUAAGUGUUCAGCGGCUCGGCAUGCCCCAUCACUGAUUGAUCACACCGAUUCUAGGAAUGGUGGCAUCCAUGCAGCUAGUGUAUAUGGACAUGAUCUCAUGAAAUCCAUAUCUGAUCUUCAGGUAUGAUGGUGAGUCCCUUUCUCUAUUUUUAGCAUGUAUCACCUGUUAACAUAAACAACCCUUUAAUUUAAAAUAAGGCAUAAGGGGACUUAACUUUUCCUAAUAAUUAAAACUAACCUAGUACUGUCUUAUUGAACACAGCUUAAAUUUUUCUCCUUGCAAAUUUUGUAUGGAAACCUCAGCUAUAAUAACUCAUUAUUUUCUUAUACUUGUCGCAGGAAGUUGUAUUUUCUUCUUUUAGCAAAGCAUGUCUUCUCAGUAGUUGUAUCAUAUAUGGUCUACCACCCAGUUGUAUAGCAGAACCAUGUGAGCAAGCAUACUCUCUCCCUAACAUGCCUUUGCUAUUCGCGAUAGCCAUGGUUGGUGCUACUGUUGGAGGUAAGCUCAUCACACUCUUAACUUAUAAGAAUCUUUCAGGCAUAGAACGUUGGUUGGAGCUUGAGAACUGAUUGUGGAUUUAAAGAUGACAAUACACAGUGGACGGUUUCCUUACUUCUGUGUUUAUGUUUUUUAAUGGUCAUCAACAUCAUAUGUUGUUACAAAUGAUUUAAAUAUCUGAGCAUUAAGAGCACACACUAAAUCACUUCUAAUUCCAUGGAAAUGCAAGAGCAUGCUAUGCACUCUUGCAAGUUAAUACUUGUCAAACACAACUUUUUUAUGUUUGAUUGCUUCUUCCCCAGUUUCUUAUUUAGCUGUGCAUUUUGUUAAAUAUAAAACAUUAUACAUAGGAAUGCAUAUUCAGAUGCAACAAAUGCAGAGUGCAAAGAAAAUUACAUUUAGGAGCAUCCUAGUUAUCAUACCUAUGUUCGAUUGCUUUUUCCCCAGUUUCCUUAUUUAGCAGUGCAUUUUUGUUAAAUUUAAACAUAAUACACAGCAACUGAAACAGAUGCAAAUGCAAAUGCAACAAAGAAUGAAUGCAAAGAAAAUUACAUUUAGGAGCAUCCUAGUUAUCUUACUGAUUACCUUCCCUGUUUCUUUUAACUAUAACUGGGUUGUUGAUUUUGCAUGCAUGGUUUCUGCAUCAUGUUGAACAAUUCAGAUAUCCUGUAGGGCUCCUUGCGAGACAGAGGAGAGGGGAGCUUGCACGUCUAAAUGAUCAAUUACGUCAGAUAAAUGCUGCACUGAGAAGACAAGCCAAGAUUGAAUCUUAUGCUCCUGCCUUGAGCUAUGCCCCAGUUGGUAGUAAGAUACCGGAAUCAGAAGUUAUUGUUGAUCCUCAGAAAGAGCGCCUAAUUGCAUAUCUCAGGACUGGGAAGAACUAUCUGAGAAACCAAGCUCCUGAGAAGGCAUUUCCUGAGUUUAAGGCAGCUCUUGAUCUUGCACAAUCUUUAGGUGAUCAUGUUGAAGAGAAGAAGGCAGCACGAGGAUUAGGUUUGUUCAUUAUUUUGUGAAAUUAUAGUUUCAUGGUUUGGUUUCACAGAUAGUUUCAUGGAAUUGUGAGAAUAUUCCUUUUUUGAUUUGGUUAAAUGCUACAUAGUAUGCAGGAGUACAAGUUCAAAAAUGUUAACGAAGGAAAAUAUUUUCAGGCAUGUUUAACCAAGUUAAAAAUUGAUCAUAUAAACAUAAUAGAAUUGUUAGUGUGUCCCCCAUUAAACUUGAAGUUCUUUCCCCCCUCACCAUACAGCAAAAAUGCAAACCACAGACAGUCUGAUGUGUUUGUGAAAAGUAACGAAGUUGCUUUGCAUUCGCCAGGGGCAUCCUUGCAAAGACAAGGCAAGUACAAGGAAGCCAUAAAUUAUCACUCCAUGGUGCUAAACAUCUCCAAGAUGACCGGAGAGGAUGCAGGUGUCACUGAAGCAUACGGAGCAAUAGCAGAUUGCUACACCGAGCUUGGUGAGCUCGAGAAGGCAGGCAAGUUCUAUGAUAAGUACAUAGCAAGAUUGGAGAAUGAAUGAGAACAACAGCGCUGAUCGGAAAAAUCUGUGAGAGCAAAGACAAAGAUAAUGCUAAUCGUGUCUCUAUCUUUUUUUUUGCUUGCCAUGUAUUCUACUGUAGAUGUGCAGUUCCCAGCUGGAACUGAUGUUUGCUAUCACGACUCGAGUUUCUUUUUGGCGGAAUUAUCUAAGAUGUUUAGGUACAGAUCAGUAUCAUGCCGUGUACGUAGUUGUUUUGAUAAUUAGUGGCUCAAAUGGUCCGUACAUGCACUCUUGUCAAUGUGCUAUUUUGUGCUGGUUUAAUUUUGUAGUUUUGCUAUAUCAUGCCCUUGGUGAAAAUCUUUCCUCCUACUCAUGAAUAGGCUUUCCGUUUCUUUUCCUUUUUUUCCUUUUUAAAUAACGUACAUGGAAUAAAAGUAAGAUUCCAGUGAAAUUUUUCCCUCCCACAAAUCAACUUUAGUUACUCUAAAUUUACAUUUAACUUGUACUAGAGUUCAAUGUUUUAUGAUCGUCCGAUUAAUCAUGAUUAAUCAUUCUUACAGGUACUUAGCAUUUCUUUAGGGCUUCCGAUUCGAUUAGAGUGAUUAGAAACCUAAUCGUUUGAUUAAUCAUGAUUAAUAAUGAUUAAUUGUUAAUUAAUCGUGAUUAAUCGUCGAUUAAGUCUCUUGCCCAAUUAGAGCUUAAUUGGCAGAUGGGCUGCUUUUGGCCAGGGCUAAAUUUAUUUUGGCUAGACCUAUUAGAGUUUCUCUUAUAUACCUCACCUCCACUUUCUCUCUCUCCUUAGUUCUUACUCUCAACUCUAGCCGUUAGCUGCUGAGCUUGUUGCUCAUGCAUUUGCUGAGCUGCUGAGCCUGUGUGCAUCUCACUCCCUCCUCUCUCCCUUCUAGUUUCAAUCCAAGCAACCUGUUGCUGCUUGCUGCUUCCUCCUCCCUCUUCCCUGCUGUCUGCUUCCUCCUCCCCCUUGCUGCAACUACAACUAUAUACAUAUAUGAUAUAGUCAUGCUAUGUGCUAGACGAUUAGACCGAUCAGAGGUUGAUUAAUCGUCCUGAUCGGUACCAGACAGAUUAGAAACGAUAAGCCGAUUAGAAAAAAUUGUUAGAGUUAAUGUGGUUGUUUUGGUACAAUUUCAUGAUAUGUUUGGGUGGAAAGUCGCCUAUCCCACACUACAAUUUUAGUUAAUGUCAACUUAUGUUAGAUUUACACUCAACUUGUACUAGAGUUAUGGUGAUUAUUUUGCUGUAAUUUCUAGAUAGAAUUGGUGUAGGCCUUGUUUAGUUCCUAAAAAAAUUUGCAAAAUUUUUUAAAUUUCCUGUCACAUCAAAUCUUUAGACGCAUGCAUGAAGUAUUAAAUAUAGACAAAAAUAAAAACUAAUUGCACAGUUUGGUCGAAAUUGACGAGACAAAUCUUUUGAGUCUAGUUAGUACAUGAUUGGAUAAUAUUUGUCAAAUACAAACGAAAGUGGUACUAUUCCUAUUUUGCAAAAAAAUUUGGAACUAAACAAGGCCUAACUAAAAAAUCUGACUAUGGAGAAUGAAUAUUUCACCCAAUUCUUAAAAAACACAUUUAAUAUAGGUGUGAAACUUCUCUAAAACCUUUUUCCCCCUUAUAACAUGUUCAAAAACUAGUAGAGAAGUUUCACCUGAGUAGUCUUUGGCAAUCAAAGAUACGUGGUCAGUAAACUGGACUUUGACAUUCGGAAAAUUGAACUUGAGUGUUGGCAACUUUUCAAGUUUCAACAUGUGUGCUUGAAGAUGCGCUUGAUCAAAUUUCAACAAAACUAAAUACACAGUAUUCCUAGGACCGUAAAUUGAUCAUUGUUAUGUAACAUCCAAAUAAAUAAAUAUAUCUCAUUAGUUAAUUUGAUAUGCGUGAUCUUAGCUACUUCCCAUUCAUUAAGUUUAUCCCCCACUAGAGCUCUCCAGAAUGAAAUAUUUAAUGGUGUUGAUCUCAUAACAUUGGUCACUCUAUCAUGCGGAUCUAGAGCUCUCUGGAAUAAAAUAUUUAAAGGUGUUGAUCUCAUAACAUUAGUCACUAUAUCAUGCGAACGAUUUGCAUAAUAUUAUAUAGUGUGGGAUAAAGGUCUUUGAAUGGCGGUUGCCUUCCAUUAUUAAUUUUGAAGGAACCAUAAGCCAAAGUCUGAUCUUUUAUUUUCAUAAGACCCUUCCAAAAAUGAGUGUAGGAGAGAUUUUGAGCUUAGAUACUUGUCUCUAAGCAAGGGCACCACCCUUUUACGCGGCAACUUUGGAACGAACAUAGCUCAAUGUCAUGUUUCAUUGUAGUUUUUUUUAUUAAAAUGACAACACAUUAAUAGAACUACAGGGAUGCAAGGAAACCAGUGCUGUGAAAGUCCGGAGAAAAAAAUAAGUCAAAACAGGAAAACGGAAAAAGAAAAUAGCACGGGACACUCUGCAUAGAGCACGAGACAGUUGAUCUGAAGUUGUGGCAAAUUAUCGAGGAGAUCAUUAGGGACUAUAAUAUUUUGGCGCAAUUUUCCAUUAAGUAUAGGAUGUGUCAGUGUUUUUUUUUUGCUUGUUUCGAGAGUGGGUUGUCUCACUCUCGCAAGUAAGUAGGGAUGAAAACGGUACGAAUAUUUUUCGACCGUAUUCGAGACUAAAUUUAUUUAGAGGGGUUUAGAUCUGUUUGUAUCUGAGUCCGAAUAUUCAACAUCUGAUACCAUAUCCGUAUCUGAAUACUUAAAUCGUAUAUUUAUGAUGUCGAUAUCCAAUCAUAUCUUAUCCAACAUGGUUGACAUUAUCCGUAUUCGAAUCUAAAUCUGACCAAAAAUAUGAAAACAAAUAUGAUAUCAGUGAUAUCCGUCCGUAUCCGAUCCAUUUUCAUCCCUACUUGUAAGUUUCAAGUAAUUGUUCACAAAAGAGAACAAGGACCGGACUGUGCAACAAAAAAGUGCAGUGGCACGGACAAUCAUAUGAAAUCUUAUGUAAGAUUUUUUUCCUUAUCUGGUACAUUUGGAAGGCUCACAAUGACAAGAGGUUUCAGCGGAGAACAUGGACAUCUCACCAGAUCCAACAAGCAGCAAAUGCCCAUAUAAACUCUCACUUGGAUGCUCUAAAUGAACAGACCCUCUCUCAUUUACAUAAUUCCCUACUUCCUACUCAUAACAGAUAUGCAGGAACACAUCAAGGAAGCCACCAAUCGAUCUCGGCGACAGACCAACUACUGGUUUGUUCUCUAACAUCUAUUGCAGGAAUCCGGUGCUAUACAGAUGCAUCGACGACGCUAGACACUACUGCAUCGGUUCCUAGACAGGUGGGUCUAGGAAUUUUCAUCAUCAACACUGAUGUACAACUACCACUAAGCAUAUUCAUCAAAGCCACUAUGCAGGACUCUUCUUCAGUGAUCAUGGCAUAAUCUGCUGCUAUGGUAUUGGUAGCAUAACUGCUCAAUCAUCUCCAAGGUCAUCAAAAGACGCUAUUGUCGGAUUCCCUAGUUAUGAGAGAUAGAGUUUCCUCUCGGGGAGGGAACUCUAUCGGAUAGAUAUUUCUAGUUAGAAUUCAUAAUCUAGGUAUAACACUGUAGAGGAGAUAUACUUCCCUCUGGGAAAGGGUAGUAUAUCGAUAGGUAUAGAGAGGGAGAGUUUGCUUUCGGGAAGGGAACUCGACUGGAGUCCUAGUAGGAGCAUAUGGUAUGACACAAACAGGGGUAUUUUUCUUGAGAGAUUUGCCCCAAAACGCGAUUUUGGGGCUUUCAGGUGUCAUAUCAUUAGGGCAUUAACAAAGAUGUGCUACAGCGCAUAUUUGUUAAUAAGCUUAUUGGCUUGAUUUCUUCUUCGAAGAAAUGCCUACGCGUACGUACACGCGUAUGUGUACCUAUGUGCGCGUAUGAUCUAUAUACGCGCACGUCCGUGCGUGCGAUCUAUAGACGCACGCGUACGCCUGCGCGCAUUACUACUUACGCACGCGCGCUAGACUCACUCUGUUCGCAAUAAUCUCCCUACGGUCAAUUAUUGCUCACUCCGUUCGUCUGCACUCUGCUACGCUUCGGUAUAGAUAACCUUCCCUGACAGGAAAGAACAUCUCUACCUACGCUACGCUAUAGGAAGGGAGUGCGGGGCGCCGCUCCCUUCCGUCAAUAGAGCUUAUUUUUCAAAAAUACUAUCAUCGAUUUUCCUGCCAGGGAAGUCGAUGAGAGGAUUUUCAAAGUCAAGUUUAGGGUUGAUGGAGUUUGACUGAACAUUUUGAUGAAUCCCCAAAAGGCCGUAUCAAAUGACAUUAGUCUGAGUCCAUCUUCCCUUGCUAUUGACGUAUAGGUAUGCGUAUGCAUGUCUUUCGACACUUAUCCAAGAUUGGAGUAAGCAAUCAUAGCCCAUCCUAUGAUCAUGAUAUGUUUUUCUUGGGAUUUUAUUGUUUUUUCAAUUGGUUAUUGCCAUGGAGAUAUGGUUUCCUGGGAGGGAACCAUAUCGAUAGACAGAUAGAGUUUCCUUUCGGAAAGGGAACUCUAUCGGAACUGAGAUAUGCUUUUCUUGGAGGAGGGAAGCCUAUCGAAGCCGCCCCGCAGGGCCUCCGGAAAUAUAAAUAAUAUCCCCUUUCUUGGUUUAUUUAUCUACCCUUGUAUCCCAAGAUGGAUAAACUAUCUAAUAUAGGUUAGGUAAGGAUAGAGCUAAAGAUUGAUUGGGUAUCACGAACGGAUAGAAAUCGGAGAAGAGUUCUAUCUGUUCGUGGAUAAGAGAAGACUAGUUAUCAGAGGGAAGGGUGGAAUGAAACAAUCCAGGGUCAAACGAAGAUACUUGUUCGCCUAGCCCCAUGUGUAUCCGUAUCCUUCCCUGUUUUGAGAAUCUCAUAUUUCUUCGUAGCACGUGUGUCCUUUGUAUGUUCCGUCGCCUAUUUCUGGAUAAGUAGAUUUUCUACCAACCAAGUAGAAUCGAGAAUCAGCAGCUGAGAAUGCGGGGCACCCUGCUUUUGUCCUCUGCCCGUCUCAUCGCCUUAUGAGCAGUCAAAAUAUAGGUUUUGCUUACAGUCACGUGGUCUGCCUCGUGCUUCUUCGCUUAUUCAAUGCUUUCUCUGGCAUCCUACAACUCCCUUACAUCCCUAUGUCGGCUAUCCACCCUUCUUUACCAAGUGACCGGAAUCCCCUAUACUCCUCCAACGAACUACAAACGUAGGCUUUCAAGGAAUAACUGCUAUUGAAAGGAAGACUCAAAUCAGCAUAUAUCAUUGCUAUUGGAAUGUUUGAGCUGGAAUUCGAAUAUUAACUGAUGAAUGACCGCGGAGAGCUGCUAGAAAGACCAAAAAAAGUGCAUAUCCUUCCUUCCAAAUUUGAUACAUUCCGUGUUACUCCAACAGCUCGUGAACUUUCUAAAUGGAUCCAAUCUCUCCAAUCCUCCUGACUGGAUAAUCAAACCAUAUACUCAGAUCACUGCUACUCUUUUAUCAGGAACAAACUCAGUAGUACACUGGAUUAGAAGAACCCAUAAUCAGAUGGCUGACUCCCUAGCAAGACAGACUUAGUGCUUUACAAAAUAAUCAGAUUGACUAUUCAAGAUUCUUUACUAAUUCUAGUCAUGCUAAUGAUUAUCCCAUUCUUAAGGCAAUCAAUGAUGUAACCAUUAACACUAUAAUGAUCCUAACAGCCUCAUGCUGUUAAUAUAAUUAUGGUUUACUUAUAAUAAAAAAAGAACAUGCAUGUUUCUUAAGAGAAAGACAACAACACAUUCAGAAAACCACCGAGACAGUCAGGUCCAUUCCGAAAACUAUUUUGUGGGUGGCCUGCAAGCUAAGGCCUUGUUUAGAUGCGAAAUUUUUUUGGAUUUCGCUACUGUAGUAUUUUCGUUUGUUUGGGGUAAAUAUUGUCCAAUCAUAAACUAAUUAGGGUCAAAAGAUUCGUCUUCUUCAUGUAUGUGCCGCAAGAUUCGUUGUGACAGAGAAUCUUGAAAACUUUUUUGUUUUAGAGUGAACUAAACAAGGCCUAACAUACGGAUUACUGUCCACUCUUUUUUCAUAAAAAAAAACUGUCCACUCCACUGCAGCUCAACAGGCACGCAGGAUUCAUGUAGCUCGGGUCUUCUUUAAUUUUUUUUCAAGAUUCUUCAUUCUAUCGAAUCUUUAGACGUAUGCAUAGAGCAUUAAAUAUAAAUAAAAAGUAACUAAUUAUAUAGUUUGUCUAUAAUUUACAAAUCUUUGAGUUUAAUUAGUCUAUAGUUAAACAAUAAUUGCACAAUAUAAAUGAAUGUGGUAUAGUAGCUAAACCCGAAAAAUUUCGGGAACGAAACGAGGCCUCAACAGGCGUGAGAUAAAAUGCAGUUUUUUUUUAUCUACUUGCAUGCAUUGGUGGGCAUCAUUAGUAGAGCCACACGCUGUGACAUAAUUAAGGUGCCUGCUUCAACCAAACCGAUGUCCAGAACUCUAAUUUGGGGGAAAGGAAAAAAACUGACAUGUAACACUGUUCAUGCUCUUUGGCCCAGAUUUUACUUCUCUAUGUCGAUAGAUCGAAUUCCACAGCAUGUCAUCAGUAUUAUUCUUUCAAUUCAAAAAUCGUGCUCUAAUUCUCUUUGCACACAAUCUCUGUCUCAUGCACACAUGCAAGUAAAUAAAGAAGAAUUACAUUCUAGAGACAGCCCCAGCUUGCACAUGGUUGGUCAGCUGCCUUCUCAGUAUCUUGCCAGCCGGAGACUUGGGUAUGGAGUCGACGAAGAGCACCUUGCGGAUCUUCUUGUAAGGGGCCACCCUCUUUGCGACGUGGUCUAUGACUUGAGCCUCCGUGACCUUGCUACCAGGCUGCCUGACCACAAGCGCCACCGGUAUCUGCCCUGCCUCCUCAUGAGGAUACCUGUAAACAAAUUCAGUGAAACCAUCAGACGAUAUAUAUAAUAUAACUGAGCAUGUUUUGCAACUCUCUGGCAACGUGUGUGGCGUUGUAGUGGGGACUCACGGCAUGACUGCGGCAUCGAUAACUUCCGGCAAAGACUGCAGGACAAGCUCCAGCUCUGCAGGUGGAACCUGCAGCGACAAAUAUAUACACCCAGUGACCCAGAUCAUCAUCAGUCUGAAACUGCAAGGGUGACAAUCUAUGUGCUUUGAAAACAAGACCAAAUUAAACUGCAAAGUAAUUAACCUGAUAGCCCUUGUACUUGAUGAGCUCUUUCAGCCUGUCCACCACGAACAAGAAGCCGUCCUGAUCAAUGUAGCAAAGGUCCCCAGUCCUAAGCCAUCCUUCAGAGUCAAAACUACUAGCGUUGGCCUCCUCGUCGCCAACAUAUCCUGCAAUUCAUGAGAACAUAUAUUUUUUGAGCUGAAAAAGAUGAGAAAGAACCCCCUCAAAAAAAAUCUGAAUCCAGCUGCAGCGCAGCAUCAGCUUAAUUUAUCAUGCAUGCAUGUUAGGCUCUGGUGGUUAUAUUACCAGUCAUGACGGCAGGCCCUCUCACGAGAAGCUCCCCUUUUUGGCCCACGGACAGGGCAUUGCCGGUGACGUGGUCCACGAUCUUCACCUCCACGUUCUCCGAGACACGGCCGGCGGAACCGAUGCGGGCGCACUCCUCCCGGCUGAUCAUCAGCGAUAUGCCACCAGCCUCAGUUGAACCGUAGCCCUGAAACAAAUGAAGCCACCGAUGCAACUCUCUUCUCAGUUCAUUCCAAAGGAAAACUGCGUGCAUGUUUUCUUGACCGGAUGGCGGUAAAGCCGUAAAGGUCUUUACGAACCAAUGCCUUUUGGACUGUGACAAAUUUUCUUUGGGGCUUGGCCAACAAGAGAGAUGCUCUCUUGGAUGCUCAACCAUCGAUGCAGCUACAGUUAGCUGUUGACUGGGCAGAAAAAAUACGUCUUAUAAGAUAAGCAAAUGAGAGAGGUUGGACCCCAACAACAAACAGAUGCCAUUCCUAUGGCGACCACAUACUAGAUCAAAUAAUUCUCUCUUUCUCUGUUGUCUUACAAUUAAACUAGUGAGUAUUUUUGCUAAAGUAAAGGAUAGAAGAUACAAAAGCUUGACUCUCAUAUAGUAAGCAACAAGCUAGUUAUGGGUGUAGGACCGUCUCUACAAUUUUAAAGACCCUUAUCAAGCAAGAUGGUAAGAGUCCAUUAAACUAGUUUUUCAACACACCCAAUAAAUACUUGUAGGCAAUAUCUAUCCUAGAAAAUAAAUAUACAUAAUGAAAAAUUAGAACAUACUCUGUCCAUCCUAAAUGUUUAUCGUUUUUGCUUUAAAAAACAACUUUGACUAAAUAUAUAUUUAAAAAUAUUAAUAUUUAUGACUCGUAAUUAGUAUCAUUGGAUAAAUAUUUAAAUCUAUUUUUUUAACAAAUUUAUUUACACAAAUAAAUAUUACAUGUAUUAUCUACAAAUUAAAUUAAACUUAUCGACACGUAAACAAUGGCGACACAUUCACCCAAAAAAUCAAAAACAUUUCAUGAUUCCUCAUCAAAUCGAAUCUUUCGGUACAUAUAUAGAGUAUUAAGUAUAGGUGAAAAUAAUAACUAAUUGAACAUCUAAUUACUCCAUAAUUAGACAAUAUUUGUUAAAUAAAAAUAAAAAUGCUAACGUGUCAAAAUUUUAAAACUUUUUCGAUCUACUUUGUACUAAUAUUUGAGUAGAAAGGAAUCAUGCCGAAGCCUAAAAGCUGCACAAAAUGACAAAAGCUAAGCACUCGCAUGUCCAGUCAUCUGCAGCGAGCAACUGUGUCAGGAGCUCCGCAUUGGCAGCAGAGUGGUUAUAGUACAUAGUACGACGGUACGAGUACUACGGCCUUGUUUAGUUCACCAAAGAUCAAUAAAUUUUCAAGAUUCUCUAUCACCUCGAAUCUUUCGACACAUGCAUAAAGCAUUAAAUAUAUAUGAAAAUAAAAAUUAAUUACACAAUUUAAUGCUUCAUGCAUAUUCCGAUUUAAAUGAGCAACGAGGUGGCCAAAAAAAGGCGCAAGAUCAUGAUCAAUGUUGGGUCACGCGCCUGAGCAAAAUCAUUAUUCUCUCGGGGGUUUCCGGAUUGUCAGUUUGAUAACUAGGAUUUGUUUAGUUCACCUCAAAAAUCAAAAAAAUUUUAAGAUUCUCCAUCAUAUCAAAUCUUGCGGCACAUGUAUGAAACAUUAAAUAUAGAUAAAAAUAAAAACUAAUUGCAUAUUUUAUCUGUAGAUCGUGAGACAAAUCUUUUGAUUCUAGUUAGUUUAUGAUUGAACAAUAUUUGCUACAAAUAAACGAAAGUGGUACAAUAGCGAAAUCCAAAAAUCUUUUCACAUGUAAACAAGGCACAAGAAUAGCAGCCCUAGAACGUACGAGUAGUGGAUUCACGAUCAUGAUCAUGAUCAUACUAGGGCUUAGCAGCCCUUAUUUUUUUGGGCUAGUUGGGCUUAGCAGCCCUGAGUUGGUGACAGUUGUGUUAAUCAGCACACGUGACACGCGUUCCGUCCUUUGGAUCAACCGGUGUCCGUCGAUGAUGUGAACCAGAACGCCUCCUGGUCCUCGGCAUGCAUGCGCCUUGUUUAGUUCCAAAAUUUUUAAGAAAAUAGACACUUUUAUUUAUAUUUAAUAAAUAUUGUUGAAUCAUAAACUAAUUAUACUUAAAAACUUUAUCUCGUAAAUUAUAGAUAAAUUAUACAAUUAGUUAUUAUUUUUAUUUUUAUUUAAUAUUUUAUAUAUGGUUCGCAAGAUUCGAUACGACUAAAAAUCUAAAAUUUUUUAUAAAACUUUUUAGAACUAAACAAGCGCAGGCCUCGGUCGUAUCGUAUGGACGGCCACGGUCGACAUGCGUUGGUGGCGUGCGCCUGUUAUUUUUGCCGAUCGAGGGUCCGCUGUACCGUGUACCCAAGUCAGCAGUGGAGCCGACACACUCGAGACUUGUUUAUAUGUAAAAAGUUUUUUGGAUUUUAAUACUACAAUAUUUUUAUUUUUAUUUGAUAAAUAUUAUUUAAUCAUAGAGUAACUAGGUUUAAAAAAUUCAUUUCAUCAUUUACAGAUAAAAUGUGUAAUUAGUUUUAUUUUCAUGCAUGUACCACAAGAUUCGAUAUAUAUGCAUUUCUUUGCAGCGGCAUUUUCGGUUAAUAUAAUAUAUCCACCUCACCUGAUCUCUAUAGUUCAAUUUGAGUCUUCGAUUUAGCAGGGAAUCACAUGCAUACAUUUCCUAGUACUAACUAGUACAUGUCAAUAGCUACUACUCCAUCCAUUCCAAAUUGUAAGUCAUUCUAAGAAUUUUGAAGAGUCAAACUUUUCUAAGUUUGACCAAAUUUAUAUUAUAAAAUAAUAAUUAUUAUGGUACUAACUAAGUAUCAUUAGAUUCUUUCUUAAUUAUAUUUUCAUAGUAUACUCACUUUACGUUACAAAUUUUAGUAUUUUUCUCUAUAAUUUUGGCCAAACGUGAAAAUAUUUUGACUCUCUAAGAUUCUUGAAAUGACUUACAAUUUAGGAUGUAAGGAGUACAAUGCAAGGACCACCUUUGAGAUAAGAGUAGGUAGCUCAUGCCCACCGUGAUAUACUAACUGUGGGGCCAAGGGGCAAUGUAAUGGAUCACCAAAGAAUUGGCUUAUGGUACCUCAUCGCAUAAUAUCUAGAUACGAUUUGAAAUGGAGAGAGAGUAUUAAUUUGUAGGCUAGAUGUUAUUUGGACCCAAUAGUAGAAGCUGGAUGUAUUGAUGGUUUUGUUCUCCACAUUUUAAAGACUACUAUUGUUAGAACAUGUGGGAGAUAGGCAUGUGAGAGGGCAAAAGCACCUUUUAGCAAUCUAUUAACUGUUGUUAGCUAGUUUAGGACAGCUAGUAUAUAAGAUAGUUAUUAGCUGGAUACUUUUAACUAAUAAUUACCUGGCCUCUACUAGAUAAGCAUAUAAUUACGAUCCACCUCAAAAACUACUUAUUUUUAGUAGCUAGCUGGUGGAUCCACACAGGACCUUAAAGACUUGCACUUGUUUUUUCUUUCAAAAUAGGAGUAUGUAUUAAUAUUUCGAGCAAUUUUUAAGGCCUUGUUUAGUUACAAUUUUUUUUGAAAAUCGACAAUGUAGCACUUUCGUUUGUAUUUGACAAAUAUUGUCUAAUCAUGGAUUAACUAGGGUUAAAAGUUUCGUCUCAUCAAUUUCGACCAAACUGUGUAAUUAGUUUUUAUUUUCAUCUAUAUUUAAUACUCUAUGCAUACGUCUAAAGAAUCGAUGUGACGGGGAAUUUGAAAAAUUUUAUAAAAUUUUUUAGAAACUAAACAAGGCCUAAUAAAAGAAAAGAAGAGCUUGAAUGCUAGUAGACGCAUGGUUUCGUACAGUACUAUACUCAAACCAUUAUUACUGCACUAAAACCUGUUUCUCGGAUCACCUUCAUUUAGUUAUAAACCAUUUUAUUCUAGGACCUAGAGCAAGCUAAUGAUAAUGCAGCGACAUCAUCGCCAUACAAGUCAAUUUCGACUAAGUGUAUCAUUUCACAAAGUUCAGUGAUCCGCUAAUUUUUGGCGUUCUUUUCUGGGCAUUGCUCCGUAAUUAAGCGAACAAGAUUUCAACAAAAACCGUCAAUUUGUUUUAUCGUUUUAUUAAAUUCCACCAGUAUAUGCAAUGAUUCGAAUAGAAAUCGACUACUGUAACAACGCUAUCUAGCUCACAUCAUAAUUAAUUACUUGACUGAAAGCGACGACACUCACCAUGCAUAGAUCCACGUUGGGGAACCGUCGUCGGAAACUGUCGGCUGCCGUCCUCGGCAGCGGCGCGCCGCCACACACCACGCGCUCCAGUGCCUCCAGGCGGCACCGCUCCUUGGCCAUGGCCACCACCACCGGUGGCGACGCCGUCAUCUCAGCGACCGCCCACCUCUCCGCCGCCUCGACCACCCCCUUCACGCCGCGCCGCGCCACCGCGUCGGUCACCACCACCGUCGUGUGCCCCAGCGCCACACCCUUCAGCGCGGAGUAGAACCCCAGCGAGUGGAACAUGGGCGCGCCCAGCAGCGUCCUCUCGCGACCGUGCCUCGGUUUCCCGAGCACAGCGUGGGCUCCUGCCACCAUCGCGACGAAGCUCCGGUGCGGCAGCGCCGCGGCCUUCACCCGCCCUGUUGUCCCCGACGAGUACUGGAUCACCGCCGUGUCCGACUGCCGCACCUCCGCCAGUCCCUCCUCCCCACGGCCGUCGUUCUGCCUCUGCAGAAAGGAGCGGAAGCGGUCCGAGUCGAGGAGGAUGGUGGGGAGGCCAGCCGGCAGCUUUGCGGUGGUCGCCGACACGGCGAAGGCGACGGACGCGCCCGACAGCGCCACGAGGCGCGCGACCUCGUCCGCGGUGAGCGUGGGGUUUACCGGCGACACGACGGCGCCGAACGAGAGCAGCGCAAAGUAGAGCACCGGGAUGUCCAGCCGCGUCGGCGCGAGGAUGAACGCGACGUCGCCGCGGCCGAGCCGGACCACGGAGCGAAGCGCCCCCGCGAGCGCGCGCACCUGGGACAGGAACUCCGGGAACGAUAGGACCUCGCCGGUGGCGGCGUCGAGGAGAGCCGGGUGCGCGGGGAGCGGGGACGACGUCAGGCGCGAGAAGGCGAACUCCGGAAACGAGACCGGCGCGUCCGGCGGCGGCAGCGGCACCGGCGGGCGCAGGCUACGGAACGUCCUGGUCACCUCGCAGUAGCCGCUGCGGCUGUCCACGCCGCCCGGAGCAGCGCCGUCGGCGUUGGCCGCAGGCGCGGGAGUGGCCAUUUCUUCUCGGCACCUGGUGGUGACUGGUGACUGCGGUGGUUGGUGAUUUUGUCGUGUGCCGUCUUCGGGUUUCAGCUGGGGUUUUUCUUAUAGAGAUCUGUGUGGCAAAAGUGGCAACAGCCAACAUUGCAAGGGGCCAAGCAGGCGCAGGCUGUGUGAUACGGUACAAGCCAGCCACCUAGCCCGUGCUUGGUAGGUGACCUGCAGUCCCGUAAUUACGGACUAGUGACAAGUGACAGCAUUAUUAGGCAUGUUUCUUCUGUUGCUAAAAGUUCUGGAACGCUGGGUUAGGGGUUGCAUCAGUGCAUGCAUACAAAUCCGCCACUAGGGCCUCAUUGUUUUCUUCUUCGAAUUAAGGUCUUGUUUAGUUCACCUGAAAACCAAAAAGUUUUCAAGAUUUCCCGUCACAUCGAAUCUUAUGGCACAUGCAUGAAACAUUAAAUAUAAACGAAAACAAAAACAAAAACUAAUUACACAGUUUAGUUGUAAAUCACGAGACGAAUCUUUUGAUCCUAGAUAGUCCAUGAUUGGAUAAUAUUUGUCACAAACAAACGAAAGUGCUACAGUAUCGAAAACUUUUCACUUUUGGGAACUAAACAAGGCCUAAUAUUCCAAAUCUGCAAGACACGCUUAUCACGUGAUGGGGAUUGGAGUGACAUGAAAGGCAUAUUGUUUCUACCUGCGUAGGUAGAGUAGACUGCGGUGCUGUGCUUCACAAAUCGUGCGUUUGUAGUCACGCUUUAGUUGGCAAAAUGAAAAGUUUUCGGAUACUGUAGCAUUUUUAUUUGUUUGUGAUAAAUAUUGUCCAAUUAUGUGUUAACUAGGCUUAAAAGAUUCAUCUAGCGAUUUACAGUCAAACUGUAUAGUUAGUUUUAGUUUUUAACUAUAUUUAUUAAUUCUCCAUACAUGUGCCGUAAGAUUCGAUGUGACAGGAAAUCUUAAAAAGUUUUUGUUAGCAAAAACAAUCUUAGGAGAUAUCCUCUCUUAGAUUGGCACAUCUAGAGCCCCAUAAAUGGUUAGACGGUCUCUUGACAAACAUUGGCGAAUCGAGGAUUUUGUCUAAGGGCAUGCCGCCCAAAAAAAUUUAUAUGCUAUUUGGUAAAUCCAUUUCAGCAAUUCAGUAAUUAUUGUAAAAUUGACAAGAUAAUUCGGUAUAUAUACACUAAUUAACAUAAAAAGGCUUAAAUUCAAUAAUUAAGUUCAAACCAUCCACUAAGUGUAGUAUAAAUAGUUCAAAAACCAUACUGAUAAUUGAAAUAAGGCAUAAAAGAGAAUCAGAUACUUACAAUAGUAAUUUUAUGACUACUUUAUUCGACGCUUUUAAAGGGACAUAAAUGUCUUAAUUAUAUCAUUUUCAUCUGACAAUCAUCUACUCUUAACAUUGUUUUCACAUAAACCAUUGCAGAAAAUGCAUGUUCAACACUUGCUGUUGCCACAGUUAAAAACAAUACCAAUUUUAGGAGCUCAUAAGCCAUAUCAUAUACGAAGAACAAAGUGAAUCUCAGCUGAACAAUUUUUGAAUAGAAAAUCACCUAGCUGCCGAUGUCGUACCGAACGAGAUCACAAGGACGAAGAUGAUUGGACAAUGAUAGGCCUUGGGAGAUAGUCGACCGCCGACAGCAUGAACGUGAAUGGCGGUUCCGAAAAUUUUGGAUUUCGGUAUUGUAGCAUUUUCGUUUUUAUUUGAUAAAUAUUAUCCAAUUAUAGACUAACUAGACUAAAAAAAUUUAUCUCAUGAUUUAUAGACAAACUGUGCAAUAAGUUUUUGUUUUUGUCUAUAUUUAGUACUUCAUGCAUGUGCCGUAAGAUUUGAUGUGACAGAGAAUCUUAAAAAGUUUUUUAUUUUUGGGGUGAAUUAAACAAGGCCUAUAUCGGGCUAUGGCAUAGGCCACUGGAGUAAGGCCGUGUUUAGUUGCUGAAGUGAAAAAUUUCGAGACACUGUAGUAUUUUCGUUUGUUUGUGGGAAUUAUUGUCCAACCAUGGACUAACUAGGCUCAAAAGAUUCGUCUCGUAAAUUUUGUUGACACCAUUUUUGGCAUGGGUUAAGAUAAUCAAAAUAGACUAAUCGGCAGUAGGGAAAUUGUUGCAUUGUACUGAUAAAAAGUGCCGAUAAAGAUCAAUCGAUGGAAAGUGGUGCCAAUGAAAGAUGAUGAUCGGCGGAAAAAUUCUCUUAGCCUAAAAUCCAAAGUGUUGGUUAAUAAGGUCAGGAUGAUGUUUGUCGAUUCAGGGGUUAUUGCCGAUAGAGCUUAUGGUGCUGUGUUGCUGAUGCCGAUGAGAAAAGAUAUGAAGACUGCUGCUGGUGAAGAUUUUAGCUCACCGAUGGGGUAGGAGCCGAUGGAGACUUCAUCGCGAGUAAGGUGGACAUGGGAAUAGUUAGGUUUCAUUUUCUUCUUUCUAUAUUUGUUAAAGUAUGUCCUAAUGUAAGAGUCUUUUUACCUUAAAAAUUGAGUCCUAGUCUUAUUUGGUUGUAACUAUUUAGACCAGGGUAUAAAUAUAGGCCGAGAGGUGAUGUAAAGAUAUAUCAAUCAAUAUCAAAUACAAGUUUACUCCUAUUUUCGCAUCUACUUUUUGAUGACUUCGUCAAUUUGCAUACUUUUCUUUUUACGAGUUCUCAUCGAUUCGGCGAGUUGCACUCGACGAUCCUCGAGUUUCACGUGAGUACCUCUUGGCCGUGACAUCCGGGUGUAUCGCUGUUGUCGGGACCAAAGUAUUCGAAUUAUCAUCCUUGUCGAUGAACAUGUCAAAUCGACUGGCAUGCCUUGACAUCAAAAUUGGGUAUUAGCCCUUUGUGUUUAUAGAUUUAUUUUUGCAUCAACACAUAUUUUGGCACGCCUAGUGGGACAAGUUCGACAUCAUCAACAUGCUUACCUCUGAGCUCGACGCGGACAACAUCAUCAGCGUGACAAAAGCAGAUCUCAGAGAAGAAUAGAAGCAAGCUAUGGAGAAGGCUAUGGAGGAGUACAGGCAGCUUUGUCUGAAGUUUUUCAGCUUGAACAAGAGUGGGGAAGUCAUCUAGAAGCAAGAUCUGCCAUUGCCUCAGCAGGUUACCUUUGACUCCAAUCCUGGUAAACUUCAAGAGAUGGUUAAUUUUGCAAUUAAUCAUGCUUUGGUUAACCACUCCAAUGUGCUGUCCAACACCAUUUACAACGCCGUCAUUCGAAUCUUCAAAGAGGGACAAGCACCACCACUUUAUGCUGGCCUAGCCUAUCAUCAGACAGGGCUAUCGUCGGUUGUCGCUCCAUCGGCUCCUUCAGCCGUUACGGGUACAGAAGUCACGUCUCCUCCGAGUACGGCAGGUGUGUCUAAUGAUCAAUCUACACCGAUGAGAUCAGAUCCGAUGACUUCAGGAGGGCGAGUUCAACUCAACACAGAUCUAUCGUCAUCAGCUAUGUUAGGGCCUGUAUUCCAAAACAACCAGGUUCCUCCUAAUUGGUGGGGAUAUGGUAUGCCUCCGGAGUUUUUGGCAAAUAAUUCUAGAUUAUCUCAGGCACCUGAUGCAGUAGGGAAGGCUCCCAUGCCAUCGGCUCCUCUAGUCUCGCCAAUGACUCAAGUGCCUCAGCAUUCUACGACAACUAUUGUGUGGCCAGUUGUUGGAAAUUUUCAAAUGCCGUCAUUUCAAGUGCCUAAUGCAAGCUCGUCGGCAAAUCCAUUGCCGACACAAUAGAGAUUCAUAUCUCAGGCUGGGUAUGUUAAUCCGGCAAUGACAGCAAGUUACCAGCCAUCGACAAGUUUUGUGCUGAUGAAUGCCAAUAAUGGUUGGUUAGGACAGUUACCCUUUCAACAUACAGCACAACAAAAUCAUCAAGUUGCAGGGGUUCAGCAAUGUCACAUGCAGGUUGGCUUCUAGAAUCAAGCACCAGCAGCUCAGCCGAUGAAUCUUGCUCAGCAGAUUGGUGGGCCUCAAGCAAUGACUAAUAUGUUGUUUGCUGGAGAUCGUGUGCCACAAAGACACGUGGAAGCAUAUCAAUAGGUGCCAGAGAUUUAGCCGGCACAUCGGCAGGAUGCUGAUGCUUAUUGGGCCGAUAAGAUAGCAAAGAUCAUGAGAGAUCAGUUUGGGAUAAAGCCCAAGGUUAAUACCUAUUCUUAUCGAAUGCCAUAUCCUCCUACAUACGACCUGAUCCCUCUUCUAAAUCGGUACAAAGUGCUGGAUUUUACCAAGUUUUCCGGACAAGAUGACACAUCGACAAUGGAACAUGUCAAUCAUUUCAUUAUCCAAUGUGGGGAAGCUGCUAACAGAGAUGAAUUAAGGGUUCGGCUCUUCUCAUCAUCCUUGUCUAGGUCGGCCUUUACUUGGUUUAUAUCGUUGCCUCCAAAUUCUAUUAUUACUUGGGCCGAUCUAGAAAAAUAGUUCCAUAAAUACUUCUUCUGCGGAGUUCAUGAGAAGAAGCUUAUCAAUUUAGUAAGGCUAAGGCAGCGUAAUGAUGAAUCGGUAGAGAGCUGUGUGCAGAGGCUGCGAGAUGUGAAGAACAAGUGCUAUAGUCUGGUUCUACAUGAUCAACAACUGGCCGAUCUAGCUUUUCAAGGAUUGUUACCACAUCUCAAGGAUAUGUAUGCUUAUCAAGAAUUUGAAAUCUUGAGUCAUCUUGUGCAAAGAAUUUCUGAUCGAGACACUAGGAUUUUUGAGCCUAGAAAGAAUUGGAAUAAAAAGGUGUCAUUUGUCAAUGAAGCAAAAGAUUCUGAUUCUGAUGAAGAGCCAGUUAUCGACUUAGCAAAGUGGGUGAAAAACAAGAAGCCGAUAUCUUGUCCCUUUGGUCAGAAAGAGCCAGAGAAGUUUGCUUUUGAUAUCACUAAAGCCGAUAGGAUUGACCUCUUGCUUCAGGAAGGACAAAUUAAAUUAUCACCAAACCAUGUGAUUCCACUAGCAUAAGAGUUGAAAAAGAUCAAGUAUUGCAAGUGGCAUAAUGCAACUUCACACAGUACAAAUGAGUGUAAAGUGUUCAGGCAACAGUAGCAGUUAGCUAUAGAAUCUGGGAGAAUUAAGUUUGAUCACUCAUCAGCGGCAGCGGGAGAAUUGGCAGUAGCGGGAGGAUCGGUAUCGGUGACAGCAAGAAAAGAGGCGUCGGGAAGAGUGGAAUCGGCAUAAAGAUCAUUGGGAUUGCUCGUACUUUGUUCACUGUUGGGAACGGGGUAUCAAGUUGCCGACGGUUGAAAGUUGCCCCGAGUGCAAUGGUUAUUAUCAGAACAAUCGGUCAGAAAGGAGAUUCCGACAUGAUAAUCAAGAUCUUUCCAUUAAUGAGCCGAUCAGAGGCAGGGCAUCAGUGCAUGAUCGGCUAGGGGGUAGACUUAAUGUGCAUGAACGGUUGGGCAGAUGUGUCGUGUAUUUUCUAAGAAAUCAAGAAGAACUAGAGGAAAUGGCAAAUGCUAGAGUUCCUGAUGAGAAAAUUUUCUAUAGGGAUCCUAAUAUACGGCGUGUAGAGUCAACUGAAGUCCGUUAUCAACGGGUUUGGAAGACCAAACUUCCCCGAUGGUGUCCAGAGGGUUUGACAAGGACACAAAGGAGGAGGAUGCAACAGGAGCGUCAUGAAGAUUUGUAUAGAGAAGAGAAUUAUUCUAAGUCUGAGAAUCGGUAGCAAUCAGAUCACAAGGGAAAGGUCUAUCAGUAGAUGUUAAUAUGGUAUUCAUGUUGCCGAUGGAAUUCCUUGUGCCUUCUAGUGAUGAUUGUUGACGGUCCUUAAGUAUCAAAUUUAAUUAUCAAAUAAAUAAAGAAAAGGAUCCAAAUGAAAUAAAGAUCUAGACUUAGGGUUUUAUCUGACAGAAUUCCACGAGUUUUGGUGUUUGUCUAUUUCUGCAGGGGGAUAUCAGGAAAUAUGGAAGAAAGGCCCACAUGUCAGGAUUACGUAAAGAUAUUAACGUGCUGCGCAAUUAUCUUACAUCUAGAAGACUCCAGAAGCCACGAGACCGAAGCGGAGGCGAAUCGGGGCCAGAGACAGGGCGCCCGCCCUGUCCAACUGGGCGCCCGCCCUGCCCCCAAGUCCAAUCAGGACUCUGCUUUGCGGGAAGUCUCCACCGACCUAAAGGAUGAAUCUAAACCAUACAAUCUAUGUCGGUUUGAUCCAAGGGCCCAUAUUCACUUGAAGGGACUAUAAAACCAGACCCCCUGGGCCCUGGAGGAGAGAGCCUCUCAACCCUAAUUCAUUGUUCCAUCAAGGGAGAAGAAGCCUCUGAUCAAGAUUAGAGCCACCACAUCAAUUAGAUAUCUAGAUUAGCAUAGCUACAUAGGAUUAGAACUAGAAGGAGUCAAUCUUCGAUUGGUUUCCGGAUCUGUCAGGAGGAUUCUUGGUAAUUCUCUAAUUGUGCUUCUAAUUGCUUUCUAAUUAUCUUUGUUCUUCAAUAUUAUGAAUAUGACUUUGUUCUACUUCAAUAUAUUGCUUAUGACUUUGCUCUACUUGCUUAUAUUCAAGAUUAUAUUGUUCUUAGUUUAUCAUAGUUAUGUACUUGGCUUAGUUAGAUACGAUCUAUAUACAUGCUUAGGAUCGUAUAGCGUUUAUCCAUCGGAUCCAUGGGUAAAUGAUAGAUAUUGUGUAGGCGUGGUGCUUAUACCGUAUUUAUCUGCGAUUGUACCCAAUAUGCCAGAUCGUGGGGUAGUUCGUGAUAGUGACAGCUUCAUUGAUUCUUAUAUAGUCCCCCUCUCGUGUAUUGGGCUGGCAGAGCAACAUUAUUACAGGGGAAUGAUUGCUAUGUUUUUCAUAUUCCUUGCUAAUAUCACUAUGCAUGGGCGUAGUCUUGUCUAGCAAUGAUUGCUAAGUAUGCUUGCACUAACUAUGAUAUGCUAGACUAUAUAGUUAAGAAUAACUUAGGGAAUAUUCUUGUAGUUCGUUCUAAUACCAUGCUAAUGACUUUCUAGAGUAUCUAAUUGAGGUGCUUAUCAUAUUUAUUAUGUGGCUAGAUCAGAUUAGUUAUCCUUGUCACUAUUAUUAUUUCAUAUAUCUUUUAUGUGACACUUAUCCCUGUAUGAUGAGUUAGAUAUAAUGUUCUCAAUUAUACAUGCAAUGAUAGAUGCUCAAUCUCAUAUUCUAUUCUGUAAUCAUUAGUGAUGAUUUCUAAUCCCUUCCCAGUGGUAAAAAUAUAAAUAACGAUACCUGGAAUACUUCCCGGUUAAAAUGCUACAUCGGUAUUAAUCUGUGCGCUUGCAGAUCCCAUUCAUUAUUUAUUUAGAAGAGCAAUUGCAUAUUUCAAUACCGCGUCUCUCAUAUCAUGCUGGGGAUGACAACUUGGCUUAAGUGGUGUGAGGGAUAGGUUUGACAUUUUUGGCACCGUUGCUAGAUUUAGAACUUAGUCUACUUUUAGUAAUGAUGUUAAGAAUACCCAACAAUGAUGAAGAAAUCAAUCUCUCUGAUCAAAUAGCUCAGUUGGUGCUUGAUCUGAUGAUGGCUGUUUUCGAGAAGCCAACUGAUCAUGAAAGACAGCAUCUCAAGACUUUGUUCAUUAAGGACAGGGUUGAUGGGCAGCCAGUGUCUAAGAUACUCGUUGAUGGAGGAGCUGCAAUUAAUAUCAUGCCCUACGUAAUGUAUCAGAAACUUAGCAAAGGUGAUCAAGAUUUGACCAAGAACGAUAUGAUGCUGAAAGAUUUUGAAGGCAAUGUGUCACCAGCUAAAGGGGUUGUAUGCGUUGAAUUGACUAUCGGCAGCAAAACUUUGCCGACGAUGUUCUUUGUCAUCAAUGGUAAAGGUGCGUACAAUCUGCUUUUGGGGAGGGACUGGAUUCCUUCCAACUGUUGUGUUCCUUCUAUGAUGCAUCAAUGCCUCAUUAAAUGGGUUGGAGAUAAGAUUGAGGUUGUUCCUGGCGAUUCUUCUUACAUCAUUGCAUCGGCAGAGUCAGAUACUUAUGAGCGAACCAGGUGCAUAUCAGGAGAGGCCUAGGAGAAAGAUUUCCUCAGAGUUACCGAUUAUGAAAUUCCACCGAUCCAAGCAGUCGGUUCUGAUGAAGAGUUUUAAUGGAUAGAUUCACCGAUGAUGAAAAGUUUGGACAGGGGUUCACAUCGGCUGAUGAUUUAGUAGAAGUAGAUAUUGGUAGUGGUGAUAGGCCAAGACCUACUUUUAUUAGUGCUAAGUUAGAUUCCAAGUGUAAACAACAAUUGAUAGAUUUGUUAAAGGAAUAUAAAGAUUUUUUUGCUUGGGAUUAUACUAAGAUGCCUGGAUUAGACCGAUCGAUUGUUGAAUAUUGUUUACCUAUUAAAUCUGGAUUUUGGCCACAUCAGCAACCAGCGCGCCGAUGUAACUCUAAUAUUCUUCCCGAUAUCAAGGCCAAAAUUACCAAGCUAAUUGAAGCCAAGUUUAUUCGGUAGUGUCGGUAUGUAGAGUGGAUUUCUAAUGUUGUUCUUGUCUAUAAGAAAAAUGGAAAACUUCGUGUGUGCAUUGAUUUUAGGAAUCUUAAUAAGGCUAUGCCGAUGGAUGGCUAUCCAAUGCCUGUUGCCGAUUUGCUAGUUGAUGCUGCAGCUAGACAUCGGGUUAUUAGUUUUAUGGAUGGCAAUGCGGGGUACAAUCAGAUAUUCAUGGUCGAGGAAGAUAUUCCCAAGACUACCUUUAGAUGUCCAGGUCAUAUUGGUUUGUUUGAAUGGAUAGUCAUGACUUUUGGUUUGAAAAAUGCCGGUGCAACUUACCAAAGGGCCAUGAAUUUUAUUUUUCAUGAGUUCAUCGACACGUUGGAAGAGAUCUACAUUGAUGAUGUGGUAGUUAAGUUUGGAGAUUUUGAGAAACAUCUAGCCGAUCUACGAAAGAUACUUGAAUGCACAAGAAACAUGGUUUGAAGAUGAAUCCUAAUAAAUGUGCAUUUGGUGUCUCAGCAGGCCAGUUCCUAGGUUUCAUGGUGCAUCAGAGGGGGAUUGAAAUUAGUAGAAGAUCCAUUGAUGCAAUUAACAAGGUGGUUGCUCCUGCCGAUAAGACUGAACUACAAUCAUUGAUCGGUAAGAUCAAUUUCAUCAGGAGGUUCAUAUCUAACCUAUCGGGCAAGAUCAAAGCCUUCAGCAUUUUACUUAAGUUAAAAGCUAACCAGGAGUUUGUGUGGGGGGCUGAAUAGUAGUUGGACUUAGAUGAAAUUAAGAGAUACUUGAUAAAUCCUCCGGUAUUGGUUCCACCUCAGCACGGGAAACCUUUCAGAUUGUAUUUAUCGACCGAUGAUACUGUUAUCAGUUCGGCCCUUAUUCAAGAAUUUGAAGGGAAAGAAUGCGUCAUUUAUUAUUUAAGCAGAAGAUUGGUGGACGCUGAGACAAGAUAUUUGGCCAUCGAGAAGCUAUGCUUAUGCUUGUACUUUUCUUGCAUUAAAUUAAGGCAUUAUUUGCUAUCGACCGAAUAUAUUGUCAUAUGCAAAGAUGAUGUGGUCAAAUAUAUGUUGUCGAUGCCGAUUUUGAGUGGUAGAAUCGGCAAGUGGAUCUUAGCGUUAUCAGAGUUUGAUCUAUGCUAUGAAUUGGCCAAAGCAGUUAAGGGGCAAGUUAUGGCUGAUUUUGUUACUCAACAUUGCAAUGUAGUGGGUGUUGACACUUGCUAACACCACUUGAAUACUAGGUUGUCAUCCCCAGCAUGGCACUAGAGUGUACUAUGGUAUUUAUACGCACACAGAUAAUCCGCAAGCGCACAGAUACCGUUGUAGCUUUUACCUGGUUAAAGGUUUUAUCGUAUCCAUAGGGAAACGGAAGAACCAACUACGCUCUAACUUAACCAAGAUAGAUAGAUAAGUGUAAAUAGGAAAGAUGGUAGAAUUGAAUAAGAACAAUAUUAAAGGUAAGAUAAUAGUGAGUGAUAAUAUGGGAAUAGAGAGUAGAGCAAUCUAAUAUAUGGGCGAUGGUAGAAGAAUAGAGAGGAUAACUAUGGUUUCUCUACUUCAGAGGGGUAUGUCUAUGUCUGGGACGAACCACGUGAUAAGAAUACACCACAAAGGAUGCUUAUCCAUAGGCCGAUAAACCCUACCCGUCCUGCUAACAAGAAGUGGACUACAGGGGACCAACGUAACUGUCACCUACGCGGCCUACCACACGAUCCAGCUAGACAGGGGAUAUCCACAAGUAAUCUAGGUCUAAGCACCACGCUUACACCUAUACUACAACUCUAACCUAUAGGGUCCUAUAGAUUAGAAGUACUCAAAAGAGUUGUGAACCAGAACAUACAUGAUUAGUAAUUGCACAAUGAAUUAGAAGUAGAUUACCAGAGUCAUCCCAUGAGCAAGCUUGAUUAGAGCUUGAUCUUGACGAAGUACAACCAGAGGAAGAACCGACAGGCCGGCCUCUCCUCUAAUCCUCCUUUGCUCUCCAUCUCGCUACUAUCUAGAUCUACUCUAGUUUAGAGAUGAGAGGAGAGCUCUCAUCUCUAAACCCUAGCUUUUGCUCUGUCUAUGAAUAAUGAAUAAUGAUCAAGGGGUGCCUCCUCCAGGGGCCAGGGGGUCUGCUUAUAUAGUCCCCUCAAGUGAAUCUGGUCCGUCGGAUCAAACCGACAUUGAUUGAACGGUUAUUCUUGAUCCUUUAGGUCGGUGGAGCAUAAUCCCCGAAGAGAGUCCUGAUUGGACUCUGGGACAGGGCGGGCGCCCAAGGGGGGAGGGCGGGCGCCCUGCCCCCGAGCCUGCUCGGUCUCCUGUUCGUUCCCGUGGCUUCUGGAGUCUUCUAGAUGAUAGAAAAUUACGCUGCACGUUCAUAUCUCUAUGUAAACUCGACAUGUGGGCCUUUCCUCCAUAUUUCCUGAUAACUGUUGACGGUGGAUAUACCAUAGAAAUCCACAUACAAAACACCGUCAACAUGCCUCGGUUGCAAGGGGAAAUGACAUGACAUGAACAUAUUUUAUCCAUAACUAGUUCCACUUGUACUCUUAGCUUGUUUAUGCAGGAACAACAAAUUCAAGACAUUAUUUGACAAAGCCAACAUCAGAAUCAUCAACAGGAGAUCGAAGGGACAACAGGUGACACCCUGGGCCCACAGGGAGGGGGUCGCCCGACCCCUCUUUGGUGGGACCCAGGUGUGCCACCUAGUCCACCGACAUAAGGGACCCCUGUGGACACUGCUGGUGGGCCCAGAGGCCCAGAAGUGGGGUCGCCCGACCCCACAUCAAAGGCAGUUCCAGGGUCGGUGGCCUCCCACCGACCUUCCCCACAUGUCCCACAUGUUGAUUUGCCCCUGCCGUUGAUCAAAUGGCGGUUGUGAGGUCGGUUUGAUCCAAGGGUGGAGAGAAGAUGUCACGCGGAUCGAUGACGUGGCGAUGGAGUAACCCCUACUCCAUCUCCCUCUAUAAAAGGCAGCCUCCACCCUUCAUUUCAAGUGUGCAAUUCCAAGGCCAAGUGCAUUACAAGUUCCAAGCAUACAAGUAGAGUAGUAGUUAGUCUAGAGUGGGAGUUAGAGUCGAGUCGAGCGAAGCUCGGGGUCUCCGGAGUCGUCUUCUGGAGAGUCUGGUAUAGCUCUUGUACCUUUCUACUUUUGUAAGACUUUCCUUUUAUUAAUAUAUUAUUCUUACUUUACUUUACUGAGUUCUUACUUAGUGCAAGUCUUUUAGUCUUGUUGUGCAUUUACUUUAGUAAUAUAGUUGUCUUAGUGAAGUUAGUGACCUGUAACCACUCCUGUGUGUGCAUCAUCGUCCUAUCUUGUAUAGGAGCUCUAGCUAGCUGCAACCAGUUAGAGUUGUAGGAUUAAGUGUGAGCGUGGUGCUCAUACUUAAGAUUACCUUUGAUUACCGCUGGCUUGAACGGAAAGUAGGAGCGCACUCCCUAGUAGGUGACAGAUCGUGGGCGGCAUUAGGUUCUCCUCACGUACAGGCUAGUUCUUAAAAGGUAAGGCGCCCAUAAGCCCAAUAGUCGCUUUCGGUAAGGGGUUAGGUGAAAAACCUUCUAAGCGUCUUACCAGCUCGGCUAUCCCUCGCACACAGUUAGUAAGGCUCUAGCGUAGUUAAGGCAAUUAUCUAUUAAAGUAAGUCACAGAAGUCAAGUUAGAUACAUAGGAGUCCUUUACUCACUCGUUGUCCUCCCACCUAGCUAACUCUACCAUUUACCUUUAGCAUAGGACCUUGGAUUCACCACUACCCUUCCUAUUCGUUAUUUACCACCCUUAUUCACUAGUUGAUACUAGACAACUCAAGGAAUCUCAUUCCCCUUUUUGUUAAACACACUUAGCCGCUUUCCCUUGGGAAAAUAUAAAUUACGAUACCUUGGAAUACUCCUUGGUGAAGUGCUACAGCGGUACAUUCUGUGCGCUUGCGGAAUUAUCCAAUAGUAAAUAGAGUUACCCUACCAGGGCACUUCUGGCGCCGUCGCCGAUAUCCGGUGGUUGCGUUAAGAAGUGUCAACAAUAACCCCCUACAGAAAUAGACAAACACCAAAACUUGUGAAAUUCUGUCAGAUAAAACCCUGUCUGGGUGUUGGUUGUAUUUGGAUCCUUUUCUUUAUUUAUUUGCUGAUUAUAUUUGGUACUUAAGGACCGUCAACAACUCGCCCAAGCUUACCUCUUGCUCGUCCCUGAGCAAGGAUGGACUCAAGAGUUUCUGCAGUGGUUUUAUGCCUUAAAGGUACACAUGCGUUUAAACAAGAUCUCAUCUCUAGGUUAGGGUAAACUGUUAAGAUUUAAAACUUACUCAUUUUACCUUCCACCAUGGGGCUUGUAACCGUCACUUGUGUCUUGAGCAGUUAAAAGAUAGAACGGUCAAGUCAAGCGUCAUGUCUCUUGUUCUUGAUCAACUAUAGCUCUGGAGUUUUUGCAGAUUUUCAAAUAAAACUCAGAGAUUCUUGUAUGACUCUCUCUAGUCUCUCUUUUGUGGUAUUUCUAGAUCCUUACCAAGGCAGUGAUGAUAUAUGCCUUCUCUCAAAGUAUGUGGUAUUUUUGGUAUGAGGCAUAGUGACAUUACCUUCUCUCUCACUCUACUCUAAUAAAGUUUUGAUAUCUAGAGAUCAUAGGUGGGAGACAGCUAAUACAUACUUACAAGACAUUUAUUUCAUAGUCAAACCAUGGAUCUAGAGAAACAAGUCAAUAAGUCAAAUCAAGAUGUGCAUGUGUGGCGAAUGAAUGGUGUAUGGUGAUGAUGGUGAAAGUCUAAUUCUACUUUUGCUCUUUUGAGGGGAUACAUACCUUUCUUGCACUUUGAAGCUUUUUGAGGAGAAUGAGAUGCUUUAUAUAUUUUUUUUCUUUCCUCUCAGGUGGGUAUCUUGUACCCCUAAUUCUACUGUCGGACACUUGUCUAUUUUUACCUCUUGUCUCACUUUUUCUUUUCUUUUUUUCUCUCGAGGUUCCGGGCACUUGCCCCUUUUUAUUUCCUCGUAUUUACUUUUUUUUUCCGAGCACUCACCCUCCUGGAAUAAUGUAGCAAGUGGUAGUAACCAAAAUAUCUUGAGCAUUUAUUUCACGGGGAAUAACAGGGAUAGAAUAAUGUUUUUUGCUAUUCUCUCCUGGAUAGGAGUAGAAUAAUUCUGGGUGAAUCUGGAGAUGGAAAUGAAUGGAUGUAUGUGGAUGCGUACUUCUAGAGUAGAAGCAGCAUGUAUGAGUGAACGUGCAAGUGGAUUUUGAUUUUAACCACAUGACAAGCUCCUAAGGGUCUACACAGCUUGACCACACUCAAUGCUCAUAAGUAGUAAAAAGUAAAUGUAUGGUUCAUAGUCUAAUAAGCAUGUAUAUAUAGCUGUGGUAGGAUUUUAAACUCUCAUCAUACAUGAACUCAUCAUGCAACAUUUUAAAGAUUUUCAAAGAUAAAAUUCUCCAGAAUUCUAGCAUCUCUAGGAAUAGAUAAAUACAGCUCAACCUUCCCAUAUCAUAUCCGUUAAUGACUUAGACUUUAGAUCAAGUACUCUUCCCACAAGUUCAGGUUUAGAGCAAAUCUUAAUUCAUAACAGUCAUACCUAAACUUGAGAGAGAUUUCACUUUUGAGAACUAGUCAUGGCAGAGCAACUAUUCAUCAUUUCCAUGUGAGAGCUUACCAUGAGGGUUCAUAGCAAACUUUAUUUAUUUAUUUAUUUAUUUAGCAAACUAAGAAAAUAUAUAUAUAUAUAUAUAUAUAUAUAUAUAAGCAUAAAAUCUUUAUUUGGGUUUUUUUAUGAUUAUGCAUCUUUUUAUUAUUUGAGUAAAGUAUAAACAUGAGUAGAAACACUUAGCUGGAUAAAUAGGGAUGCUCUUCCCCAAGCUGGAUUUUGACGUAAUUUCUUCUGAUGUAGCUAGCAGGUGACGGAGGUGUAUUUGAAUGUCGGCAGCACCCUGACAGCGAUUAGGAUGUCCUCCGUCUGCUAGUCUUCUUUGAUCCUUGAAUUCUGUGGAGCUCAAAUAGACAACAAAGCUUUGUGGAACUGGUUAAGUGUUAGCAUAAAAUCUCUUUGCCUUUAUCAUGUUGAGCUUCCUCUAAUAAAUAUUACUCUCUUUGGUUGGAUCAUAAAUUUAUUUUUAUAUUUUCAUUUCUAUAGGACAUGAAUAUAUUUAUUUUAUUUUUACGCCACCACAGUGAAUGUACUUAUGGGUUUUAUGCUACGAGCAUACUCACAUGGGGCUUAGUAUUUUUAAACAUUUUUAAUUUCUUUUCAAGAUAGCAUAAUCAACUAAUAAGCUAUUUAAGGAAAGUAAGUAAUUAAAGGGAAAAAGGAAUGCAGAAAGGAUAAAUAUGGAUAACUACCGAUUUUACCUUUCGUCGAGGGUUCAAUGUUUUAAAUCUUCUGAACAAGACUUCUCACCGUGUUCAUUCUUCAGGUAUGUCUUUUAAUUCAGGUGAGGACCUUGACGUCUGCACCUCUUGAUACGGUGUCACCCAUGUUCUUCGUUUGCCCAGCAGUUCGAAGUGUGGCAUUGGCAGCAUCCUGCUCAGUGUGUUUGUGCUCGUAGAUCCAGGUCCUUCACUUGGUAGAGUCUGAGAGUUAUAAAACUCCUCCAUGUUUUGCUCGAAGUGUACCUGCUCAUAGAGACAAGGCAGAGAUCAAGUGCAUGGGUCCUGUUGGUGGAAAACACCAACAGAACCAAAAGUGUAUUUGUUCUUCUCUAACCUUAAGCAUAGUGAGCAAGACAAAGUUGAUGGAUGAUAAGUUCAUGAGUGUAGUACUUAUAACAUUUGUCAGAUCAGAUCGCUCAACCUUAUGGAGAGAUAAUCUAUCUAUGUAUAUGUCUUUUUCUUUAUGUAUCUCAAAGAUUGAAUGUGUAACAUUUAGGCUCAUAUGAUUAGGAGUGUGGGAUCAUGGAGGUACUACUAGGAACAAAGAUUAAAGGACUAAACAUGCGGAAUCAGUUGGGUUGGUUAAUUUAGAGUUAUAAAUCAUACAUGUUUGUCUCUUUAUUUAUGUGAACGCCAGAACCA
rnacentral:lncRNA from 1 species